AGUGAUCUCCACCUCGCCGAUGGUGAAGUACUUGCUCGUGUUCUUGCACACCGAGCCUCCCUCGGGCGAUGCGGUGAUCUUCACCUCGUUGCUGAUCUUCUCGAAGCUGGUGCCCAGCAUGUCGCCCUCGAUGAUCGAGUAGCAGUAGGUGAAGUUCUCCUUAUCCAGGGCCUCGACUUUUUGCUUCAUUGUCUUGUACUGACUGCCUAUCAAAGUAAGAAAAAAUAAUAUUCACGUUUAGAACUCGCCAGUUUCAACAUCACGAGCAACGAUCUCGAUGGUGUCGAUCGGGCCUUUUAGGUUGUUCCAACUGCAAUCUGAUACGAUUGACUUAGUAGACAUGGCCUGAUUUCCCUCGAUUGGAGUCAAGUCACGUGAUCACUUGUGUAAAUCAAUGGUUAGAAACAUCUUUAAUUGAUCAAGUUACAUAUCUAUCCUUUUUAAUGUUCAUUAUGAUGUUCCAUAAGGUUGAAACAGCCUUGAUCCAGAGCGAUCCUAACACGGACGGACUAACCUUCGCCGAAAGUGAUCAACUUGACGGUCCCGGGACCUCCGUCGCCCUCGAGGACUUCGACGCUCUUGAUAGCUUGCGGGAGCACCUUCAGGAUGAGGUUAUCGGCGUCGAGGACAGCGGCCUUGAACAUCUUGGCCGGAGGGAUUGGGGUCGUGAUCUCGCAGUCGUAACUGACGACACCCAUGAUUUGGAUCCGAAUGGAGUUGCCGAAAUAGAGAAGAGAGUGAUCAGGAAAGGCUGACUAGCAGUGAUGAAGUUGGUCUCUAGGACUUGGGAGUGAGGAGAAGAGGAUGAACCGAAGCUGACAUAUAUAGAGAGAUCGAGUGUGAAGGGUUCUGGUCAUUGGAUAUUUCCUUCAAGUGUGUUUGUUUGGUACAAAAUAAAAAAUUCAAUAACUAUUUGUAUCAUAUGGUAUAUUUAUUUGAUGAUAAAUUUUUGCAUUAUUGACAGUAAUUUAUAUUUAAAUAUUUUCGUGGAAGAUGAAAAUAUUUUUAUUUAUUCUUUUUGUAAGUUAUACGGAAAAAAUAUUUUUUUACAAAACAAAUGAAGCUUAAUAAAAAAAAUCUUAAUCAGUCUGUGGGUUGUUCACUCAUGACAUGGACCUUGAUCAUAAAAUAAAAUGUCUAUAUGAUAAUGGAAUAUUAGUCAGAGAAGGCACCAUCCUAGAAUGAUACCAAACGUUCUUCCAUUUCCCUUUCAUGUAUAGACUUGACUUUUGAUCCAGGAGCAUUUGCUCAGCAAAUUCUCUUGGCUGAGCUUCACUGAUUUCUUACAUAGUGUUACUAUCAUAGAAAAUAUCAAGCCCUUAGCUGCAUAUGGUCACGAUCCACCCAGAUCUCAUCCUACUUUGCUUCAAUCCGUUCGCAAAAGUAGCAAUCUUUAAGGUUGGUAGAGGCCUCGGGAAGAAUUAUCAUCGAUUUCAUACGUACAAAUAAUAUUCGCUUAAGCCUGUGCAGUAGAAAAACUCGAAAAAUUGAGGCACAAUUUUUCCUGCUGGGUGAUCUCGGUGCUUCAUGUUUCUGUUGAGCUUCCAUCUAAGAAAAAGUACAGAGUGAUCUCAAUGUUGCACUAAUCCAAUUUAGCAGAAAAAGAUGGGAAAGGUAGUUUGGUAAUUACAAGGCUUUGUUACUUUUAGUCAACAAAGGCUGCUCUGAAAAUCAAGAUGGACGUCUAUAGAUUUUGAAUUUUUCUACUUGCUUUCAUGUGUCUAGUCCUUUUAAAUAAUAUUAUUGCGAACCAUUUUCUGCUAAUUGUCUGGUGGAAGUGUGGUGGAUCAAGCGAGAUUGGCUCACGCGUCACUUGCUCAUUAAACAUUUUUUAAUUUUCCUUUUCAUCUAACGGUAUAGCAACGUAGAUUUUUAGAAACGCUUUCUUCGUAUCUAAUUUUCUUCUUUUGUCUAGUUCAUCUUGUGGUAGUCACGGACCAUGUGAACGUAUAGUAGAAUGUCCAUGGGCGUUAGAUCAGAUUAAUUAAUGAAUUUCGUCGCAUUGAGACAAAAUUGAUUAAACUUGUCAAUCAUCUCACUGCGACGGAAGAGUCGGAAACUAUUAAUGGAUAACAACAGCAUAUGUUUUCAGAGGAAAGUAUUGGAGAGGGGCAUGGAUGCAUUGCUGAAGUUAUUUAAUGAGCAUGUCAUAUGUACUAAAUUAAUCUAAAUAGCUAAAUUUGAUGGAAUUCAUAUGAAACCUAAAUGAAACUCAUUGAAAUUAAAAGUCCAAAUUUUGCUUUAUAUAAAUACGACGCUAGUUCAUUCUCGAGUCUUUAUCAAAAUUGCGUUGUAUGUCAUUGAAUGUGAACCUCCCUUCCCUAUGAUCAACUCAGAUUUCUCGUACUUCAUCGACUUCCUUGUUUCGCUGUUGAAGCACCAGAAUCACAGCAAUUGAAGUCACCAGAAGGAGCUCACAUCAAUAAGGACCUUUUCCCUAUGGUCGGUCGAUUUACUGUUCAUCCCACAAGGAGAUAACCCCGUCACGUUUUCACACAAGCCCGGAUUUGCGAUAAAAGCGCUUUUCGGUGCUUGUUGGAAGAGGCGACCACUAGGAACUGCACCUGUCAGCUCAUUGUACGAUUAGUCUACGGAGCUUAAACAAGUUAUGUGUCCAUUUCUUUCAAUGUUCAGUAUAAUGUUCCAUAAGGUUAAAACCACCUUGAUCGAGAGCGAUCCUAAGUUCCUAAUAUGGAUGGACUAACCUUUGCCGAAAGUGAUCAACUUGAUGGUCCCGGGACCUCCAUCGCCCUCAAGGACUUCAACGCUCUUGAUGGCUUGUGGGAGCACCUUGGGGGUGAGGUUAUCGGCGUUGAGGACAGCGGCCUUGAACAUCUUGGCCGGAGGGAUCUGGACGUGAUGCAGAGUCGUAAGUGAUGACACCCAUGAUUGGAUCCGAACUGAGCUGCUGAAACUGAGAAGGGGGUGAUGAUCAGGAAAGACUGAGUAGCAGUGAUGAAGUUGGUCUCUAGGACUUGGGAAUGAAGAGAACAGGCUGAACCGAAACUGAUAUAUAAAGAGAGAGAGACUAAGUGUGAACGGCUUUGAUCAGUGAAUAUUUUGCGAAACAAACAAAGCUUAAGAAAUAAAAAAUUAUUCCGUGGAUUAUUCAGAUUAUGACAUGCCCCUUUUUCCUAAUAUAAAAAUGUCUAUAUGAUAAUAGAACAAACCGUUGGAUGAGAAUAUUGGGGAGAACUGGGCAACAAUUUACUAAUAACGAAACAUAAUUUAGCAUCAAUUUCUCCUCUAAAACUAAACCAAUCGAAAUCAACUCAACCCCAACGACCACCAGCAAUUUGUAAUACCAAAAUGACAAUAAGACAGAGCCAACAACGACACUAAGGUUUUAACAUGGAAACCAAUACGGAAAAAAUCACAUACCCUCCUCACUAACAGUAAUAGGAUACACAAAACAUUAUUUUCUAAUCACACAUUAGAGACUCGACAUCAAUAAUAUAAUCAUAUUUUCUCAUUCCAAAGAUAGAUUAACAUAAACGGAGCAAGAAAACCCUAAUUGGUUGGAGAAUCUGGAGGGGGUUAUUAUCGAAUGAAAUCAAUCAAUUCGUAGUCCUUGGUUUUACGAAACAACAUUCAAAUUUGAGCAAAUUCCGUCGGCAUCUUGCGUUCGAAUCGGGACCGAAAAGAUUGUGCCCUUUCUUUAGGAACGCAGAGAAAGAAGAGCCCAGGACACAGACAACAAUUACCCACUCACUAAGUCCCGAAAAGCAUAGACGAGCGAAAUGCUUCACGAAUUAACCUAAGAGCAACAGAAACACGCCGAGAUAGAAAAGAAGCCGACGCCCCAAAUUGCAAACUUCUUCGACCCCCCCCCCCCCCCCCCCCAAAAAAAAAAUUUCCAAAAUGAAACCUGAAAAGUGGUGAUUAAGCCCGGAGGCGGGAGGGGGGGGGAAGGGAGCCCCUUGAUGUCCAAAUGGGCGUCCCCGGUGGCGAGGAGCCCCGAGGGGGGGGGGGGGGUGGAAACCUAGGGUUAGGACGGGUUUGGCCUCAUGCCAAUUGAUCUGGACCGUGCCUCCCUUCAUAUCUUCGCCGGCCGCUCCGCCGCUUCCUUCCUUCCUUCCUUCCCUCUCUCUUUGAAAUCGAAGCCUUCUUCCUUCAUUUCUCAUGGAACGAAAUCGAUCAAUUCGUGGAAUUCGUGAUAUUCGUGCGCUCUCCCCAUUCUGCGGAGAGAUUCCCGACAAAUCGACCAGUGCUGAGGUUCAUAAAGACCAGAUCCGGGUAAACUCCGAACGCACUCGUGAGAUCUGCAGUGAACAGAUCACCUUCUAGACGGACUCUCGUUAGCCCCGGACAAUCCCUCAAGCAAUCGGGCAGCAGCCCGGUGAAGUUGUUCCCAUAAACCGCGAGAUACCGAAGAGCGAAGCCGCCGCACAAAUCCGGCGGCAGUUCUCCGGUGAAGCUGUUGUUGGAAAAGCUAACAUAGCCCAGACGAUAUGGAUUCGCAGAAAUCACACGGUAUGCCACCCGAGAAAUCGUUCGUGAACAAAAGAGAUGAACUGUAGGUUUGUCGAUCGUCGUUUCAGUACGGCGAGUGUAGAGCCAAAAAAAAGGGGAAGAAAGAUGACACAAUUGGCUAUGACAUUGAGUGACAGUUUAUUGCUGGCCUCCCCCACGUAAGUAUGUCACGAGGCCCACCCUUCAUGGCUCAAGUUCAUGAAAACAAACUAAUAAAAAAAAGACCCAAAACGUCUGCACUACCAUCCUCGCGGAAAUCCAACCAAAAAAAGGAAAAGAUUAAAAAGGCAACCAUCCCAUACAAAAGCAUUCGCCACACGCUACUAAAAAUUAACCACACAGAGACUCACUAGUCUCAGGGUUCGCCUGGAGGCAAGCCUCGAUGGCCCCGAACACAGUGAAUGCCUUCUCUCUCACGGCCUUUAUCUUCUCCUCGGUGAUGUUUAUGUUGCCCCUGGCGAAGUAUUUGCUGGCGUUUUUGCACACGGAGCCUCCCUCCGGUGAUGCGGUGAUCUUCACCUCGUAGCUGGUGUUCUCCAAGGUGUUGGCCAGCAUGUCGCUCUCGAUGAUCGAGUUGAAGUAGGAGAAAUUCCCAUUGUCCAGGACCUCAACCUUGUGCUUCACUGUCUUGUUGCAAUGACCUAUAAAAGACGCAAAACGUGGCAAAUCACAUCUGAGAAGCCACCGGUUUCAAAAAUCGCGAGCACUGCUUUGCAACAUGAUUGACUCACGACAUCACGGUGUCAAUGGUCAGGAACAUUUGAAUUAACCAAGUAAACUUACUAACCUUCGCUGGAAGUGGUCUCCUCGAUGAGCUCGGCACUCUCGAGGACUGGCAAGAGGACCCCGGAGAUGAGGUUUUCAGCCCUGACCAAGACCUCGAACACCUUGGCCGGGGGGAUGGAGGGCUUGAUCUCGGUCUUGUAGCUGAAGUGUCCCAUGAUUCUCUGCUCGAAAAGAAUUUGCUGAAAGCUGAGAGGGAAGUCUUGAUCUAGGAUUUCGAAGCUAAGACCCCAUGUGUAUAUAUAUAUGCGCGGGAGAGAAAACUUUGCGGACCUGCUUUGGGUCCAUUUCAGAGGAAAACCAAGCAAUCGCGUGCUUUGGGUUGAAAUUCUUCUACCUACAUGAUCGAGUCACUGUCGAGUCUCGACUUUUGGAAUGUGUAAGAAAAAGCAAAACAAUGGUUGAAAUUCUUCUACGCACACGAUCGACUCACUGCGAAGUACUCGACUUUUGGAAUGUAUGGGAAAAAGCAAAACGAUACAGAGGCUAGAGUUUUUUUUUUUUUUUUUUUUGGUCUGUUCCAUAGGAAAACCAAGCAUUCGCGUACUUUUGGUUGAAAUUCUUCUACGCACAAGAUUGGAACGUGUGGGAAAAAGCAAAACAAUGGUUGAAGUUCUUCUACGCACAAGUAACUGUCAAGUACUUAACUUUUGGAAUGUGCGGGAAAAAGCAAAAAGAUAGAGGCUAGAGUUUUUUUUUUUUUUGGGUCCGCUUCAGAGGAAAACCAAGCAUUCACGUACUUUUGGUUGAAAUUCUUCUACGCACACGAUUGCAAUGUGUGGGAAAAAGCAAAACAAUGAUUGAAAUUCUUCUAAGCACAAGUAAUUGUCAAGUACUCAACGUUUGGAAUGUGUGGGAAAUACCAAAAUGAUACAGAGGCUAGAGUUUUUUUUUUUUUUUGGUCGGUCAUAUUUUAAUUCUUAAAUUUUUACUUUGCUUCAUUGUAGAGCGUGAAAGUCGAAACCCACACUUGAAACUAAAUCGUCAUCUGAAAAUGUGGGAAUUUGAACCCCCACAUUCCCUUUCUAUAUUGAAAAUGUGGUCACAAAGACAAAUCCUAGUGUUUACAGGCUAGAGUUGGAAAUAUGUUAUUAAACACAUUCCUUUUAUAGUCUCCCUUCAAAAAUCCCGUAAAAUAAAUAUGCAUGGUCUAAAAUACUCUUAUCUUGUAAUUUGAAAGUCAAAACUCAACAAAAAUCAAAUCAAAUCGAGUACUCAACUUUUGGAAGAAACAAAGUAGGUUACGUCUAGUACUGAAAGGGAAGUCUCGAUCUAGGAUUUAAAAGAUAAGACGCAUAUGUAUAUAUAUGUUUUCGGGUCCUUCUAAGGGGAAUACCAAUUAUCGUUGUUGAGUAGCUCUGCGGGGUCCUUUUGAGGCCAAGAUUGGGUCGGCUUUUCUCUUAAAAAGGCAGAGAACAUGCCAUCCCAAGUCAUAGCGCACUCAUUACGACUGGAUUUCCAACCCAUCACUCCACUUCUGGAUGGAGGGAAUCAAGACUUUUGGAAGAAUGUGUGCACUCGACUUUUGGAUGGAAGAAAUGAAGAAUUUUGGAAGAAUGUGUGAUGGGGAGCGUGUGCAAUUGCCCACACGUGAUGGGAACGUGAGGCAUGGAACUUGUUGCCAAACAAGUCAAUCAAAGAUGCACCAAUUUGAGAACAAGUAAUAAAAGAUAAAAGAAAAUCAAAAUCACAUGAGACGCAAAACUUACGUGAAAAACUCAAAACGAGAAAAAUCAUAGGAAGAGAGAAGAGUCUCAUUAUUUUCAAUAAAGAGCACGAGAAUAUAAUCCAAAAAACUCUAAAACCACUUGAUGAGCCACGAGAUUUGAACAUCUAGCAAGAAGAUAGGAAAAAACAAAACAGGAAACUAUACAGACGCUAGAGUUGGAGAUGUGUUAUAAACACGUUCCUUUUAUAGUCUCCCUUUAAAAAUCCCUUGAAAUAAAAAUGUAUGGUCUAAAAUAUUCUUAUAUCUUAAUUUGAAAGUCAAAACUCAACAGAAAUCAAGUCGAAUCGAGGACUCAACUUUUGGAAGAAACAAAGUAGGUUACGUCUAGUUCAACUUUCUCAAGUAGCUUGGGGGAAAUGUAAAGUAAUGUAAGCCUAAAGGGUUUUGGCAAAAUGUAAAGAUUGUUUGAUAAAAUAUGUUUUGAGAAGUAGCUUUGACAUAAAUGUUGGUUGAUAUAAAAUAUAUUUAAAAAAACUCAUUUGGAUGAUUAAUUUAAACUGUUUUAAUUAAUUAGGGGUUGGAUUUUUUUUAUUUUUUUUAUUUUUUGGUCUGAGGGGUUGGAUACUUUGGGUACUAUUGUGUGGUGUUCUCGAGUGCCCGAGAGUACCUGUAAGUUUUUGUCCAUAGUUAAAGUCUAGAGAGAGAAAUAGAGAGUGCAUCUGCCUUUUAAGGCUUCUGAUGAUUGGAGAUUUUCUCUAAUCAAAUAAUUCAAUUUAAUAAUUUAAAUAGAGAGAGAGAGAGAGUUUGUGCAUAUCUUUAAUAGGCGUCAUAAUUAGAGAGAGAGCAGAGCAGCGCAGAGCAGAGCAGAGCAGAGAUUUUCUCUAAUUAAAUAAUUCAAUUUAAUAAUUUAAACAGAGAGAGAGUAUGUGCAUAUCUCUAAGAGGCAUGCCAUAAUGAGAGAGAGAGAGAGAGAGAGCAAUAUGGACUAAGCAUCCAAUCUCUUCUACUUCUACUAAUGAAGAAAUAAUUUGACCUCGUCACUUCACAACACAUUCCGGGCUGAAUAAUGGAGCUUUGGGGACAUGGUGGUGAAUAACAAGUGAUAUAGAAGAGAUGAUACGCUAUUAAAUUAUUGUCUCAAGUUUAAGUCCGUGUACAAGAUUCGACUUGAUUUGAAUAUGUAGAAAACCGAAUCUAUUAGGAAAAAAAAAUACCAAUAUCACAUUUGGUAUUUGAAUUAUAAUUUAUCUUGAAAAGAAUAUUCACGUUAUAUAUACUGAGACGAGUUUUUUGUGCAUUCCCCCAAAAGUCAAACCCCCACAGUAACCCCCUUUUUCUCUAACUCCCGCACCCUAUUUCCAUAUAUAUGGAUCUUCACUUCCAAAUCCGAUCGAGAUGCUGAUAAAUACUAAAUAGUGUUCGAAUGGGGGGGGGGGUGGGGGGUGGGGGGGUGGAGACAUUGCUUGCUGAUUCAUGUUGUGAAAUGCGUGCUCUCUUCUUCUUUUCGCUAAGAAGCUGACGAGUAACAACAGAGAAAGGAAUAUGUCCCCGUAUCGAUAAACUCUCGGUAGAUAGGAAGAUACAAUUAAGACGCAAUCAAAACGACAAGGAUGAAAGCGAGGUGAGAGAUAAAAUUAAGGCGAAAAGAUAAAACAGACAAAGGCGCGAAAUACUGCAGCAUCUUAGCGUAAAGAAGAAAGAAGAGAGAAGUUGGCACCCAAUUGAGGUAUGUUGUCCGUGAGGAGAUGAGUGUUUCAAGACUUGAGGUAAUUUUCCAUGAGAUUGAACACUGUGAGCUUGGGUGCAAUUUAGGGGUGAGAAACAUUCAAACAUUUAGUCGAUUGUAACUCUUUGAUUCUCCAAUUGUUAGUGGAUUAUUUUCUCUUCCCCAACUGACACUUAGACCGAAUUACGUAAAUCUUAUUAGUUUCCGCGUUAUAUCACAGCAACAACAACUGGUUUGAAAAGUGGCGUCAAAGUGUUUAUGCUAGAAAUCUUGGGGUGGAACAAAUUGUGCUAAAGUGAUUUGAAAAAAUUAUGCCAUGAUUUUUACAAGAUGUUUGACAAGUAUUUUUAAUUACAACAUUCAGAAUUUCUACCACCUCAACUGUUGUCUCACCCACUUUGAAGGAGUCGCAUGUAUUACUGAACACAAAUUAUAACACUUCAUGCCAAAAUAUAGUUACAGUUCAGUCACGAUUAUAAUUUUUCUUAAAGAGAUGGGAGAAUGUAAACAUAAACCAUGAUGGGAGACAGAAAGAUUGAGCCAACAUGCAACAUCAACUCAAUUGAAAGCAUCAGGGUUUUGCAAGAGAUGGGCGUCAAUGGCCAUGAACAUUCCCAUGGCCUUCUCUUUGCCGGCCUUGAUCUGCUUCUCCGUGAUCUCGGCCCCGUCCUUGGCAUAGUACUUGCUCGUGCUCUUGCACAUGCAUCCUUGGCUAGCUGCAAGGCACGGAAAACCACAAUCAACUCCUAAGCGUUGGUCUCAUUUAAACUGUCGGUGAAUGUCUUGAGACCCAUGUUGAUGCGGUGCGAUUAAAAUGUGCGAAGUGGGUGAAAUUGAAAGAUGCGCGAGGACUAGCCUUCAUAGAAAGCGACAUACUUGAUGAUUGAAAUGCCCUCUAAAUGAUUCUCAAUCGCCUGUUUAGUAAUCUAAAUCGCCAUCACAAUAGAUAAAUCAUAUAAUAGAGAAAGAGUACUAAAGACAUGGAUCUCAAGCCCAAAUGAUACUUAUUAGCAAGCGAGUGAUCGUUUGAAUUUUGAUGCUCUUGAGGGUGGGAAGUCACUAAAUUAUUAACUUUUUUCCAACACCGGUUGGGUUCCAUGGGAUUGUUUCCACUAUAGAGAUAAAAAGUUAGCAUGCAAGUUGUCGCGACCUAUCCCUCGGGGGGAGGGAAUAGGUUUAGAGAUAUUGCCUAAAAGAUGGACUUAAGGCUCAAGAUUGGGUGAGAGCUCUCCCAAACCUAUACUUCGCGUGACAUUAGAGUGUUUUUAAGAAUUUUUCAAUGAGUCACCACCACUAGCCUAUUGGGGUUAGCUAAAAACCAAGUAAGGCAUGUGAGUAGAUCUCGCUUCCUACACAACUAGAGAAUCUAGGGUCGAUAACUUGAUUACAUUAAUUAAUCAAUUAAUGCUCUUUCGAUACCUAAUCUUAUUUAUUUUAAAAGAAAAUAUUUUUGUCAAGUAGUGGAUUAAUUUUAUACUUAUCCACUAACAUGUGAAGUGAUCAUGCAAAUACACAAUCAUUAAAGUAACGGUCAAUAACCAAGAAAGUAUUAAAUAAAUUACAAGGAAAAGCAAUAAUCUAACAUAAAUAAUAAUAAUAAUAAUAAUAAUAAUAAUAAUAAUAAUAAUAAUAAUAAUAAUAAUAAUAAGAAAAAUUGACAUUCCUAACUAGGUUAAAGGGAAAUCACAAUCAAUAUAUUGAAAGUGCACCAUCAUUUGAUAAUUUGUCUCAAGAAGGGAAAUAUUAGAACCCUAUUGCAAGGCCUUAAGAGUUUGUUCAAUUUUGAGCCCUAUUUUGGUCGAUGAUUUUCCCACACUUUAAGAGAAAACUGUUCAAAAACAAAUAAAAAAAUUCGAAAUUUUUUUAAAUAUAUAUUUUUUUGCAAUUUUUUUAUUCCGAAAUAGCAACUCGGGCCGGGCCCUCGGCCCGAUUCAAAAGUGGGUCGGGUAAAGAUUCAUGGGUUUGGGCAAUGAACACUAAAAGCCAAAUUGAAGAAGUGGGUUCAAUGACUUAAAUGCAUUCGAAAAAGGGCCAAGAUCAAGCCCAAAUUUAUCAAAGGAAAACACUUAAUCCCCUUUACACUAAGAUCACUUUAAAACAACUUCCAGCACAUCCUAAAUAAGCCCAGCUCCGAAAUUAGCCCACUUACUUGACCUAUCCACAAACUCCUUCUUAGGCACCAAAAUAACCCCUGAACAGCAGCUUCUCUUUCUGCGACUCCUCCUUCCCGAAGUCAUUUUUACCUUUUCAUAGUUUACUUUUUUUUUUUUUGCUUGUUUUCUUUUUUAUUCUUUAUCCUUUUUUUUUUUUUUUACUUCAUCCCUUCCCCUUCCCUGCACCUAUCUUCUUCCUCGACGACUCCCUCCGAAAUGGGUUCCCUUGCCGAACCAUAACCAAAAUAAAACCACGUCCGACGAGCCCUCACCAAUGUUUGGGAUCGCCGCCAAACCACCAUCGGGCGUCGGUCGUUCAGUCCGACCGAUGCCGGCCACGGCCGUUGGCCGAGACACGGCUCGGCCCCCACCGAGGUUAGCCGAGGGACGAAACUCGGCCUGAACGACCGGGUACCAUUCAACAUAGCCCUGAUACCGACAUCCUCCAAUACCUAACGGUGCCAUCACCGGUCACCGUCCCUUUCCCGGCACCAUCCACGACCAACCCAUAGAAAGAACAAAGAAAAUAUAUGCAGACCUAGCCUAGACAUAAUGUCGAGCACCUGUGUGCGUCGACUGAAAAGCUAACGAAAACUCAACUGGGAGAUGAAUCAACAGUCAAGGCAGAAGCAACAACCAAGCAAAGUCUAAGACAACAAAAUCGCAGCUCACCGGGAUCGGAGACUCGUGCGGGCCAGAGAACCGCGAGCUCCGGUCUGGUGAACUAGAAAAAUCUGAAUAAAAGGAGGUGCUCGGGUGACGGGGCCCUACUCGGCUCGAUAACGGCGGCCUGCAAGCAGGUUCGAAAUGGCACGAACCGUGGCCGACCACCCUAGUGUCAUCAAGACGAGAUCAUCGGGUUAAAGGGGACUGAACUCGAAAGGAGACUUACCGGAAGAAUGGAUGCCGGGAGGCGAGGUCACGGGCGCGGCCGAGCUUCUUUCCCGCUCUCUCCUAUCAAUUUCUCGCUUUGCUCUCACUCACGAUGCUCUGUCCCUCCGACUUUCUCCUGGUUCGGUCUCUCUCCAGCUCUCUCCCCUUCAAGCUCUCUCCCUCUGUCUUGCGGUGCUUCUGUUCUCUCCUCCCCCCCCCCCCCCCCCCCCCCCCAAAACCCAUUUUUUGCCCCUGCCUCCGGCUGUUCCCCCUGCUCCGCUCUGCUGUUCUGCUUUUCUUCUUUUUUACAGGCGCGCGAGGAAGGACUGCAGGAGGAGGACGACCAGCUGGCGGGCCGCGAGGAAGGCGGAGCUGGGCCUCCGUGGGGGAAAGAAAAGGAAGAGAUGGACCGCGCCCAGGCCCGCGCGGGGGAAGAAGAAAGAGAGGCGGGCCGGGCUAAGGUCGGAUCCGGCCCGACCCGGCCUCUCUUGUUCGUUUUUUAAUUAAUAAUUUGUUAAAUAAUAAUAAUUUUAAUUUUUUUAAAUUUUUUUAAAUUAAUUUUUUUUUACCAAUUCCUAACUUUUAAUGCUUUUAAGUCUUAAGUAAAAUUGGCAAAAUUUAGGUGUCAACACAAAUAAUAUAAAAGCACAGUAUAAAUUUGAUUCUCCUAAUCAAUGAGUAUAAAUGAGAAUAUGGGGGUGAAAAAAAUGUUACAAGAACUAAAACGUGGACUUUUCGAGAAGCUCCAAUAACAGAAAUGUCGCAUAUUCGGCAAGAUGCAAGUACGUCCAUCCAUCGAGAUGUAGUUUUUGGAGAAAUUCACAAACAGAUAUUGAAUGAAUAAAAACGUUUAGAAAAAUGUCAUAAAUAGCUUUUUUAGCUCAGUUAAAUAGAGCUUACUUUAGUAAGCGAUAGGUCUUGACUUUGAAUCUCAACGAGAUCCUUUGUACUAUGACUCGUAAUUUUUUUUUUUUUUCACAUCCAAUAUACUUCGUAACAAUUUUUUUGAUAAACAAAACUUCGACCGAGCCAAAAAAAUUAGUCACUUAAUAUAUGAUAGAGCCAACAUAUACAUACUAUAUGUGUGUGUGUGUGUGUGUGUUUUCUUAGUACAAAUGGUAAUACGAGCACCCAAUUAGUAGGGGGGAGGUUGAGUUCGACUCUCAACGAGACAAUUUGUCAUUCAAAAUUUUUCAUAACGAUUUUUUUUAUAAACAAAAAAUUCAAUUGAGCCAAAAAAUUUGUCACUUAAUAUAUCAUAAAGCCAACAUAUACAUGUAAUUCAUUUUUCUUGGUACAAAUGGGGAUACGAGCACCCAUUUAUUAAGCAGGAGGUUUUGAGUUUGACUCUCAAAUAAGUUUUCUUUUUUGUAAAUUCAAAAUUCUUCAUUACAAUUUUUUUAUUAAAAAAAAGAUCGACCGAACCAAAAAAAUUGUUAGUUAAUACAUCAUAGAGCCAACAUAUACAUACAAUAUAUUUUGUUUCAUUUUCUUGGUACAAAUGGGAUACAAGCACCCGUUUAGGGCGCGUUUGGUAACGCUUUUAUUCCCGGGAACAAUUUUUUAUCAUAACUGAUUCUUUUUUAUUCUGUUUCCGAAAGCAAUUUCUAAGCAUUUUAAGCCGUUUGAUAAUUGUUCAAAAUUUCAAUUCUCAAAAUAGAAUUGCGUUUGGUACAAUGUUUAAAAUUUUUAUUCCAAAUCAUUUUCUUUUAAUUUUUAAAUAAUUUUAUUACUUUUUCCCUUUUUUUCUUUUCUCUCUCAUAUUCUUCUUCUUCAAGUGGCCGGUCGCCGAGUCGAGGGCCGGCAAUCUCACUGGAGCGUUGCCAACCCUCGGUGAGGCCUGUCCUUGUCAGCCGAGCCUCGCCAGCAACUAGGCAAGGCUUGCCCAGCCUCGCCAGUGGCUAGGCAGGCCUUGACGGGGCUGGGCAAGCCCCACCGGUGGCUAGACGGGCCUCACCUGUGGCUGAGCAGGCCUCGCUAGGGUUGGACGAGGCUCCUCUCACUAGUGGUUGGGCUUGCCUCCGGCGAGCUCGCUAGACCUCACCCUGGCUUGGCGAGCCUCCAACAAGCUCGCCAAAUCGGUUGUCGGCGACCAGUGAUGGUGGGUGGCGGACGGCAACCGCAACGAUGGAUGAAGAAGAAGAAAAGGGAAGAAGAAGAAGAGAAAAUAUGGGCUUGAUUCUUGGAUUUGUUCUCUGAAACAAAAAACAACUUUUUAUUUAUUUUUUAUUCCGUUCCAAAACCACUUCCGGGAACAAAAAAAUAAAAAUUUGUUCCCAGGAACAAAAAUUUUACCAAACACGGUUCCGUUCCAAAACUACUCUCAAGAACAAAAGAAUAAAAUUUGGCACUGUUUGGCCGAUUACCAGACAGGCCCUUAGCAAGCCAAAGUUUUGAGUCCGACUCUUAACGAGAGCAUUUGUCUUGUGACUUAUAAUCUUUCUUUCUUCUACAUUCAAAUUUUUUCGCAACAACUUUCUUUGUAAACAUUCAAACUUCUGUCUUCUUGAUGCUGUUAAAAUCAGGGAUACGGAACUCUAGUGCGAAUGGAACUCACUGCGGUGAUGCUAACGAAUCCCACUGGAAUAUGCGGAGGACGGAAAAUCUUAGAGCUGGGGAAAAUGAAUGGGUUUGGGAUUAGAUCCGGCUUGGUUAUUGCCCCGGAGCUGACUCACCCAAGCCAUUAGAAAAGAGAACUCUAGAAAAAGAAUAAUGACCAAUGUUCUUUAUUGUUCAAGCAGAGACAUUUUCUAUCGGCUAAACCUUAUGCUUCUCACAUUCAAUGCUUGUGUUCCAUCUGAAGUUAUUUCUUACCACAUAAUUGUCGACAACCUAAUUUGACCAAUAAAUGCAGUACAUCUAUAUAGUAUCUGGAGAGGAGCUGUUUCUGCUAGCUAAGGAUUACAUCAAGUAUCUUUUUGGUGGAUGUCUUAGUGCUAGGUUAACCCGUGCGAUGCCCCAGUGAGGAAGAUUUUACAAGGAGCUAACAGAGAAGAAAGAGGUUGAUCAGUAUUGGUUAGUGUUGAAAAUUGAGAUCCAUUUUCUAAAACUAGCUAAUUUCUUCUAUUGUAAUCUAGAAGCUCCUAAGUAAAGGUUUUGGUAGUAGAAGUUGUGGUCUAAAAAUGUCCAAGUUAGAGAUGUUUGGAUGAAUGGCCGUGGACAGUUGUAAAGCAAAAAAAUCUCUGACAAAAGCAGAGAUCUUUCCUUGAAGAAUACUGUGGCUGACUUUAUGAGUAAAGCAAGAACUAGUUUGUGUAAGGUGGUGGAAACAUUAGAUAAACUCCACCCACGUGAACAUCCCAUCUUACAAUUAUGUAACGCCACAUUUCUAUCAACUAAAUAAACGAUAUUCUUGUCUCAUAAAUCUUUUUCUAUUUUCCUCAAAGUAUUCAUCCUUGUCCAUUCCCCUACAUCAACUAUACCAUAAACAUAUACAUUUACACAUACAAACAAAAAGAUAUCAUUGAUAUCAAAGUCAUGCUUCGGCACAAUCUCACCAUUUCCAACGGUUAGAGAAGGCGAUAAUUAAUAUCCCGACCUAGUGGGACGGUCCUGAGAAGUAAAGGCGCAGGGACAGAAUAUAGACAAGAUUUGUCUUCCAGCUAUGAUGAUGGCCUCUGAACAAUUCAUCUUCGUCUUCCCCAGUCAUUUUAGAUGGAAUGGCGAUAUCAUUCCACGGUUCUAGUUUUGCAGUGAUCCAAAGCUUGAUCUUGCUAGACGAUGAGAAAGCUGUCUUGUGUAGUUGUUACACCAUCUGUCAUGGAAUUUUCGUGCAAAAUUUCACAAGAACAAGGUCAGAUGAAUGAAGGAUUGAAGUCUAUGUCAUUCUGUUUUGUUGCAGUAUGAAUGACUGAGUUCAAGUUGAUUCAAAGCGUUAGAGCAAUUGGGACUUGAUAGGCUGCUUCAUCGGGUGAGGACUUCUUCGUUCCAACUUUUUCUCUCCCUUUUGAUUCGUUUUCAUUUCUGCUAUUGAUUUUGUCAUUUUGAGCUUAGGUUGCUACCUAAUAGGCAGAAUUUUUGUAACAUUUGAUAUGAUAUGCAGAUACACAUUACUUGUGUAUAUCUCGAAAAUUCCCACUUUUAGACACUGCUUUUGGCUGGCUUCUAAAAAAUGCCCUUCUAUUAAUCUUCCGAGCGUUAAAAACUACAAAUAAAAACUAAAAAAGUCAGAUUGUGAGAGCAACUUCUGUUUGCUCUUUCUUUUGUUUUGCAUUGCAUAUUGGUCCUUCACCUAUUUUGUAUGCUGACAGCUAAUUAUAAACACCAAGUUGCUUCAAAGGUCAUAUUUGAAACGAGCAUAUACUGAAAUGUAGGGGCAAAAGAAAUUAUGCAGGUUCUCGAAACUCUGGUGGUUGACCGUGGGGACAUCACCCGACCCUGGUAUGUUGAGCUUUUUGAUGGCGAUGAUUUGGCCGCUGGCCAGUUCGGCCUUGUAAAUGCUCCCAAACCAGCCCUUUCCGAUGCAGUACUUUUCACUGCAGCCAUUGGUAGCCUUGGCGAUGUCAUUGAAUGUGAACUUUCCUUCCCUUCCCCAUAUGAUUGACUUGGAUUGCUCUUGCUUCACAAGACUCUUGAUCUCUUCUUUGAAUUCCUUGUUUCACCACCGAACUGCCAGAAUCAUAGCAAUUGAAGUCACUAGAAGUAGUAAACAGCAGACUCCCAGGGUCACACCAAAAAGAACCUUUUCCCUAGGUCGGUCAAUUUACCGCUCGUCCCACAAGGAGAUAAUCUGGUCGCGUUUCCACACAAACCUGGACUCGCGAUUAAAAAACUUCCCUGUGCUUGUUGGGAGAGGCGACCACUACGAACCGCACUGAUUGGCUCGUUGUACGAUAAGUCUAUUGAGCUUCAACUCCUCAUGCUGGUGAGAGGAGCUGGGAUCGUACCCGACAAUUUGUUACGCAAAAGAUUGAGAUUUUCCAAUUCAACAAGCUUUGCUAAAUUGGAAGGAAUUGAUCCUGCUAGAGAUAUGUGGCUCAGGUCCAGGAGAUUCUGUAACGUGAACAAGUUCCCCAGCUCUGGCAAUAUGACAUCCAACAGAUUGUUGUUGUUCAAGUUCAAGCUCAGUAAAUUCUUGCAAUUCGUUAGCUCUUCUGGUAUGCUACCGCUCAAUGCCUUCUCCCCGACAAAUCAAGAUAUUCUAGCUUCGAUAAGUUUCUUAACGAGAUGGGAAUGUCUCUGGCCAAAUGGUUGUAGCUCAAGUUCAGCCUAAUCAAUGCCCCCAGAGUUACCAAAUCAUAGGGAAUUUUCCUAGUCAAUUCAUUGCCAUAUGGAGUCAGAUCGCACAAUUGAGACAAUUUCCCAAGCUCCGGCGAGAUGCGGCUGGGGAUUUUGUUACCAUCUAUUUGCAAAUUCGUGACAUUCGUGCACUCUCCCCAUUCUGCAGAGAGAUUCCUGACAAAUAGAUUGUUGCUAAGGGCCUGAGGCUUAUAAAGUCCAGAUUCAGAUAAACCCCAAACACACUCAUGACAUCUGCAGUGAACCGAUUGCUGUCCAGACGGACUCUCGUUAGCCCUGGACAAUUCCUAAGCAGUCGGGCAGCGGCUCGGUGAAGUUAUUGUUAAAGCUCAUAAAACAACAAUCAAAACAGAAAACAUAUAUGUUGUUUGAGGGAGAGAAAGGAUAAAAAAACAGAGCAUAACACUUCAUACGUUUUGUGCAAAAGAAAAAACUGUCAAGUACCACAACUAAAUACAAAGCAAAAACUGCUCACAUACGUGCUAUUAACUUCCUAGAAAAUAGCAAAAACACUAAAUGCAUAACUAAAUGAACUUGGCUAUUAAAAAAAUAACAAAGGAAAAUAGAGGAAAAAACACGACCGAAAACAGCAGCACUGAGACAAUUCCAACAAACUCCUCCUUGGAUCACUUGUUGCUGCAAAUUCCUAUUUUCUCUCUUAACAGCUCAAAUUUUCCAGCCUGAAGUGGUUUUGUGAACGUAUUUGCAAGCUGAUCUUCAGAUCUGCAAUAGAUCAACUUAACUUCACCACUUUGUUACACCUCACGCAGAAAGAAAAAUUUGACUUUAAAAUGCUUGGUUUUGCCAUGGAAAACUGGAUUCUGUGAUAUUGCUAGAGCAACCUGAUUGUCCACAUUGACUUCGAUACAAUCACUGGAAUUCAACCACAAAUCCUUCAUUAUCUUCUUUAGCCACAAAGCUUGAUUUGCAGCUGUAGUAGCUGCUAUAAACUCAGCCUCUGCAGUAGACUGAGCUACAAUCUCUUGCUUUUUAGAACAUCAGGAGAAACAAGCAAAACCAAAACUGAAACAAUAUCCAGACGUACUCUUCAUGUCAUCUAUUGAACCGGCCCAGUCACUAUUAGAAAAUUCUUGCAAAUUAAACUUCUGACAUUUCUUAAACUUCACACCAAAGAACAAUGUUCAUUUGAGAUAUCUCAAGACCUUUUUUACUGCAAUCAAAUGUAACUGACUAGGACUAUUCAUAAACCUGGAUAAAAUACUUACAACAAAUAGAAUAUUUGGUCUGGUUGCUGUAAGAUACAUGAGACACCCAAUCAGACUUCUAUACAUAGAAGUAUCUACUGCAUCUGUUCCAUCAUUCUUGUGCAGCUUCUCUUUAGCAACCAUAGGAGUGCUUACACUUCAACAAUCUUCCAUCUGAAACUUCUUUAGAAUUUCCUUCAUCUAUUUUUUCUGACAGAUGAAGAUCUCAUUUGAAGCUUGUUUGACUUCCAAACCCAAAAAAUAAGUCAUUUUUUCCAAGUCCGAUAUCUCAAAAACUGCAAAUAGAUCUCGCUUCACCUUCUCUAUCAAUUCCAUAUCAUUCCCUAUCACUAAUAGAUUAUCUACAUAAAGUGACAGAAUUAUAACAUUGUGAUUCACCUUCUUGACAUAAAGAGUGAACUCACUUAAGCUUUUUACAAAGCCAAAAUCCUAUAAAUAUCGAUCUAUAUUCCCAUACCAAGCUCUUGGAGCCUGCUUCAGUCCAUAUAGAGGUUUCCUUAACCUAUAUACACUCUCUUCUUGCCCGUUGAUACUGAAGCCUUCAGGUUGUUCAACAAAAUCUCCUCCUCAAGCUCUCCAUUCAGGAAUGCAGACUUGACAUCUAACUGAAAUAUAGGCCACCCCUUCUCUGUUGCAAUAGCUAACAGUGACCUUAUUGUAUCAAGUCGUGCAAUAGGAGCAAAUGUUUCAGAAUAGUCUACUCCCCAUAUUUGUGCAUAGCCUUUUACCACCAGUCUAGCUUUGUGUUUAUUGACAGAACCAUCAGGAUUAAGUUUUAUUAUAAACACCCACUUAACCCCAAUCACAUUCUUAUCAGAUGGUCUAUCAACAAGCUCUCAUGUGUGGUUUUUCUGGAUCAUUGCAAUCUCCUCCUACAUUGCUGUAAUCCACCUCUAAUCCUCCUUAGCUUCCACAAAGUUAGAUGGUUCGAGCAUUGCCACAUUGCUUUUUUCAUAGAUUUCAGCAAGUGACCUUGUGCCUCUCAUGUGACACCCCGAACCCUUCGCAGGUCGUCACCAGCGCCGGUGUUACAUCUUUUACCAUCUCUAUCUCUUGGCUAAAUUAAGCCUUGCCAGAUUACAGGCAUUUUUUUUUCUUUUUCUUUUAAAGCGGUCCCAUGCGCGACUCAUAACGGAAGCAAAAUUCACAUCGUCAUCUAUCUCCCUUCUAACCCAUGAUACAAAUACACACCAGCUAAACAUCAUGAUUUUAUAAACGAACAUCGACACAUUAUUUACAUAUAUUUUCAAGAUGGGAUUACUCUCGGGUCGGUACAUAACAAGGAAAAGCUAGGACUCAGCCAUGUCCAGCCUAAAACCUCAAAAAGAAACCUCGACCCUUAACAUCAUGUGAACAAAGAACCCUCCCAUCGAAAGCGUCGGUUUUCUACAUCAAAAAGUGAUCUAGCUCCUACUCCUCGCGUACAGGUCUCACACCCAACCCGGUGUGUCAGGUGGUGGCGGCAGCAGCAUCCCUCGCAUCGCUCCAUCCCGUCGAACGUGCACAGAUAGGAACUCUUGUAUGAUAGGGCCCCCAGCCAGGCCGAUAUCAUACAUAACUAAGCAUCGCACUCGGAUAAACGUCAAUCCGGGCACAGAGGGACAAUCUAUCUCCGUACACUCCACCUCAACAUCAGACGGUAGACCGUAAAAUACCCCACGCAAAACAGCAGGUAGCGGCAUAGUGCUAAUCUGAAAUGUUAUCCCCAAAAGGGGUGAGUACAACCACUCAGCAGAUAGGGAAAUCUAAUGACAACUCAGUGCACCAUGCAUACCAUCAUACAAUGCAGGCAUUGCUUACCUUUUUUAUGUCAAGCGUAUUCAUGCAUCAUCAUAGCAUAUAUAUAUCAUCAUCAUGGCGUCUCAUAUAUCAUUAUCAUCACAUCAUCAUUAACCAUGCAUCACCAUGCAUAUCACAUCAUAUCAUCAUUAGCCAUGCAUCACCAUGCAUAUCACAUCAUCAUUAGCCAUGCAUGACCAUGCAUAUCACAUCAUAUCAUCAUUAGCCAUGCAUCACCAUGCAUAUCACAUCAUAUCAUCAUUAACCAUGCAUCACCAUGCAUAUCACAUCAUAUCAUCAUUAGCCAUGCAUCACCAUGCAUAUCACAUCAUCAUUAGCCAUGCAUCACCAUGCAUAUCACAUCAUAUCAUCAUUAACCAUGCAUCACCAUGCAUAUCAUAUCAUCAUUAGCCAUGCAUCACCAUGCAUAUCACAUCAUCAUUAGCCAUGCAUCACCAUGCAUAUCACAUCAUAGAUCAAUUUCCACUUUUAUUUAUCAAUUGAUCCCCACAUUAUCUUUUCUCAAAUCAUCAAAUUCACCAUCAUCACCAUCCCUUCGGGCAGAAACCUCCGACAGGGAUCCCAGUAACCCAGCCAUCUCAUGGCCACUGGGCUUCCGGCCCCCCACAUUCCGGGCAUCUCGCAUCUCAACUAGCAUCACGAGGCAUUCCCUUCGGACAGAAACCUCCGACAGGGCUUCCGGCCUUUACCCUUCUAACCGGGGAUCUCGCACCCUAAUCCUGGCAUCGCGAGUCACUCCCUUCGGGCAGAAACCUUCGACAGGGCUUCCGGCCCCCCACAUUCCGGGCAUCCUGAAACUCCCAGGGAAUCUCUGGAAUUAUGCCACUCGGCCACCAGAUAUCAUCCUCCGCCACAACCUCUUACUCACAUACCAUUUUCCACUUUUUAUCAUCCUUUUCAUCUUGUUAUUUCAUGGCAUAUGAUUUACAUACAUGCAUCACAAUUCAUGAUCAUUCAUACAUCAAUGCCAUAUAACAAUACAUCAUAAUUCAUGAUCAUACAUGUAUCAAUGUCAUGUAGCAAUGCAUCAUAAUUCCAUAGGACUCAUGGCCAAUAAAAUAAUCCACCUUUUAUUUUAUUAUUAUUUAUUAUUAUAUUAUUAUAUUAUUAUAUUAUUAUAUUAUUAUAUUAUUAUAUUAUUUAUUUUCAUAAAUAAAUAUUAUAUUUAAUAUUUAUGAUUUUCCAAAAAUCAUAAUCUUCAAUCAAUCAUUAAACAAACAAUUAGAAUCAAAUUUCACAUAAAAUCCAUGGCUAAUUUGCAUUUUACAUAAUUUCCCAAAUUUCCACAAAAUACACACAACAUUCGGAUCAUGGCCAGAUUGCACAGUUUUCGAAUUAAUUCAAUUAAAAUACUCAUAUGACCUCCGAAAAUUCCCAAAUUUUACAGGAUGAUAGCCAACACAUUUUCGUGCAUUUUUCAUGAAUAACUCUAAGCAAAAUUCUUUAUAUAUUAAUUUAUAUAACUCCACGAAGCUUCUGGAACCUCUACCGUUUCGUCCAGAACGUACAUCACCGAAAAACUUAGGUUCGACCCAUCAAAUCUCUUUCGUUUCUCCUGAAAUUCGAGUAUGUUAUAUAUCAAUGUGUCCUUUACAAGUUUCAUGAAGAGAUCUAGGUUAAAUAACCAAAGCAUGAUCCUCUUUUAAGUCCUUGAAGUCUCGGGUGUCUCGGUUCACUUCAACAGAACCAUCCGUCUCAAAGAUCUAGCUGGUUAACUAGGCUAUACUCAUUUUUUCUCCUAAAAUUUGAGUAUGUUAUAGUUUAUGAUGUUAUCUACAACAUUCAUGAAGACAACAAAGUGAGAUCUCCAACAGAAAUCAACAUGCAACCAAGAAAUCAACAAAAGGUCAGUAGGAAAUUCGCAGAUCUAAAGCCUCCGUGAAAUAGAACUUUUGACCCCUCAUAUCACCAUAGUUUUCCAUGAAAUUCGAGUAUGUCAUACCUCAAGAUGUUAUCUUCAACUUUCAUGAAGACACUGAAGCCAAAAUCACACUUCAAAUACACAUGCAAGCUCGAAUAAGAUACUGUCUACCACCAACCGAACGGAAACAGCCACAUAACAUGAACACAUUCAACCCUUACUUCGGUAUUUCGCCCAAAUCACCCCUAAACCCGAACAUGCAACCAUCAAAACAACAUGCAAGAGAAGUUAAGGACCCCCCACUUGCCUCCAAAAUGAACGAACAGCAAGCACAAGGCGGCGUAGGAUGGUCGGACAAGGUGGCGACGGCGAGACACGACGGCGGCAACUCUCGGCUCCACCUCCUCUCUCUCGGUCUCUCCCCUUUCUCGAACACUCUCUCUCUCUCUCUCUCUCACCUUUCUCGGCCAAAAUGAGCUAGAGGAACCGGCCACUCUCUUUCCUAAUCCCCUUUUUAUAUCCCCUCAAUUGCAAUGAUUAACUCACCUCAACCAUGGCCAAUGCAUGAGGGCUUGUCUUGCCACUUGUAAUUCUUGUUUUUAAAUUUGAAUUUCAAUGGGCUUGGGCUUAGGCCCAACCGGCCAUUUCUCCUUCUUGGGCUGGUCGAACUCCCCUCUUGGGCCCAAUGGGCCGACUAGCUUGGCCCACCAAGCUCUAGGCUAAUGGGUCCAAGGCCCAUUUCGAAAAUAACCCUAUUUUCUCUUCUUUUUUUUUUUGAAUUCCUAUUUAUAAAUAUUUCUAAAUUCAAAUUUCAUCUUGGCCAAAGUCUUGGGAUAUUUCAAUUAUUGAAAUUUAAAUCAUAUGGCCAAGCAUUUAAAUUUAAAUUUCCACAACACAAGCAAAAUUCAUCAAAUUAAAAGACAAAUUGGCUAAAGCAUAAGCCAUAAAAUUCUAUCACCUAAUUAAAGACAUUUAACACACCUUAAGGCUUGGCUUUGAAUUUCCGGGAUGCCACAUCUCACUAGUAAAUCAUCCAUACUGUCUUCUAAUCCAUCUAUAACUUCAUCAACCUCUACAUCUGUUGCAGGUUGUUUUUCGAACUGCUGUUGUUUUGCACUCUUUCCUUCCAUCCAAUUCCACUCAUCUUCCCCUAGAAAAAUAACAUCUCUACUCACAAUCACCUUCCUUGUCAUGGGAUGGAAAAUCCUAUAAGCCUUUGAUUGAAGAUUAUACCCAAUAAAGAUUCCAAGCUCUACUUUCUUAUUCAGCUUGUCCCUCUUGACCUCAGGAACAUGAGUGUAACACAAACACCCAAAAACCUUCAAAUUCUUCAUAGAAGGUCUAACACCAUGCCAGACUUCAAAAGGUGUUGACUUCUCUAAGGCCUUUGUGGGCAAUCUAUUCAAUAGAAACACUGCAGUAUUAGCUGCCUCAACCCAGAACUUCUUAGGUAACUUCUUCUCCUGCAUCAUACAUCUAGCCAUCUCCAUAAGGCUUAUGUUUUUCCUCUCACUCACCCCAUUCUGUUGAAGUGAAUAGGGAGCAGUGAACUGCUGUACAAUUCUUGCUUGCUCACAAUUCAACUUAAACUUGUGAGCUGUAUACUCAGAACCAUUAUCAGACCUGAGCAUUUUAAUUUUCUUCCCACUCUGAUUCUCAACUAAGGCUUUGAACUUCACAAACACAUCAGCAACUUCAGACUUGGCUCGCAGAAAAUAAAUCCAACUCAUCCUAGUCAUAUCAUCAGUGAAAGUAAUGAAAUACCUACUACCAUUGAGAGAAGACUCGGACAUAGGUCCACAUAAAUCUGUGUGGACUAAUUGUAGCUUCUCACAUGCUCUCCAGCCUCCUCCUUUGAAAGGAAAUUUGGCUUGCUUGCUAAGAAGACAAGUUAUGCACCGUGGAAAUUCCUCCUCCAAACUUGGCAAGUCAUCUGCCAAGUUAUUCCUCUGCAUAAACGACAUGCUCUUCUUGUGAACAUGCCCAAGUCUUUUAUGCCAUAGCUUUGCAUUUUCUUCUUUGCACUUUAAAGCCAUUUGUUGCAUCUCUUGUGGCUUGAACAUGAAACUCUUGUCCUUCAUUGGGAUUCUUAGCACUUCUUUGCUAUAUGCAUUAUUAAUAAGAUGUUCCUUCUCUUCGAACUUCACUUUAUAGCCCUUCUCAACUAAUUGACCAACACUUAACAAAUUCUAGUCAAUAUUUGGCACAAAAAGAACAUCACUGAUCAGCUUCACCUCCCGAUUUCCUUCAAUAACCACUGUACCCUUCCCUUACACUUCGAUAUACUGUCCAUUUCCAAUUCUAACUCUGGACCUGACUGACCUGUCUAGACUCCUAAACAACUUCGAAUUGCCAGUCAUAUGAUUGGUACAGCCACUAUCCACCAGCCAUGCAUCAUUCCCAACAGAAGAUCCAGGAAAUGAAGCUACAAACAAGUGCUCUUCCUCAAUUUCAUUCACUGCAACCUGUGCUUCUCCUGCUUGCUAGUAAUUUUUCUGUUUGUAGAUGGUUUCCAUGUGACCCAACUUGUGACAUCUUCUACACCUAGCAUCAGGCUUUCUCCAACAUCUAAAAAACUGAUGAUUAGUUCCACCACAAUAUUGACAAGGUUUUUUGUUCUUCUUCCAUUUGCUAGACUCACCAGAAUUUCCUUCUUUUGCUAUAAACUUGGAAUCACCAGCAUUUCCUCUCAACUGAAUCCAUUUCUUCCAUUUGCCUCCAUCAUUGGACUUCACUCUAGCUUGCAGUGCACCCUCUACAUGCUCUUCUCUUUUCAUCAGUCUUCUGUGCUCCUGUGCCUGCAGAGCAUUUAAUAAUUCUGCAAGCUUUAUAUCAGCUAAGUCUCUUGUAUUUUCCAAAGACGCUAUGGUGGCUUUGAACUUCUCUAGAAGAGACACCAGGAUCUUCUAAACAAGCCUUUCAUCCUUCAAGUUAGUUUCUAAAACUUUGAUUUUUUCAGCUAUCUCAACCAGCCUAUCAAAGUACUCCUUCACUGACUCUGAAUCCUUCAUCUAUUGUCUCUCAAACUCCCUCAAGAGAUUCAGCACCUUCAUGCCUCUUAUCUUCUCAUCUCCCUCGUAUUCAUCCUUCAAGAAGUUCCAUAUUGCCUUUGCAGAAUCACAUCUCAUGAUCCUUGUGAAGACAGUGGGUGAAACAGCAGCAUACAUGCAAGACUUUGCCUUAGCCUUCUUUGGGAUUCUCUCUUUAUGGUACUUUAUCUGAUUUAAGGUCGGAUUAACUGGAAGUGGAGCAACCUCAUAAUCAUUCUCCACAGCCUCCCAUAGAUUGUGACCCUCCAAGAAUGCUGUCAUCUUGACAGCCCAAGCUUGAUAAUUUUCCCCAGUAAAGACUGGAGCAACCAUUGUAGAGAAUCAACUCGAUCUUGCCUCCAUCAGCUUUUUCUUUGCAAAUUGGAAGCAAUCUUCACUCACUUACCCUCACUUCACAGUCCCUUAAGAUCCUACAAACGCUCUAAUACCAAUGUUAAAGCUCAUAAAACAACAAUCAAAACAGAAAACAUCUUUGUUGUUUGAGGGAGAUAAAGGAUAAAAAAAAAAAAAAAAACAAAGCAUAGCACUUCAUAUGUCUUGUGCAAAAGAAAAACUGUCAAGUACCACAACUAAAUACAAAGCAAAAACUGCUCACAUACGUGCAACACAUAACUGCACACAAACGUACUAUUAACUUCCUAAAAAAUAGCAAAAACACCAAAUGCAUAACUAAAUGAACUUGGCUGUUUUUUUUUUUUAAAAAAAAAAAAGAGGAAAACAGAGGAAAAAACACGACCGGAAACAGCAGCACUGAGACAAUUCCAAUAGUUAUUCCCAUCGACCGCGAGAUAUCAAAGAGCAAAGCCGUUGCAUAUAUCUGGCGGCAGCUCUCUGGUGAAGCUGUUGUUCGAAAAGCUAAUGUUGCCCAGAGAAUGGCUGUACUUGCCGAAAUCACGUGGUAUGCCUCCCGAGAAAUUGUUCAUGAACAAAGAGAUGGACUGUAAGUGAUACUACGUCAUGGCUUUUUCCUUCCCAACCCUGAUCUCCUCUUCUUCAACUUGAAGUGCCUCCUUGGUGGUAUACUUGCUCGUCAUCUUGCAAACCGACCUUCAUCACUGACAGCCUCUCAAACUUGAUCUCGUAAUCAAUCGACUCGAUUUUGUCGUCCAAUGUGUCACCUUCGAUUAUCGGCUACCUACACACGAAGUUCUCCUUGUCAAGCUCAUCGAUCCGGUGCUUCACAUUCUUGAAAUGACUAGCUGCAUUUGUGACCAAACAAGACUUACAUUAUGAAACUCCCGGCUUGAUGAGUGUUUGUUGAGUGUACGUACCUUCGGCGAUAUUAACUUGCUCAAUGCUCCCGGCUCCUCCGUCGCCUUGCACGAGCUCCACGCUCUUUAUGAACUGAGGCAGGAGCUUUGGGAUCAGGGAAUUCAACCCGACGAUCAAGGCCUUGAACAUGUGAGCUGGUGCAAUCGGGCAUGUGAGCUCUUGUGUGAUGCUGGUUGCACCCAUGGCUAUUGGCAAUGAGAAAGAAAUAACCCCAGAGAAGUUGGUGCUUCUGAGUCCUGCCAAUGCCUCCUAUUUAUGGUUAGAAUUAUGUGAAUAGGUAGGCUUGGUUUGGCAAGAGUCACGUAUGAGGAAAAUAAAAGAGUCAAGGAUUCGCGGCCUAAAGAAAUGUAAAAGAGGAAUUAAGUUGGUCUCUUUUGUUCUCUUGGUCAUGAAAAUGAUUUCGGUCCCUUUUCAGAUUCAAGUUGUUGAAAUAUCAAAGUAUAUGUUCCAAAAGAUGAACACAAGAGAGCGCAUUCUCAUGCUCACAUGGGCGGCCGUCACUUAGAAUUGAUUGUUGUGGAGUUUGAUAUGACGAUUCAGCGAUAUCGUAAUCAAAUGUCCUUGUUUAGACAAGCGAGUGUUCAUUGAAUUUCAUUCAAUAUGUAGCAAACAAUAACACUUAAUAAAUUAGUGAUAUCACAAUAAUAUGUCGCACAAUAUAAACAUCACAUAAAAUAUUUCUUCACACUCGAUGCCUUAAUGUUGUGGUAAAUCCAUUUCAAUUCAUCCAAUAAGGCCUUUCGUAAUCAUUUCCAUAAAAUUUAAAAGAAAAAGGUUAAGGUUGAUAAAGCUUCACUGACACCGGCGGUUUGACUGGGUCAAAAUAGGGUCGGCAACGGGGUGUCCCAAGAUCAGCUCAUCAUCUGAGUGGGAGGGGAUGUGGAGGCUGCUGCUUUUCCGUUAUAAUUUUCUUCUCUUUUUCUUUUCUUUUUUUCUUUUUCUAUUAUUGUUGAAUCGUUUGAUCUCUAAUCCAUUGUCCCCAUCAAGAAUCAAGAUAGGAUUAGCUUAAAUAGAAUUCAAAUAGCCGAAGUGUUGCAAUAAGAUAAGUCUAAACCCUAAACACAUUCAACAAUUUUUGUAUAGCUUUAUUGAUAUUUAAUAAAAAUGUACUUUUCCUUAAAAAUUUUACUUAUUGCGGGUUAUGAAAAAUUGUGCCACAUUGAUAUGUUUAGAUGAUCGAUCUGGGUCAAACGGGAUCGAUUGUCCAUAUUCGAAAUAUCAGGCCGCAGUUUACCAUGAAUUCAUUUGUCACUCAUGAAUUCUCUCCAUGUAGCGCAGUUUACCAAAUUCCAUAAAACCACUACACCAGAUUCCUGCCACACCUUUCAUUCUCUCAUUCUCAGCAAAGACGAGAACAACAACAAUCACCAGCCCAACAUGCUUUAACUUCAAACACCGAGUGACUCAAACGCUUCUUGUCGCCUAUUUAGUUUAGCCCAACCGGACAUAUUUAAUACGUUACAUGAACAAUAAAAGAUAGCGAUGAGAUCGGCGCAACAUGCAUCAGGGUUUGCCACGACAGAAGCCUCGAUGGCCUUAACCAUCGCGUCCGCCUUCUCUUUCCCGGCCUUGAUCUCCUCCUCGGUGAUAUUCACCUCGCCAAUGGUUAAGUACUUGCUUGUGCUCUUCAACAUCGAGCCUCCGUCGGGCGACGCGGUGAUCUUCACCUCGUAACUGAUCUUCUCAAAGUCGGUGCCCAGCGGGUCACCCUCGAUGAUUGAGUAGCAGUAGGUGAAGUUCUCCUUGUCCAAGGCCUAGACCUUGUGCUUUGCCGUCUUGUACCGACUGCCUAUCAAAGUAACAAAGUAACAUUCACAUUUAGAACUCGCCGGUUUCAACAUUGUGAGCACUGAUCUUGAUGGUGUAGAUCCAGCCAUUUAGGAAUUAACCCCCAACCCCAAUCCAAUACUAUUGACUUAGACAUGGCCUGAUUUUGCCCGAUCGAAAUCGCGUCACAUGAUCACUUGCGUAAAUUUAAACAGUUAGAAACAUAUUAAUUAAUCAAGUCAUAUAUCUAUCCUUUUCAAUGUUCAUUAUAGUGUUCUAGGUUGAACCCGCCUUGAUUCGGAGCGAUCCUAAGUUCCUAAUACGGAAGGACUAACUUUCGCAGAAAGUCAUACCUCCAUCGCCCUCGAGGACUUCAAUGCUCUUGACGUCUUGUGGGAGGACCUUGUUGAUGAGGUUAUCGGCGUCAAGGAGAGUGGCUCAAACAUCUCGGCUGGAGGGAUUGGGGACGUGGUCUCGAAGUCAUUAGUGAUGACACCCAUGACUGGAUCCGAACAGAGUUGCUGAAACUGAGAAGAGGGUGAUGAUCAGGAAAAGACUUGGGCGUGAUGAAGUUGGUCUCUAGGACUUGGGAGUGAAGAAAGGAGGCUAAACUGAAGAUGACAUAUAUAGAGAGAGACUGAGUGUGAAGGGUUAUGAUUACUGAAUAUUUCCUUCUUACUUAAGAGGGUUUCGUAGAAAAUAAAUAAUUUGAAAAAUAUUUUCUUAAAAAUAAUCACUAAAUUUGGAUACUGUUUCCAAGCAAAAGUUAAUUGGUGAGUGUGCUACAUAUUCUAAAUUGAUCUAAAUCCAUAUAGAACUCACUAGAAUUAAAAGUCAAGAUUCUCCUUAAUAUAAAUACGAUGAAAAAAUGCUACCUCAUUUCCGAGUGUUCGUCAAAAUUGGUUUGUAUGUACUAUGUUAAUCUAAAUCGCUAAAUUUGAUGGAUUCACAUGGGAUCCAUACGAAACUCACUAGAAUUAAAAGUUCAAAUUCCACUUAAUAUAAAUACGGUGCUCUUUCCUCAAAAUUGUGUUGUCUAUACUAAAUUGAUUUAAAUCACUAAAUCCGAUGGGUUCUUGUGAUACCCAUAUGGAACUCACUAGAAUUAAAAAUCCAAAUUCAGCUUAAUAUAAAUAUGACCAUAGCUCAUUUCCGAGUCUUCAUCAAAAGUGUGUUUGAUGUCCUACAUUGAUAUAAAUCACCAAAUCUGAUGGGUUUGCAUGGGAUCCAUAUAGAACUUACUAGAAUUAAAACUCCAAAUUCCCCUUGAUAUAAAUACGACACUACCUCAUCUCCGAGUCUUCAUCAAAAUUCUGCUAAAGGUACUAACUUAAUCUAAAUCGCUAAAUUUGAUGGGUUCACGUGGGAUCCAUACGAAACUCACUGAAAUUAAAAGUUCAGAUUCCAUUAAUAUAAAUAUGAUGCUCUCUCAUUGAAAUUGCAUUGUAUGUACUAAAUUGAUUUAAAUUGCUUAAUCUGAUGGGUUCAUGUGGGACUUAUAUGGAACUCACUAGAAUUAAAAGUCUAGAUUCUGCUUAAUAUAAAUCAACCUUGGCUCAUUUCCGAGUCUUCAUCAAAAGUGUAUUGUGGGUUCACGUGGGAUCUAUAUAGAACUCGUUGAAAUUAAAAGUCCAGAUUCCUAUUAAUAUAAAUAUGACACCACCUCAUUUCCGAGUUUUCAUCAAAAUUAUAAGUUAAUCUACGGGUUUGUUUUGUUAUUAUGACUUUUGAGAUUCCCUUUCAUGUAUUAGUUUGGUAAUGAAUAGAAAUUUCUUUUUGACCCAAAAAAAAAAUUAAUCUAAAUCGCUAAAUUCUAUGAGUUUACAUGGGACCCAUAUGAAACUAUGGAACUCACUAAAAUUAUAAGUCUAGAAUCCACUAGAUAUAAAUAUGACGCUAGCUCAUUUCCAAAUCUCCGUCAAAUGCUUUUUUCUCAUCACUUUGAAGCUUCCGAUCGCACCCCACUUUGUUGCACGUGAAUCGGGAAUGUUUUACGACGCCAAAGUCUUUGUUAAAUCUCAAAAAGAUUGAGUCAACGUGGAACAACAACUCAAUUGUAAGCAUCGGGGUUUUGCAAGAGAUGGGCUCCAAUGGCUUUCAACAUUCCCAUGGCCUUCUAUUUGCUAGCUUUGUUCUCGACCCCGUCCUUGGCGAAGUACUUGCUCGUGCUCGUGCUCGUGCUCUUGCACGUGCACCCUCUCUGUCUGGACUUGAUCUCGUUCGAGAUCUUCUCUAGCGCGUCGCCCUCGACGAUGGUGUAAGCGUGCGCGAGCUUUCCUUGUCCAGCUUGUGGACUGGUGCUUCACCGAGUUGAACCGUCUAGCCGUGACACACAGAAAACUGCAGUCAGCUCCCACGUUAGUCUUAUCAAAGAAUGUCAGGCCAAUGUCUUGACAUCACAUGUUGAUGCGACGUGACCAAAAUGAAUGAAAUUAGAAGACGCGCAAGUACUCGCCUCCACCGAAAACGAUGCGAUGGUGACGGGACAGCCAUCACCUUCAAGGGUGACAAAAUCCAGACUGGCUUGUGGGAGGAGCUUGGGGAUGAGAUUUUUAUCAAGAUCAAAGGCCUUGAACAUUCGUGCAGGUGGGAUGGAAUGCGUCUUCGCCUAAGAUUUCCGAGUCCCAGGGCAAGAUAUGUGAGAUUAUGUUGAAAUGCCCUUUAAAUGAUUCUCAAUCUCCUCGUUUAGCAAUCUAAAUCAGCAUCACAAUGUUCUUAAAUAAUACAACAAAAAAACAGGACAAAACGCAUGGAUCUCAAGCCCAAAUUAUACUUAUUAGCAUGCGAGAGAUCUUUGAAUGCAAACACCCUUGAGGGUGGGAAUUCACUAAAUUAUAACUUAAAUAUUCUAACGGCACCAACGGCUUGGACAAGCAAGCUUGAGUGCAUGCGGACAAUUCUUGCGCAAUGAAAUGCAUGGUAAGUCGCGAAUCGAGACUCGUCCACGUACACGCUAUUGCGACCAUGACCAUGAAGACCACUUCCUUGACCAGUUGGCUAGUCGGAGGAGGAAGAUGUGGGUCGAGCAUAUCCUAUAGUGGCACAUUUGAGUCUUUCAAUAAUGUCGACAUUUGUGUCAUUUGUAGGGAAGAGAGAAGAUUCCUGGAUGCUUCCCCAUCAUUCUCUAGCAUUGGUACUUUUACUGUUGACUCUGUUUCAUGAAAGAAGAAUGAAUCUAUGUUUUUAUUACAACCUCAAGUUGCCUACAAAUUCCAAAUUUUUGAGAUACUGUUAAUACAAACCACUUUUCAAAAUCUGUACUUGCUCUUCCUAAAAAGUCUUAUUAGAAGUAUUGGACGAAUCCAAAUUCAAUAUGUCAAUUAAAGCUAUUUGAUCAACCCGAGACCAUAGGUACAGGGGGAAUGUAUUGAUUAGAUUUGAUUACGUAGCUUACCAGAAACCAUGUAGUCAUAAGAUCUAGCCACAGGGAUCCAAUUCGAUGAAUCCAAAUUCAAGAGCCUCACCGUCCCAAAAACCAAAAGCCGAGGCUCGAAGUCCGACUCGAGCAAGAUGUUGUUCAACAUCAUGUCCUGAUGGACAAUAGGCAGUGAGCAAUCGUGAUGCAAGUAGGUGAUCGCGGGAGCCACGCAUUGAACAAUCUUCACUCUCUUGACACAAGUCCGAUUCAACUGCUCCUCUUCUUCCAUGCAAGACCUUUGCCAAAGUUCAGAAAAACAUUGGAUGAUGUCCCUGCGGUUAACCACCACUUUUUUUACCGUGACGAUGUGGCCGCUGGCCUAUUCGGCCUUGUAAACGCUUCUAAAUCCGCGUUUUCCGACGCAAUACUCUUCACUGAAGCCGUUGGUGGCCUUGGCAAUAUCGUUGAAUGCAAACUUCGUUCCCCUUUUCCAUAUGAUUUCACGUACUUCAUAAGAUUUCUUAUCUCUUCAUCGAGAUGCUUGUUUCACCGCCAAAGCACCGAAAUCAGAGCAAUAAGAGUCACGAGAAGUAGUAAGCAGCAAACGCAACAAUCACAUUAAUCAGAACCUUUCUCCGAUGGUCAGUCGAUUUACUGCUCGACCCGCAUGGAGACAUUCCGUCGCGUUUCCUCAUAAGCCCGGAUUUGCAAUAAAAGCACUUCCUAGUUAUUGUCGAAAGAGGCGACCACCAAGAACUGCGCCUGUCAGCUUGUUGUAUAAGAAGCCCAUGAAGCUUAAACUGCUCAUGCUGGUGAGAGCAGCUGGGAUCGUACCCGACAAAUCGUUAUGCGAAACAUUGAGAUUUUCCAAUUUAGUGAGCUUUGUUAAAUUGGAAGGAAUUGAUCCUACUAGUGAAUUGUGGCUCAGGUCUAGUGGUUCUGUAGCGUGAACGAGUUCCCCAGCUCUGGCGACAUGACACCCAACAUAUUGUUGUUGCUCAAGUUCAAGCUCAGUAAAUUCUCGCAAUUUGCUAACUCUUUUGGUACAAUAUAUAGAGAAGGGAUGUACUUGCCGUAUUGUGGUUUAUGAAAGAUUGUGCCACAUUGAUAACUUUAGAUGUUAAUCCAAAUUCAAAAUAUCAGGCCAAAGUUUGGUAUUUUAUUGGCCAUUUGGCAUUUCAUUUAUAACUCAUGAAUUCUCUCCUCGUAAAAAAAAUUACUAAAUUAGAGAAUUUCAUUCUACAAGCCUUGUAUAGUUUAUCAAAUUACACAAAACCACUGCACCAGAUUCCUAUCACACCUUUUAUUCUCUUAUUCUCGGCAAUGACAAGAACAACAACACUCACCAGCCCAACAUGCUUAGCUCCAAACAGAGUGACUUAAACUCUUCUUGUCUCCUUUUCAGUAUAGCAUAACCACACAUAUUUAACACAUUACGUAAACAAUACAAGAUAGCGAAGAGAUCGGCUCAGUAGGCAUCAGGGUUUUCCAAGAGAUAAGCCUCGAUGGCCUCGUACAUCGCGGACGCCUUCUCUUUCCGGGUGUUGAUCUCCUCCUCGGUGAUGUCCACCUCGCCAAUGGUGAAGUAACUGUUCGUGCACUUCAACAUCGAGCCUCCCAAAGGCAACGCGUUGAUCUUCACCUCAAAGGUGAUCUUCUCGAAGGUGGUGCCCAGCAUUUCGCCAUCGAUGAUUGAGUAGCAGUAGGUGAAGUUCUCCUUGUCCAGGGCCUCGACCUUGUGCUUUGCUGUCUUGUAUGGAUUGCCUAUCACUGUAACAAAAAGUCAUAUUCACAUUUAGAACUCGCAGGUUUCAAUAUCACGAGCACCAAUCUUCAUGGUGUCCAUCAGGCCAUUUAGGAAUUGACCCAAUUGUUCCGACCGCAAUCCAAUACAAUUGACUUAGACAUAGCCUGACUUUGCCUGAUCAAAAUUGAGUCACAUAUUCACUUGUGUAAAGUUAAACGGUUAGAAACAUCUUAAGUAACCGAGUCAUAUUUUUAUCUUUUUCCAUAUUCAUUAUAGUGUUUCAUAAGGUUGAACCUGCCUUGAUUCAGAGCAAUCCUAAGUUCCUAAUACGGAUGGACUAACCUUCAGCAAAAGUAAUCAACUUGAUGGUCCCGGGACCUCCAUCGCCCUCGAGGACUUCAACGCUCUUGACGGCUUGCGGGAGGACGAUGGGGAGGAGGUUACCGGCAUCGAGGACAACAGCCUUGAACAUCCUGGCCAGGGGAAUGACGGACGGGACAUCAAAGUGAAAAGUGAUGACACCCAUGACCGGAUCCUAACGGAGUUGCUGAAACUGAGAAGGGGGUGAUGAUCUGGAAAGACUUGAGUAGUAGUGACGAAGUUGGUCUCUGCGACUUGGGAGUGAAGAGAAGAGGCUGAAUUGAAGUUGACAUAUAUAGAGAGAGAGGGAGACUGAGUGUGAAGGGUUCUGAUCACUGCAUAUUUUCUUCUUACUAAGAUGCAUUAUAUUUUGCAGAAAAUAGAUAAUUUAGAAAAUGUUUUCCUAAAAAUAAUCACUAAAUUUAGAUAGUGUUCCGAGCAUAAGUUAUUUGGUGAGUGUGCUGCAUGUUCUAAAUUGAUCUAAAUUGCUAAAUUUAAUGGGCUCACUAGAAUUAAAAGUCUAGAUUCCCCUUAAUAUAAAUACGACACUACCUCAUUUUCAAGUCUUCGUCAAAAUUGUAUUGUAUAUAAAUAUGACCCUAGCUCAUCUCCGAGUCUUUAUCAAACGUGUGUUGUAUGUCCUAAAUUGAUCUAAAUUGCUAAAUCUAACAGGUUCACAUGGGAUCCAUGUGGAACUCACUCGAAUUAAAAGUCUAGAUUCUCCUUGAUAUAAAUACGAUGCUAUGUCAUUUCUAAGUUUUCGUCAAAAUUGUGUUGUAUAUAAAUAUGACCCUAGCUCAUUUCUGAGUCUUUAUCAAACGUGUGUUGUAUAUCCUAUAUUGAUCUAAAUCCCUAAAUCUAACAGGUUUACGUGGGAUCCAUGUGGAACUCACUCGAAUUAAAAGUCAAGAUUCUCCUUGAUAUAAAUACGAUGCUAUGUCAUUUUGAAGUUUUCGUCAAAAUUGUGUUGUAUACACUAAGUUAAUCUAAAUCGCUAAAUUUGACGGGUUCAUGUGGGAUCCAUAGGAAACUCACUAAAUUAAAAGUUCAAGUCAACUUAAUAUAAAUACAGUUUUCUUUCAUCAUAAUUACGCCGUAUGUACUAAAUUAACCCAAAUUGCUAAAUCUAACAGGUUCACAUGGGAUCCAUGUGGAACUCACUCGAAUUAAAAGUCAAGAUUCUCCUUGAUAUAAAUACGAUGCUAUGUCAUUUCUAAGUUUUCGUCAAAAUUGUGUUGUAUAUAAAUAUGACCCUAGCUCAUCUCCGAGUCUUUAUCAAACGUGUGUUGUAUGUCCUAAAUUGAUCUAAAUCGCUAAAUCUAACAGGUUCACAUGGGAUCCAUGUGGAACUCACUCAAAUUAAAAGUCUAGAUUCUCCUUGAUAUAUAUAUGAUGCUAUGUCAUUUCUAAGUUUUCAUCAAAAUUGUGUUGUAUAUACUAAGUUAAUCUAAAUCGCUAAAUUUGAUGGGUUCAUGUGGGAUCCAUAGGAAACUUACUAAAAUUAAAAGUUCAAAUCAGCUUAAUAUAAAUCUAGUGCUCUUUCAUCAAAAUUACGUCGUAUAAACUAAAUUAACCCAAAUCGCUAAAUCUGAUGGGUUCAUGUGGGACCUAUAUAAAACUCGCUGGAAUUAAAAGUCUAGAUUCUACUAAAUAAAAAUGAGGCCCUAACUCAUUUCCGAGUCUUUGUCAAAAGUGUGUUGUAUGUCCUAAAUUGAUCUAAAUUGCCAAAUCUGAUGAGUUCACAUAGGAUCCAUAUUGAAAUCACUAGAAUUAAAAGUCCAAAUUCCACUUAAUAUAAAUAUGACGCUAGCUCAUUUCUGUUUCUUCAUCAAAAUUGUGGUAUAUGUACUAAGUUAAUCUAAAUCGCUAUAUUUGAUAGGUUCAUGUGGAACCCAAAUGAACCUCACUAAAAUAAAACGCCCAAAAUCGAUUAAACGUAUAUACUACUUUAACUCAUUUCUAGGUCUCCAUCAAGCGCCUUUUUCUCAUCUCUUUGAAGCUUCCGAUCGCGUGCCAUUCCGUCACAUGUGAAUCGCGAAUGAUUUUCCACGCCAGAGUCUUUGUUAAAUCUCAAGACUUAAAAAUACGAAUGUGAAGUAACAAUUGCGUGUCAAAUGCAGAAAAUUCAUAUGUGAAAAAGUUGACCGUCCCUUCUUGAGUCAACUGUUCUCUUCCUCGAUAUGCUUUUCUGAUAUGGCCUCAAAGACAGAUGGGCAAAGCGGCGCAUUCAUAUCUAUAAUCUCGCGGCAGUUUCAACUCUGUUAAAAGAAUGCCGAGGUCUUUACAAGAUGUUUGACAAGCGUCUUUGAUGACAGCAUGCAGCAUAUCUACCGCUUCAAAACAUAGUUACGGUUCAGUCUCGAUUGUUAUUUUUCUUCAAAUUAUGGUGGGAGAUAGAAAGAUCCAGCCAACAUGUAACAACAACUCACUCGUAAGCAUCAGCGUUUUUGCAAGAGAUGGGCUUCUAUGGCUUUCAACAUUCCCAUGGCCUUCUCUUUGCUGGCCUUGUUCUCGACCCGGUCCAUGGCGAAGUACUUGCUCAUGCUCUUGGCCAUACACCCUCUCUGUCUAGAAAAGCAUAGAACUUGAUCUCGUUCGGGAUCUUCUCUGCGCGUUGCCCUGGACGAUGGCGUACGCAUGCGCGAGCUUUCCUUGUCCAGCUUCUCGACUGGUGCUCCACCGAGUUGAACUGUCUAGCUACGAGACACAGACAACUGCAGUCAGCUCCCACGUUAGCCUUAACAAAGAAUGUCGGCAAAUGUCCUCUUUGACAUCACGUGUUAAUGCGACGCAACCAAAAUAAAUGAAAAUAGAAGACAGCGCAAGCACUGGCCUUCGCCAAAGAUGGCGCCGGUGUUAGGGAAAUCCCUUAUGAUGUUUUGAAGAUGACAAAAUAAAUCAAAGGCUACUAACAUGUUUGAUGGUUGAGUAAUAGACCAUGCAGAUGAUAGAACAUGUAAAGGAUUUUAUCAAAGUCAGAAGACGGCCAGAAGACUGAACGUAACAUAUGUCCAGAGUAUAUUUUGAAGAUUUCCAGACUUCUGUGUCAAAGUCUGAAGACUGUCAGACUCAAGACUCAUAUUGUAAAGUCUACAGACCCAGAUUGUAAAGUCUCAAGACUCAUAUCGUAAAGUCUAAAGACUCAGACUUUACAUCCAGAUUACGAUGAAUCGUAACUCAAGCCCAAUCAUAUAACGGCUAGUGAUCUGGUUUGGAUUCCACAUCAAGAUUGAUUUGAUUGAAGACAAGAACUUUACAUACGAAGAAGCUUUACUUAUGGAAACCAAGAUUUCGUUUGUAUGGGCGAUCGGAAUCCAUUUGGGAUUCUACCUUUGUCACUCAACGGCUACUAAAUCUUCUAGAUACAGAGCUGUCCAAUGGGUAUAUUGGAAGACGAUUCUCCGGGAUAUUGUCCAACGGGUAGUUUGGAAAUGGAGGAGUAUUUAAGGAGAUGAAGGACCGAUGAGCAAGUAAGAGACGGAGCGUAGAAUUUAUAAUUCCAAAGUCUAAGCGACUUUAGAUCAUAUACUUGUCUCUUGAGAGCUUAAAUGUUUGUAAUCGUGAGAGAAAUACCAAGAGAGUGACUUAGUGAGAUAGUGUGAUCUACUAAGUGUAUGCACUCGAAGUUGUAAUCUCUUGUUGAUUGCAUAUUGGAAUCCAGCCAAGAAGGCUGUUAUCGUGGGAGAGUGGACGUAGGCUUGGAUUAAGCCGAACCACUAUAAAUCUUGUGUUCUUAUUUUCUUCCUUAACUCCUUUAUUUUGUUCAUACUAGCACUCUCAGCCGGGACCCCCAUCACCUUCAGGGAUGACAAAAUCCUUAAAGGCUUGUGGGAGGAGCUUGGGGAUGAGAUCGUCGUCAAGAACAAACGCCUUGAACGUUCUUGCAGGUGAGAUGGAAUCGUCUUCACCUAAGAGUUCCAAGUCCCACGGCAAGAGAUCUGGGAGAUUAUGUUGAAAAUGCCCUCUAAAUGAUUCUCAAUCGCCUCGUUUAGUAAUCUAACUCAACAUCACAUUGGUCUAAAUCAUAUAAUAAAGAAAGAGGACAAAAGGCAUGGAUCUCAAGCCCAAAUGAUACUUGUUAGCAUGCGAGAGAUCUUUGAAUGUAGACAACCUUGAGGGAGUCACUAAAUUAUUGUUAAAAUAUUCUAAUAGAACCCAAUGGCUUAGACAAACAAGCUUGAGUGCGUGCGGAUAAUUCCUGCUUGAUGAAAUGCAUGGUAGGUCGCGAAUCGAGACUCGUCCCCAUGCACAUCCACUUCCUCGGCUAGUUGACCGGUCGGAGGAGGAAGCCGUGGGUCGAGCACGUCCUUCAGUAGAACAUUUGAGUCUUUCAAUAAUGUCGACAUUUGUGUCAUUUGUAGGGAAGAAAGAACAUUCAAUGGAUGCUCCCCAUCAUUCUCUAGUGUUGCUGACUCUGUUUCUUGAAAGAACAACUAGUCAGGAUUUUGCUCACAUCGUCAAGUUGUCCACAAAUUCCAAAUUUCUGUUGUACUUUUACAACAAAGCACUUUUCAUAAUCUAUACUUACUCUUCCUAAAAGUAUUGUUAGAAUUAUUGAAUGAAUCCAAAUUUGAUUUGUCCAUUAACCACAGAGUUACUACUAAUUUUAUUUUUCAAGAAGAAGAAUGAAUCAAAAUCACGAUCAUAAUGUCAAGUUGUACCCAAAUUCCAAAUUUGAAACCGACUCUCUAAAACAAAUCACUUCUCAAAACCUAUAUUUGCAAGAAUCCUAAAAGUCCCGUUAGAAUUAUUUGAAUGCAAAUUAUCAAUCCGAGACCAUUUGUACCCGCGAAAUGUUCUAUUAGAUUCAAUCAUCUAACUUACCAGGAGCCAUGUAGCCAUAAGAUCCAGCCACAAAUAAGGCUGGAAACUCGCAUGAACCGGAAAGCAGCAACCUAGUCCGGUGAGCCUGAAAUAGGGCAUGGGCACAAAAAAGCGCGGUCGGCCGAGAGUCCCUACCCAGCUCGCGGCGUUGGACGGCGGACGAGCUCAAUAGAUCGGGCUACGUCCGUCCGCCUCGCUCGUCUCCUAGUCGGGAUCCUCGGGAAGCGGACCCCAAAUGGGGAAAAACCAAGACGGCCCGAACAGGGACCUACCAUGGCCUCGAAGUGGACAAGGAGCGGCGGCGGAUCAUCAGUUUUGGUUCGGAAGUGGAGGUCAACAGCGGCUCUCUCAGUCGCGUUCUCUCUCUCUCAACUCACGGUCUCUCUUUCACGGCCCUCUCUCCUCCGGAUCCGAAUCCCUCUCGCGUCGUACUUGACCCCCUUCGAUUUCUCCCUCCUCCCCAACCUCCGACCUUCUAUUUAUAGGCUAAGAAGGCCGGUCGGCGGAGGUGCUUCGGCCGCCAGUCCUUCAUGCGCCGACCGGCCCCCCUUCGCUGAACCAGCAUCACAUCACCCGUCGCCUCCACCGCCGCCUGCUCUGCUUUGCGCCUACUCUACUCCUUCUGCUACGGCCGCCCUCGCUGGCCUGACGAAGAAGCGGGGAAUGAGGAAGGAGGGGCCGGGCCAGGGUGAGAAGCACAAGCAGAGUGGGCCCUAGGCCCACUCGGGGAAGAAAGGUGAAAAGAGGGGGGCUAAGGCGAAGGCCCAGCCGCCGUGGGCCCUUUUUUUUAUAAAUACUAUUAAAUAGGGUUAAAUAAGAGAAAAUAAAACUUAAAAUGCAAAUAAUAUUAAUGCUUAUAUGAUGUGAAAAUCGUUUUUAUUAGGGUUAAAUUGAUUCCAAAUUUUUUUAUAUAAUUUUAAUUAUAGAUGUUUAGUCAAAAUUUAAGUAUCAAUAAAUGUAAAUCUCAAACUGUAAGAGUUAAAAUAAAAAAUAAAAGAAUUAAAGAAGAGACAAGUGCAGUUGCAGCUUUAUCCCAUCUUGUAACAAAAAUUGUUUACGAAAGUCAAAAAUUUAACGAACAUCACGUGCUCUAACUUUAAUUGAAUUAUUGUAAGCCCACGAAUCCCUCGUUGAAGUCAUCCUUUGAUGUUACAUAUAUAAAUGAAUCGAAAUUUGUCUAUAUGUUAUACGUAGUGACACGUGUAAUGCAGUGUGGCUUUUUUGAUAGGACAAAUAUCCCCACAUCACCAAUUACCUCUGAUUAGGGCAAGUUCUUUCAAGUAAGGACCCUGUCUUUUUUCUUCUUCUUUUUUGAUAAUAUCCCUAUUAUUGUUCAUGACAUGUUUCUUUUCCAAAUUAAUUGGAAUAUAUAAUUUUAAUGGAUCAGAUCGCUACUUUAAAUGGGAGUAUGAGUCUUUCAAAUGCCUAUGAUAUAUUAUUAUCAAUAGUCACACACGAAUAACAUGCCAGUUGAUGCUACGGUGUGACACAUAAUAAAUAAAGAUGAAAAGCUAGAUUUUAGUAAAACAAAUUCAAAAAUGAGUUUGAGUGUUGAGAUUAUUUAUUGACAUGGACAUCAACCUAUAGCAUCUCCUUUUACUAAUGAACAGGGCUUGGAUUAAAUAAUCAACCUAGUGAUAUUCUAAAAUAGCUCCUUUUUGCCUUGCUCUUCUAGCUUUGGACAUCACUUUAUUUAUUUUUUAAUUUUCUUGGAAUCUUAUUUGGUGAAAUCUAUACAUGUUCAUCGAAAGUGCACGAUCUAAAAGAUUUCAUCAGUGUCAUAGCCACAACCAAGAAGUAUGUAUGAUAUAUAUAUAUUAGAAUACCAAACUACAUUCUAGGCAACCGUGCAUUUAAGUACCACAAGAGUUGUAUUUAGAUCCCACAUCAACUAAAAGAACACUAACAUUCGGACCAAUAUCUAAUCACUUGUGGAUUGCCGACUAUGAAACCAUAAAGGAGUAACUAUAUAUAUUAAUCCUAGCUAGGAUUCCCUACAUUUCUACAUGGGUAGGCAUUUAAAUGAUCAAUGAGAGAGAGAGAGAGAGAGAGAGAGAGAGAGAGAGAGAGAGAGAGAGAGAGAGAGAGAGAGAGAGAGAGAGAGAGAGAGAGAGAGAGAGAGAGAGAGAGAGAGAGAGAUUAUAUAUAAAUCAUAAUUCAAAGUGACGAUCUACUCUCUUAAUAAUGAUGAUGACGAUGAUAAUUAUAUAAAAUUGAGAGGAUAAAAAAAAAAAAUUGGCCUGGUAGAGCCUGUAAAGAACUACACAAUACAUCGGGAUGAUCAUUAGAUGAAAGUGCAUGCUUACAACAUUGAAAAUCAUUUUGUAGGGUAUAGAUCUACCAAAUUGUUCAAACAUUGUUUUAAUGGUUUCCCUUGGAUGAAAGAUUCUUCGUCUAACACAUGAUUUACUUAAUUUAAUUAGUCCAAGAGAGAGAUACACCACCCACGUGCCCCAUAAGCAACGAGGAAUUUGUCUAAUAUGUUAUGAUGUACAAGACCAUACAAUCUCAUUCGCUCUUUUGAUAAAUAUAAAUUAACAUGCAAUCAAUGAAUUAAGAUCUAAUGUUAUUAAGAUUUUUUACGUGUGCACACGUGGUUUUGGUCUAAUAGAUCAAACCAACAUACAACGUCAACUCAGACGGACACAUUUUUGGUCAUUCACUCUUCUUGAUAAAAAUCCCCUUGAAGGCCAAAUGUCUGAUAACCCUCGAUACUUGACAUCUUAAAGUUUACUUAGCAAAGGUUCAAUAAGUCAGGUUUUGGAAGGGUCAUUUGGAGUAUUACAGGUCGGAACGGGUAAAACGAGGAUCUCUAUAAAGUUAACCACCUUGCUAGAGUUGCAUUUGAUGAAUGAAUUUUUCCCCAACUGAAAUUCUUUUAGAGCAUAAGUUAACAAGACAAUCGCAAAAUUGUCGUCAAAUAAAGCGCCCGGGCCAAAAGCGGAUUGAUCACGAUGAUUUUUGCAUUGAAGUGGUGAAAAAGCUUGGUCGAGAGCUAAUUGGGAGAAAGAGAGAGCUCAAACUUUAGGAUAAGCAAUUUUGUGGCUAAUCAUAGAAACUACAAAAGGUUUUGGCCUCCACUUCUGAACCAGGUCUGCUCUCACGUGCACGCGGACCCUGGUCUGUGUCUCGGCCUCUCAAGUCCCUCUCUCCUGUUCUUCAAUCUCCACUUUCCGUCACCCAUUAAUCCCAUCUUCCUCGUUGACAUGAAGUCAUUAACAUUCGAUUUGAUCCCCAGAAAGAGAAAUCAACACUUAUCCCAUGAAUCAAAAGCAAAUACUAUGGAAUCGGUGUCCCAUGAGGUUGAUCUUAUAUGAUAACGUCUUUGUAUCGGCUACAUACAUUAUGUGCAAAUAAAGUGUAAUUAUACUAUCAUAUUUUUUGUUAAUUCACCUCUUUGAUCCGAUAUUAUUUGUUGACAUUGCCCUUAAAGAAUCAAGACAUGACAUCCUCGUUAGUUGAUUGAUAUAUGACAAGGGUCGACAAAAAAGACAGCAUCUAAGUUAACAAUUUGAGAAGAUUAAUGUUUGUGAUGGAGGGUAUUGACUUAUUACGUGGCAAAAUCUUUCCGACAUCAUACAAUUAGCUGUCAAGCAAGCUUUUUUGCCUUUUGCUUUUCAAAAAACAAACAAUCACAAGUUUUUAAAGAUCAAAUGCCCAUUUAGUUGAUGGAAAACUGUUUAUGGAAAAGCUUUCCAUAUUCCAAUAUUUAGAUGAUAGAAAAUUAUUCAAUCUACCGAAAGUGUUUUAUGUGGAUUGAAGAUAAUAAAUUUAUAUUUGGAAAAAAAAAAACUUCUGUUUAUGGUAAGAAAUAAUAGAUAAUAAUUUUUUUGAUAAUUCUUAUAGAUUAAAUUAGCCUAAAUUAGACUUUAUUAACGCAUAUUAGCAGAUUCACUUGCUAUCAAACACCAUAAAAUUAAUUUUUCUCCAACAUGUUUUGGCACGAGCGAACACUAGAAAAUUAUUUACUUUCUCUGGAAUUAAAUUUUUUGAAAAUACUUUUGAGCGAUAAAUUUUCGCUAAAAUAAGCGCACCCAAGCGACAUAUUUGUUAACCUUGUUCUCCUUCUCUCCUUCUCUCUCUCUGCUACAGCUGCUCUUUCUUCUUCUUUUUUUUUUUUUUGGUCGAAAAAGGAUUACUAUGAAAUUACUUAGCCACGGUUUGAGACAAAACAUCAAAAGCAUUGGUGCAUAAUAAGUCUAGUAGAGCGGGCGGGGGAUGAAACAACUAAUUAGAGGGAAUGUAACUAAAUCGACAGGCCUUUGCGAGCCAAUCGGCGGGACCGAUUUGCUGUUCUAUUGCAGUGGGCCAGGGAGAUGUCACAGAAUUCCUGUAGUUUCGCUUGGGCCUGGUCCAGGAGCGGUUGAAGCUACCAGUUCACUUCCGUCGAAGCCGUAACCCCCUGCACGAGUGGAAGACAAUCUGACUAUACUUGCAGGGAGAGUUCCGCACGGUUAGAGAGUAGAUCUAGGGUUUCAAGCAGAGCCAAAGCUUCCGCAUGUGCUGUCGAAGCCGCAUCCACCAAUUUCGCGAAGCCAUCCACAAGACAUCCUCGGUAGUCCCUGCAGAUACAUGCUACUGCUGCUCUGUUUUGCGUUUCUCCUCCGGCAUCUGCUUCCAUGGCGUUGAGCUCGGCAAAUGAAGCAUCUAUAUUAAAUUUCAGCGUAUGAGGGGGCGGAGGUUGCCAACGAUCUGGUAUGGCUUUUAUCUUCCUUUCAUCUACUUGUUGUUGGCUCACAGAUUUGAGGUUAUCGCAGAGAGCUUGCGCCUGAAUUAAAACUUGCUGCGGGUGCAGGGGACAACUCUCGAAGAGGUACUGAUUUCAACCCUUCCAAAUACUCCAGAGGAAAGCCACGACUUGGUCAAACUUCUUAGUAUGGGUAGGGUUGGUUUUGAGAUUGUCUAACCAGUCAUCGAGGCGUGUUAACCCAUAUCUGGAUAUUUUGAUCUAUAGGGGCGCGGAACUCCAAAUCUGAUUUGUCCAUGGACAGAGUAGAAGAAUAUGUUCAGUGGUUUCAGCUUCUUUGCUGUAGAUAGAGCAUAUAGGAUCCGGUUACUAGCUUUCUUCUAUAUAAGUUUUCCCUUGUAGGAAGAGCAUUAUGACAUGCUUGCCAGAGAAAGAAUCUGAUUUUUGGAAGGGUUUUAGCUUGCCAAAUGUGUUUCCAGAGAUCUGGAUUUAUAUGAUGCGAUGAGGUUGCUGUUGGGUUUGUGCUUGUUGGGUUAUCUCUGACUGUGAAGUAGCCACUUUUCACUAAAUAGAUACCAGAGUUAUUAUGCAUCCAGACUAGCUUGUCUUUUGAAUCUGGCCUUCCAAUAGGAGUAGCAAGAAUUUCCUUCAUGAUUUUGUCAUCAAACAUCGACUCCACCCUAUGAACAUUCCAUUUGCUAGUCCCUUGUUCAAUUAGUUCUGCCACAUGUUCUGGUUCAUUUCUUGUUGCUGAGCCUCCAAUCAAACCACUUUUUAUCAAUUUAUCUGCUCUUAUCGAUAGUUUUUUCCCAUUCCCAACUAAGUACAUAGUGUGUGGACUUAUAGAAUCCCUACGCCGAGUUAUACUUUGCCAACCCCAUGAAGGUCGGGAGCCUUUUCUAGCUUUCCAGAAGUCUCCAUGCGGAUAGUAUAGGCCUUUCAUCACUCUGCUCAAUAAGAACUAGGAAUUUUGUGAGAUGCGCCAAGCUUGUUUCCCCAACAUAGCUGUAUUGAAUGCUAUUAAGUCUUUAAAGCCUAGGCCCCCCUCCUUCGUUCUAAGUUUCAAUGCUUCCCAAUUCUUCCAGUGUAUUCCAGCAUUUCUACUAUUCGUUUUCCACCAAAAGUUAGCAAUCCUCCUCUCAAUAGCUUUGCAUAUGGAAAUAGGGAUCUUGAAUAUGGACAUGGCAUAUUGAGGGAUAGCAUGUACAACUGAUUUUAUUAAAAUUUCCUUCCCUACUUUUGAUAACAGAUGUUUCUUCCAGCUUUCUAACUUUCUGUUUACCCUCGCAAGGAUCCAUGCGAACAUAUCUUUCUUUGAGCAGCCCAAAUCCGUCAGAAUCCCUAAAUAUUUCCCUGUUUUUUCAAUUUCUGGAACUCUCAAUUCAUUGGCCAUGUUCCUCCUCAAAGUAAUAGGACAACAUUUACUAAAAUAUAUACCAGAUUUGUUGAGAUUAAUAGCCUGACCAGAAGCAUAACAAUAUUCAUGUAGGAUAGCCACCAGGUUUUGGCAUUCUAGGAUUGUACCAUGAAGGAAGAAAAUUGAAUCAUCUGCAAAUAGCAAAUGCGAUAGAGUGGGGCAGCUAUUAUUUAGCUUAAUUCCUCUAAUAGUGCCAUCUUCUACUAUUUUUCCCAUCAUGUAGGAUAGAACAUUGGCAACUAAUAUGAAGAGAUAUGGGGACAGAGAGUCACCUUGUCGAAUUCCACGUGUUGGCUUGAAAAAAGGUAGAGACUCCCCAUUAAAAUUCACACUGAAAGUUACUGUUCAGACACGCUGCAUCACCCAAUGUACCCACUGUUCGCAGAAUCCCAUUUUAGUUAGGCAUGCACUAAGGAAAUCCUAUUCAAUCCUGUCAUACGCCUUCUGCAUAUCUAGCUUUAAGACUGCUUGGAACUUCUUUUUUCUCUCCCGAGUGCGUAAUCUGUCAAGAACUUCCUGUACCAGCAAUAUAUUAUCUUGUAUUAGCCUUUCCCCCACAAAAGCACUCUGCUCUUCUGCAAUUAGAGUUGGUAGCAGGGGUUUUAAUCUGCUAGUCAGCACUUUUGAAAUAAUUUUAUAAAUGAAAUUACAAAGGCUAAUGGGGCGAAACUGUUCCAGCUUUUGUGGAUUUGAAACUUUGGGAAUAAGAGUAAUGAGCAUUCUGUUCAUAGUCGGAUUGAGAUAGCCUGUAUUGAAAAAUCCCUGUAUCUCUGUAUAGAUAUCCUGACAGAUGUCUGGCCAAUGUUUCCUAAAAAAAAAAGGCCAUGCAUACCAUCUGGUCCUAGGGCUUUUCGUGGGCUCCUAAUUGUUGUAUGCCUUGCGUGAUCUCUUCCAUAGAAACAGGUUCUACUAGACGUUGGUUCAUUCUCACAUCCACCGAAGCUGGAAUUUGUUGUAGAAAGGGUUGAAAGUCACAAGGCCCUAUUGACUCGUAAAGCCUUUGAAAUAUGUGCUUGUCAUCUCUUUCAAUCGUUGUUCAUCACGCACCCACACAUCUUCUGGAUUUUCAACAAAGUAACAUGAUUUGUGGUUCUUCUUUGAAUGGUUGUAGCGUGAAAGAAUUUUGUAUUUUUAUCUCCCCAUGCUAACCAAUUAAUUUUGAAUCACAUUCCCCAAUACAUUUCUUCUUGUCGCCACAACUAUUCAAUUUCUUUUGUCAGUGCCUGUGCUGCCUUGCUUUCUUGAGAUACCCAUUGUUGGAGAAAUCCUCGUGAAGUGUUUUGAAGUUGACAAAACGUUUCCAUCAGUCUAGUCUGAAGGUCAGCAGACUCUGUUAGUUAAAGUCUGAAGACUUCCGGACAGCCAGACUCAAGACUCAAAGUCUAUCCUCAUUGACUGUCUCUAAUCCGUUGAAGAAAGGUUAUCCAGAACUGGAUGUUUUGUUCAGGAUUUAUCCUUAUCAUCUGGAGAAGAUCUCGUGGCUGGAGAAGACGUAUCAGAAUCCUUUGAUUGAUCAAGAUUGAUUCAAUGACUGAAGAUUCGAUGAUUGUCUAAAUAUUAUUGGAAGGUUCUACUUAUGGAAACCAAGAUCCUGAUUGUAUGGGCGAACAGGAUUGAUGGGCUAUCAACACAUUCCUUUAAUAGCUCGAACAAUCUUCCUAGAUGAUUCCGUCCAACGGGUAGAUUGGAGGAAUUCCUUUAGUAAGUGCCAACGGGUAUGAUGGCAUAAAGGAGUAUAUAAGGAAGACGUUCUUAGCUGUUCGAGGUGUGCGCGAUAGAAGAAUUCCAAAGUCUGAAGCUCCAAAUUGUUUAGACAAAUCCUUUGAGCGAAUACUUGUAUACAAAAGAGAGUCUAUAUUUGUGAGAGACCUUGAGGAGGUGUGGUAAAACAUCUACACUGUGGAAUCAAGGCAAAGCUGUGCUGUAACUUCUCUUUUGAUCAUAGUGAAAUCCAGCCGGUGGGCUGUCAGUGUGGAAGAGUGGACGUAGGCUUGGAAUAAGCCGAACCACUAUAAAUCUUGUGUUCAAUUUUCUUUUCCUUACUCUCUCUACCUCAAUCGUAUUUCAUUUCGUUAAUUAAGAGAGAAUUUACCUUCCAUCAUAUGUUAAGAAUCGCUUCCGUAUAUCGAUAAAGUAUUUAGGCACCUAUUCACCCCCCCUCUAGGUACUCAUACUAGCAAUAUCAAUUGGUAUCAGAGCUCGUGUACUCACUUUGUUUGAAGUGUUUUACUUCAGAGUUAAAGAUCCAUGGCUAGUAUGCUAGCACCAGGGCUGAUGGAAGGGCAAAGCAAUACCAGACCACCCUACUUUGAUGGAAAGGAUUACAACAUCUGGAAGAACAAGAUGAAAGCUUUCCUACGAUCAAAGGAUCCUCUGGAAUGGGACGUUGUAGAAAAAGGAAUUACUCCUACCACUGCAUCAGUCUCUGAAAGAGGAAAAGAAACUGAAGAAAUCAGCGGAAUGUCUCAGGAAGAAAUAAUCAAGAGACAGACUCUCGAUGCGAAAGCAAUUUACUCCUUAUAUUGUGCUUUAUCACCAACUGAAUAUAAUAGAAUAUCUUCUUAUGGUACAGCAAAAGAAGUUUGGGACAGAUUGCAUAUCACCUAUGAAGGAACAGAUCGAGUGAAGGAAACAAGAAUCAACAUUCUUCUCGGUCAAUACGAAGCCUUCAGAAUGAAACCAGGAGAAUCAAUAUCUGACAUGUUUAGUCGUUUUACAGAUAUUGUGAAUGGUCUUGAAAAUCAAGGUCAACCAACUUCUGACCCCAUGAAGGUAAACAAGCUACUGCAUGGACUCUCCAGGGAUUGGAAUCACAUAAAGACUUCGAUAAGAGAGACGCAGAGAAUCAUGCCACUAUCUGUCGAUGAGCUGAUUGGAACUCUUCAGUCCUAUGAAGUGGAAAGGAUCAAUGAAGAUGAAGAUCCAAAAGGUAAGAAAUCCAUAGCAUUAAAAUCAAAUGAUGAUUCUGAUGUUACAGAUUCUGAAGAUGAUAUGGACGAUGAGGAGCUUGCUCUCAUGAUAAGAAGAUUCAGAAAACUGAAUAGAAAAGGAAGAAGGUUCAACUCAAAGAAACAAAGCUUUCAAAGACAGCAGACCAAGUCUGUUGAUGAUGAGGAACCAAAUAAAGAUGUAGUCUGCUUCGAAUGCAAGAAAAAGGGACACAUCAGACCCAACUGUCCUCUUCUGAAGAAGAAGAGAGGAAAAUCUGAAAAAUUUCGAAAAGCUCUCAAAGCUGAAACCUGGAGUGAUACUGAGUGUGAAGAAAGUGAUAAUGAAUAUGCCAAUCUAUGUCUGAUGGCACAAUCAGACUCAGACUCUGGAUCAGACUCAGACAGUGAAUUUAAGGCAAGUGAUUUUAAAAUUCCUGUUAAAGUUUCUAAAUAUAUUAAUGAACUAUGCCUUAGUCUUAAGACUUCUCUCAAAAGAAUUUCCGAACUGAAAAAAGAAAACUCAGCUCUAAAUCAAAAGGAAAAUGUUUUAGCAGAAAGAGUUAAAAGUCUAGACCUGUCUAUUUCCAAUCUUAAAGAAAAUGAAGAUAAUCUUUUAAAAGAAAAUGCUUUUUUAAAAACAGACUUAUCAAAUAUAUCAAAGAAAUUUUCUAUAGGGUCUGAAAAACUUGAGAAAAUUCUUUCAGCACAAAGACCUUACUUCAAUAAGUCUGGUCUAGGUAUGACAGAAGAAACAAUUCCCUUGAUUGAUUUUCCUAAAGUAAAAGAAAGAAUUAAGAAAAGACUCUCGAGUGAGGUUUACAAAAAUCACUUCAAGAAAGUUUUUGUAAAACCUGUAGGUAGAAAUGCUCUCAGAUGUUCUAAGUGCAACAGCCCGGAUCACUUUGAAAAAAAGUGUCCUAUGGUAUGGAAACCUGUUAAGAAAGUAUGGGCUAAUACUGUUUAUCUUACUAACACCAAAGGACCCAAGAAAAUUUGGGUACCAAAGAAAGCUUGAGACUUUAUUUUAAAUGCAGGUCUCCGUCAAGAAACAGGUAAAGUGGUAUCUUGACAGUGGAUGUUCAAGACACAUGACAGGAGACUCAAAUUGCUUUAUAAAGCUUGCUCAAGUAAAUGGUGGAAAAGUUUCAUUUGGAGGAAACAACAAAGGAAGUAUUGUGGGUUUUGGAACCGUGAAAAUCGAAUCUCUCACAAUAAGUAAUGUUUCCUUAGUGGAAGGACUCAAUUACAAUCUUCUCAGCAUUCGUCAAUUGUGUGAUACUGGUUUCAAGAUCUUCUUUCAAGAAGGAACAUGUUCUGGAAUCAGUAAAGACUCUACUCAGUCUUUCAUGGGUCGAAGACAUGGUAAUAUCUAUCUUCUAGAUGUGAAACCAAAUGAAUCGCAAUGCCUUAUCUCAAUUCAAGACGAAGCAAGCUUAUGGCAUAAAAAGCUUGGUCAUGUCAACAUGAAGCAAUUAGCCAAAAUCUCUUCAAAACAGCUUGUUCGAGGUCUACCCAGAUUACCAUACCAAAAGACUGAUUCAUGUACUCCAUGUAUUCUGGGAAAGCAGGUAAGAAAUUCUUUUAAGCCAAUUAAUUAUGUCUCUACUAAUCAUGUACUACAGUUGCUGCAUAUGGAUCUCUUCGGACCAACCAGAACUCAAAGUAUUGGGGGUAAGAAGUAUUGCCUAGUAAUUGUUGAUGAUUACUCCCGUUUUACUUGGGUAUAUUUCCUUGCAAGUAAGUCCGAAACCUUUUAGUAUUUUGAAAAAUUUGCUAAAGUGAUUCAAAAUGAAAAAAGGAUGUGUUAUCUCUAGUAUAAGAACAGAUCAUGGAGGUGAAUUUGAAAAUCAAGAUUUUACAAAAUUCUGUGAUGAAUCUGACUGUAAGCAUAUGUUUUCCUCUCCAUAUACUCCUCAGCAAAAUGGAGUUGUGGAAAGAAAGAAUAGAUCUCUUCAAGAAAUGGCUAGAACUCUUUUAAUUGAAAGUAAAAUUUCUUCUCGAUUUUGGGCCGAAGCUGUUUCAACAGCUUGCUAUAUCAUCAAUAGAGUCUUCUUAAGAUCUAUUCUUCAUAAAACCACUUAUGAGUUAUUCAAAGAAAAGAAGCCUAUUGUUUCAUACUUUCAUGUAUUCGGUUGCAAAUGUUUUAUUUUGAAAAAUGCAAAAGAUCGAGUUGGUAAGUUUGAAGAAAGAUCAGAUGAAGGUAUCUUUCUUGGAUAUUCUACAUCAAGCAAAGCCUACAGAGUCUAUAACAAGAAGAGCCAGACUGUGGAGGAGUCAAUGAAUGUCAAAUUUCAAGACUCAACACAAGAUGAAUCAACUCAGACUCAUCAAGAAGAGUCUGAACCUGCUCCAGACCCUCCAAAGUCUACAACUCAAGAAGCAUCUAAGACUCUGGAAAACCAGCUUCAAGAUGUUCGUGAAGAUCCAAACAAAGAAAGAAAUCAUCAACCAGACAAAUCAACGAGUAACUGGAAGCAUAAGUCCAGUCAUCCCAAAGAUCUUAUAAUCGGCGAAAUUAAUGAAGGAAUUCGCACCAGAUCCAAAAGGCGAGAAGAGUCUAGUGCUGUGGCACUCGUUUCUGAAAUUGAACCAAAGAGCAUAGAAGAAGCUUUAUCUGAUGAAAGCUGGAUAGAAGCUAUGCAAGAAGAGCUCAGACAGUUCAGCAUAAAUGAUGUCUGGGAAUUGACAUCUAAACCAAAAGGUAAAACUGUUAUUGGAGCUAAAUGGGUGUUCAGAAACAAGAUGAAUGAGAAAGGAAAAGUCGUACGAAAUAAAGCAAGACUCGUGGCCAAGGGAUAUACGCAAGAAGAAGGAAUAGACUAUGAUGAGACUUACGCUCCAGUGGCAAGGUUAGAAGCUAUUCGACUAUUACUUGCGUUUGCCUGUUAUAAGAAUUUCAGGUUAUUCCAAAUGGACGUCAAAAGCGCCUUCCUAAAUGGAUUUAUCCAUGAGGAAGUUUAUGUGGAACAACCACCAGGGUUUGAAGACCCAAAGAAGCCAGACUCAGUCUUCAGACUGAAAAAGGCUUUGUAUGGUUUAAAGCAAGCACCCCGAGCUUGGUACGACAGAUUGAGUAAGUUUUUAAUUCAAAAUGGUUUUGUCAAAGGUAAAGUGGAUACAACCUUAUUUAUCAAAAAGGAAAACAAAAGUUUCUUACUUGUUCAAAUAUAUGUGGAUGACAUUAUUUUCGGAUCCUCUAAUGAGAAUCUGUGCAAGAAAUUUUCUAAGUCUAUGCAGGAUGAAUUUGAAAUGAGUAUGAUGGGAGAAUUAACAUUCUUUCUUGGUCUUCAAGUAAAACAAUUGGAGGUAGGAACUUUUAUUUAUCAAGAAAAAUAUGCUAAUGAUCUUGUCAAAAGGUUUGGACUGGAAAAUUGCAAAAAGGUCGACAUUCCAAUGUCAAGUUCUUUAAAGAUAGACAAAGAUGAAGAAGGGAAGAAAGUUGAUCAAAAGCUGUACAGGAGCAUUAUUGGAUCACUUCUUUAUCUUACUGCCUCUAGACCUGAUAUUUUGUUGAGUGUUUGCAUCUGUGCUAGGUUUCAAUUAGAUCCUAGAGAAUCUCAUCUCAGUGCUGCAAAACGCAUCAUUAAAUACGUCGCUUCAUCAUCAAGCAUUGGUCUUUGGUAUCCUAAGAAGGGAGACUUUAAUCUUCUGGGAUAUUCAGACGCAGAUCUGGCCGGUUGCAGAGUUGAUAGAAAGAGCACUUCAGGAACUUGCCAGUUGCUUGGAAGCAGGACAGUGUCUUGGUUUUCAAGGAAACAAAGCACUGUGUCUCUUUCAACAACAGAAGCAGAGUAUGUAGCUCUUGGAAGCUGUUGUUCGCAAAUUCUAUGGAUAAAACAACAGCUGAGAGACUUUGAAAUUGAAGACUCAUGCACGGAGAUUAAUUGUGACAACACCAGUGCUAUCAACCUCACCAAAAAUCCAAUUCUCCACUCAAGAGCAAAGCAUAUAGAGAUUCGACAUCACUUUAUAAGAGACCAUGUUCAAAAUGGAGAUGUUUCAAUUCAAUUUGUUGACUCAAAGAAUCAACUGGCGGAUAUAUUCACAAAGCCUUUGGAGAAAAUUCAAUUUGAGUCUAUACGCUCCAGACUCAACAUUUUGAGGUAUGAGGAUAUCAAAGUCUAAACACUUUCAGACUCAGGCUAGCAAGACUUUAUCUACUGUCUUGGCUCGACCUUCAGACUGUAAGUCUUUCUCUCUCCAAUAUUAUCUUGAAAAGGUACGAUCAUCAGACUGUGUUUAAAGUAUUGCAUCGAUUCAUUUUCAAAAAGGUAGUUAUUUUUGAAAUGGCUAUUUUUGCGGAAAAAGACAGUUAUUUUGAAAAGGCAUAUUUUUAUUUCCUUUGUGACGGUUCGUUUACUCUUCUUUUUAACCGAUUGUGCACUGUCGAUUUCUCUUCAUUUUUCUAUUCACUUUUCUCUCAAAAACCCUAGAAAGCAUCGAUCCUCAAUUCCCGUUUGUCUUCUUCGCUCAAUCUUCAAAAAGUUGUCAUCUUUUCUGGGAAAGUCAAGCAAUGAAUCUUCCAAACACUGAGAAAGAUGUCAUCUUCACGAAAGUCCUCAAGAAUCGCAAGCAGGGGACCACAGAGAAUGAGUGAGGGGCUUACGCACUUCGAUCUUACAGAGGAGGAAGAGAAUCCUGAACAGCAAGCGAGCCCACAACUUUCUCAGCAGCGUCAUUCUUCACCAUCUAGUCCUCAAGGAGAUGAUCAUCAGCAACAGGAAGAAAUCAUCGAGGAUGCAGACCCCGUAAGAGUUCAAAAGCCCGCUUUUAUUUACAAGCUUUAUCGUGCCUUAAAAGGAAUUCGUACUCCUUUGAACUAUGUUGAUGAGUUUCUUAGAGACAAAGGAUAUAGGAACGAAUAUAUCUUUCUGCGAAAAAUGGAAAGUAUGGGAAUCGCUCGUAAAGGGGUGGCUGAGGAAACCCUUGCAAAUAUCCCAAGUGAUCCUCGUGAUUGGGGACCGAAUCCUGUAGAUGGGAAUGACGAUGACAAUCUGUUCAGUCUAUUUCAACCGAAAAUGGGUAUUGCGACUGAAAUUCAAGGAAAAAGGGGAGAUUUGUUCAGAUCAAAGGAACAAAAGGAUUUGUACUCGAAACUGCUGAAGCGUGGGGUAAUAAACCCUAGAAGUGUGGACUUUGAUUUUCUGGAUGCUAUGAAAGUGAACUUGAGGGAAAAGUUCAGUUAUCUUCAACUUGAAAAGUUUUGCUCUGACUCAACUGAGGCCUAUGCUGGAUUAACUGCUUAUUUCUAUUCAAAUCUUAGCUUUUUGGAUGCGAAUAGAUUCUCUUUCAGCGUUAAAGAUCAAGACUAUGUUGUGGAUAUGGACAUGCUGGCAGAUGUGUUAGAAGUUGAGAGAGGCAGAUAUCAACCAAUCAAAGUUUCCAUUGCUGGGGCCACACUUGAACUGGUGAAGGACAGGAGAACAGAUGAGAAGAUCACCUACUCACGGAUGAAUGCAUUCAACAUCUUGCUCCACAAGAUUGUGAUCAAUUGCCUUCGGCCGAAAUCAACUUCCAAAACUGAUGUUUCAAGCUCUGAGGCAAAGUUGAUGUAUGCCAUCCUCUGUGGUAAGAAGUUUUCUCUCCCUCAUACUGUUAUGUUUCACAUGUAUAGAGCAGUGAUGAAGGACAGAGGUCAACUCCCUUACCCAAGCCUUGUUACAAAGUUAUUCAGACAUCUGAAUAUUUAGCCUCCGCAAAUCUUUUGUGUUCGAUCAUGCGAUCAUAUGGUGGUAGGACUGAAAAUGGUGACCAAAAUGCGUCUGAAGGAACUGAGCAAGGAAUUGGAGAAAUUCAAGGAGAAGACUCCUUCCAAAUCUCAUCAACUCUCUUCUGCUGCUAAGAGAAAAGGGAAGGAGCCCAUGGUUGCUUCAUCAAAGAGAAGAAGAGCUCUCCUUGUUGAGGAUGAAGAUGAUGACGAAGACAUCACUAUCUCUGCAUUGGCCUUGAAGAAUUUAGGUCGUCCUGUUCCACAGAAAGAAUCGGAACAAAAGACGAAAGAAGCAGAGGAGAAGGAAGAAGAAGAAAGAGAAGCAGAGGAGAAGGAAGAAGAAGAAACAGAAGCAGAGCAAGAAGCAGAGAAAGAAAGACCUGAAGAAGAAACAAGAAAAGAAGGAGAACCUGAGGAAAUCUUUUCUCCACCUGAAGGCAUGGAAACAGGGGGAGAUAAGGAGAAAGGAAUGACGUCUUCAUAUCCUGAUGCAAGUGAAGGAGUCAGUCGCUCGCCUGCAGACCCAGAAGAUGUUUAUGCAUCUCAAUUUCCAGAGGAAUGUCAUGAAGUGUCAUCGCCAAAUCUGCAAGACUAUGCUGAUCUACCAUCUUCUGCAGAUCGAGCCGAAGCAAGUACUCAGACUGAUAAUAGAGCAGAUUUUCGCAGAAUCAUGGAUAUUCUCUUGGAGAUGAAAGGUCAGAUUUAUGCCUUGGGAUGCGAAGUUCAAAGUUUGAAGACUGAAAGUCAAGCUUCUUCCUGUUCAUUGAAUGAUAAGAUGCAAGCCCUCUCUAUUCAGAAUCAGGCCAAUGCCAAGAGUGAGGAGGUUGUUUAGCUGAAGGAAGACUUUAAAAGGCUGGAAGGCAUCGUUCAGUCUAUGGAAGAUUUCCAGCUUGUCCGCAUUCCCAAGACUUCAUCUCAUCCUUUUUAAUGAUGACAAAAAGGAGGAGAGAUGCAUGAUUUGAUCAAAAACUUUCAAUCAUUUUUUUUUGAACUGUUUGUUGGAUUGUGUUGUUGUUUAACUAUUUUUAACAGACUUUGACUUUGUUUUGUGUCUAGAUAAGAUCUGAACUAGACUUGGACUUGACUGCUUCUAUUAACAAGUAUUGAUAUCUUAUGGAUGGUUUUAUUAUAUACAAGACUAACCUAUUUUCUGUGGUUGCAUAUUCUAGUGUUAAUCUUUUAGCCAUUCAUCUCUAUAAGAUAUGCAUAUGUGUUUGAGAAAUGUUUUGCAGGUCAAUGUUAUCCAAAUCUGCAGGAAGGUUUUGUCACCAUCAAAAAGGGGGAGAUUGUUGGAGAAAUCCUCGUGAAGUGUUUUGAAGUUGACAAAACGUUUCCAUCAAUUUAGUCUGAAGGUCAGCAGACUCUGUUAGUUAAAGUCUGAAGACUUCCGGACAGCCAGACUCAAGACUCAAAGUCUAUCCUCAUUGACUGUCUCUAAUCCGUUGAAGAAAGGUUAUCCAGAACUGGAUGUUUUGUUCAGGAUUUAUCCUUAUCAUCUGGAGAAGAUCUCGUGGCUGGAGAAGACGUAUCAGAAUCCUUUGAUUGAUCAAGAUUGAUUCAAUGACUGAAGAUUCGAUGAUUGUCUAAAUAUUAUUGGAAGGUUCUACUUAUGGAAACCAAGAUCCUGAUUGUAUGGGCGAACAGGAUUGAUGGGCUAUCAACACGUUCCUUUAAUAGCUCGAACAAACUUCCUAGAUGAUUCCGUCCAACGGGUAGAUUGGAGGAAUUCCUUUAGUAAGUGCCAACGGGUAUGAUGGCAUAAAUGAGUAUAUAAGGAAGACGUUCUUAGCUGUUUGAGGUGUGCGCGAUAGAAGAAUUCCAAAGUCUGAAGCUCCAAAUUGUUUAGACAAAUCCUUUGAGCGAAUACUUGUAUACAAAAGAGAGUCUAUAUUUGUGAGAGACCUUGAGGAGGUGUGGUAAAACAUCUACACUAUGGAAUCAAGGCAAAGCUGUGCUGUAACUUCUCUUUUGAUCAUAGUGAAAUCCAGCCGGUGGGCUGUCAGUGCGGAAGAGUGGACAUAGGCUUGGAAUAAGCCGAACCACUAUAAAUCCUAUGUUCAAUUUUCUCUUCCUUACUCUCUCUACCUCAAUCGUAUUUCAUUUCGUUAAUUAAGAGAGAAUUUACCUUCCAUCAUAUGUUAAGAAUCGCUUCCGUAUAUCGAUAAAGUAUUUAGGCACCUAUUCACCCCCUCUAGGUACUCAUACUAGCAAUAUCACCCAUGUGCUGUUCAUUAAUUGUUCACUAUUCAGCCAAAUAAUCCUCCUCUUUGCAUUGGUAAAUUUUCCCUGACUCCAUUUUAACAACUUUUUUUUCCACUAUCUGCAGUUUCUCAACCACAUUGAGCUGUUGGAAAUCGGAAGCAGCCCAAGUGUCCCUGACGAGGCUCACACAUUCCUCCUCCUCCGCCCAAAAGGCUUCAUACUUAAAGCUCUUCCUCUUCCUUUGUUUCGAUGGGCAAGUAGAUAGAAUAAUUGGAGUGUGGUCAGAGCCAAUGGCUGGUAUGGCUAUACAUUCUGCUAUAGGAUAUUUAAUACGCCAAUCUGAGUAACAUAAUACUCUAUCAAGACACUCCUUGACCAGAUUUUCUCCUUCUCUUUUGUUUGUCUAGGUGUAAGCACACCCUUUACAUUCCAUAUCCAGCAAAUAACAGUGGUUGAGGAAGUCCUUGAAGGCUGCAAGCCUCUAAUUUGCAGCUCUUUUCUUUCCCACUUUUUCCCAGUGAUAUAGGAUUUCAUUGAAGUCACCCAUACACAACCAUGGCAAGUGAUAACAUUGAGACUUUCUAUUAAUAUUCUCCCAUAAUAGAAUUUGCUCCUUAAAUUCAUUCAAAGCAUGUAUAAAUGAAAUGUGCAUACGUUGGUUGCUGGCUGGUAGAUGGCAUCGGGUGAUGAUAACAUGUUUCGUGAAAGAGUCUAUAGUUAAGAUUACCUCAUCAUCCCAAAAUAUUGCUAAACCCCGCUGUACCUUCUGGAUUCACUAUGAAACAAUGCUGAAAGUGGAGUCUCCGCCUCAAUCUUAACACCUUAUGCUCCUGAUUUUUAAUUUCCAUAAUAAAUAUAAUAUUGGGCCUUUCUUGAGUCGUUAAAACCCUUAAAGCUUGAACUGUCAAGGGAGUGCCCAGCCCUUGACAAUUCCAGCUUAAUAUCUUCAUGGAUGAGUUGGUGGCUUAUUAGGGCUAGCCACCAGAGCCCACUGAGCAGACUUGUUCGCCACACGAAUAGGGGUCUCAACCAGCUGAGUAGUGUCAACCAUUACUGUUUUUUUAUGAUUGUGCACCAUAUGUGCAGAAUCUUUUUUCUUUUUUUGAGGAAGACAAUUUAGCGCUUCUUGUUUUCUCCCUUGUUAGGCCUUUUUCCCUAGCUAUAUUCUCCGCCAUUUCUUCUUCAGCUUCUUUUAACUGUUCUUGAUAUAUCACCAUGACAGAUUCAUCAUCAAGGCAAUUGCUACCUCGCUUCUGGGGGCCCUUCUCUUUGAAGAGUACUAAUUCUUGUGAAGAAAAUGUGGGGUUACCUUCCUUUGAGUUUAGGUUUUCGACAUUGCUCAGUUCACCAAGUUGUUGGGUUUGCUGCAUUACAUUUUGCUGUUGUUCUAGUUUAGGGACCUACUGAAUGGGAGUUUCUGGCACACUUUCCUCCUCCUCUGGCUGUAGUUCUUAUUUGCCAUAGAAAAUUUUUCCAUAUGGACUAAGCUCCCGCGCCUCUGCUCGAAGCCAAUGUCCAAAACGACCUGGUAAGUUCUUUGCUAGCCUUGACUCCUCAUAUGGUAUUUCUUGACAAUAAGUUGCAUAGUGCCUAAUCCUACCACAUGAAUAACAAUAAUGUGGGAGCCUUUCGUACUUAAACUCUACCCACAAUCUUUUUCUGUCAAGAUUCACAAGUACACCGGUUUUGAGGGGGUUUUCCAAAUUCAACUUUACUCUAGCCCUGCCAAUCUUGUAGUUGAUGUUCCCUUUCGCUUCUAACUUUACAUCUACUACAUCUCCGAUUUUGGAUGCUAUUUCCCUGACUACUGCAUCUGUUACUCUCCCGAUGGGUAAGCCAAAGAAAUUUACCCAUAAGUCAUAGUGGUUAAAUUCAUAGCAAAUAUCAGGGGUGUCAGGGUCACAUUGCUUUAAGACUAGUAAAUUACUCCCAAAGGACCACGGCCCUGAAUCGAACACUCGCUGUUUUUCAGCCUCCAACUAGAAAGAAAACGAGAAGUAUCCAAGCUCAACGACAGCACAAGUAAAAGUUUCAUUUUGCCAGGCUUUUUUCAUUAUGCCGAUAAAUGCAUUAAAGUUUGUGGUAGGCUUAUUAAAAAAAACUUCCCAAACAGAGUUUUUCGGCAUGUUUGCAGGUUUUCCUCAAGAAUGUCACCUGUAAUAUCUACAACAUCUUCCUCUGACAAGAGAUUGCCCAAACUCUUACAGAGGGCAUCUUCUUGUAUACAGGAACAUAAUCGAAAUAGAGUAUUAAAGCUGGCCUGAUAGAUUGUGGAACCACUAAAUGCGGGAUGAUGAAAUCCUAUGUGAUUGAAGGGAGCUCUGGGUUUGCAGGUGAAGACAGAUGGAAAUUAGCACCAGCUGGUUGAUUAUGGUGGUCUUGGAAAUUUCUCGCUGAAGAACCGGACCGUACGCUCGAAAUAAGAGCUGUGAUGUGAUUUAGGGCACCGCUUGUGAGCUAAUAGAGGGCUUUGUUGGUAGAGAAGGAGGAAUGGGGUUAGGGUUUUCUACCCAUCCUUUUAAAUCAAAUCUGUGGUAUUGGGAAGGAAGAGGGUGGAAUGCAGUAGUGAUGGGUGGUGAGGAUGCAAUUCAACAGUGGGAAAACCUACCCGAAAGGUAGGAGAAGACUACUCAGGCGGUAGAGCAACAGCUCUUUCUUCGCCAGCUGUACAAAAGGCCAAAAAAUAUAAUUGGGUUUCACCAGCAAUGAUGCACCUAACGUAGCUUUAUUCUCUCUCUCUCUCUCUCUCUCUCUCUCUCUCUCUCUCUCUCUCUCUCUCUCUCUCUCUCUCUCUCUCUCUCUACUGCGGCUACUCUUUCUUUGCUAACUAUACAGAAGGUCAAAAAAUAUAAUUGAGUUUUACCAGCAAUUAUGCACCUAAGUAGCUUUGUCCUUCGGUUUGAUGAUAAGGAGCAACCCAUCUUUGUUGACCUCACUCCAAUCAGUGUCGGCGAAAUAGGUAUACUCACUCCAAGUCCUUCAUCUGUUGGACUUUCCAUUCCAGAGCAUCAGCGUUAGCAUCGUCCUCCGCUCCCAACUGUUAAGACUACAAUAAAUAGCAGUAGCUCAGCCACUAAUAAUGCCACCAAGAACAGGAGGAGAAAGCAUAUGAGGAAGAAGUAGAAUGUAUAAAUGCUGCCGAGAAGUGUACAGGAAGAAGAACCACUGUUAAAAACAAAGAAAGAAAAGAAGAUAAAGAUAAGGGUGAUGCUACGGAUUGUAUUAUUGCAUAUGAAUAAUCUGCGAAGCUUGUGAAGCCAAGAGUUCUCUCUCUCUCUCUCUCUCUCUCUCUCUCUCUCUCUCUCUCUCUCUCUCUCUCUCUCUCUCUAAGCUAGAGCUCUCUGUUUAGCACUCUAUUCUUGUACUUUGUUUCUUCUUUGUUUUUCCGGUAAUCAGUUAGUUUUUCUCUUCAAUUAGGUAGUUGUAUUUUCUUCAACUGUUCAAUACAUGUAGAACAGAUUCUUGAGAGAGAGCUAACGUAGAUAUAAAAGGAAAACUCUCCUGAUGUAGUUUUCGUGAAGUUGAAAUAACAGAAAAAGCAUUUUCAUCUCUGUUUUCUCUCAUUUUCUCUCCAUCACUUCCUGCUCAUAAACUUCUUCAUGGUAUCAGAGCCAUGCAUCCUGAAGAAGUCAUCUCGAUGCUACAUAAAAAUGGCUGAAUCUACAGCAGAUUGAAGUCAAAUUCAAAGCUUCAUUGAUCUAUGAGACAUCUAUAUCUUCCAACAAAUCUGUGAGUUGGUAUUUCUCAUCUACAUCUAAAUCUUCAUCAUCAGAAAUAUACUCGUAGCAACAUACUGCAAAACUAGUAGAGUUUGUGUUUGCAACUAAAGUUGUUCGAAGAUCUGGAAGAGUAGAAUGGCAACAAGAAGUUUGAGAUAUCCAUUUCCUAUUCAUGUCAAUAUCUCAAAUUUUGUUACCAUCAAAUUAACUGAGGAUAAUUUCCUUCUGUGGCAAGCCCAAUUUCAUAGGUUCUUAAGAAGUCAAGACCUAUUUGGUUUUGUUAAUGGAGAAGUUCCACCACCUGCUAAAACAUUGCAGGUCCGAGAAGGAGGUCACACUACUGAGGUUUCUAAUCCCGAUUAUAAUGAUUGGAUCAAGACAGAUUAGCUUGUAUCCUCUUGAAUUAUUGGUGCUGUUUCAGAAAACAUACUCAGUUUGAUAAUUGGCUUAAACACUACAUAUGAAGUUUGGCAGACUUUGCUCAAUCGGUUUACACAAAAAUCUAUGGCAAAGGAGUCUGAGUUAAGGGGAAAACUGCAAGCUUGUUAGAAGCGUGAUAGAACAUUAUCAACAUAUCUCAAAGAGUAUAAAUCAAUAUGUGAUCAAUUGAAUGCAAUAGGGAAACCAGUGGAUGAAAUAACAAGAUUGUUUGGUGUUUUGGAAGGUCUGGGGUAUGAGUAUGAGAGCUUUAAAACAACAAUUUACUGUUUAAAGCCUCAAUAGAAUAUGACAAAGUAAUCUCACAUUUAGAAAGAUUUGAAACAAGGCUACAAAACUAUUCUUCGAAUCAGUUCAGUCCAAAUCUAGCCUACUAUGGCCAGAGGAAGACUGAAGUUAUACACAAAGAAGAGUUUAACAGAGAUUUUGUACAACAGAAUAAUAGCCUUGGAAGUUCAAGAGAGAAUAGUCGUGGAGGAAGAAAUUAUGGAAGAGGAAGGUCAUUCAAUAACAGAUAUAGAAACUUUAGAUAUCCUAGAAGAAGUAUGAAUUACAGAAAUAAUAGUUUGAACUAUGAACAGGGAAGUCAGCAGCUUAAGUAGUUUAAUACCUCCUCUACUUUGGGUUUUGGUCAGGGAUUCAGACCAUAUAAUGGCUUAGCACAAAGGUAUUCAGAUACCAAGACCUAUCCAUCUUCAAAUUUAACUCUUCAUAAAAAUAUGCAGGUGGAGAAAACAACAGAAAACACUCGACUGGAGUGUCAAAUCUACAGAAGACCUGGUCAUGAUGCAUUACACUGUUGGUAUCGAUUUGAUAAUUCCUACCAAGCUGAGGAGAUACCAACAGCUUUAUCAACACUACAUAUUAAGAAGCAAAUGGUAAUGAAUGGUAUCUAGACACUGGAGCAACAACUCACAGUACUGCUAAUGCUGGUAUUCUUCAUAACUUUUCUAAGAAUGCUGGUACUGAUACAGUCAUGAUUGGCAAUGGUUCAUGCUUACUUGUUAAAUACAUUGGUAAUGCAUUGCUGAAUACUGCUACUGAUGUCUUACCUCUAAAUGAUGUGUUGAUUGUUCCAGAAAUUAAGAAAAACCUUCUUUCAGUUUCUAAACUAACAGAUGAUUAUCCAUGUUCAUUUGUCUUUGAAAAAACUGGGGUGUACAUAAAGGACAGCAUCACCAACACAACCAAGAUGCUAGGAAGGAAGGUUAAAGGACUUUACAGAGUAGAUCCUUAUGCUGCAGAGGUCUUCUUCACUCAAAGACAAAGGAUUGCUGGAGAGAAUGUCUAGCAUCAACGUCUAGCUCAUACAAAUCAAAAUAUCCUGAAGCAUAUGAAGAAUCAAAAGCUAAUUCAGUGCCAUAUAGAACCACAAUUUGUAUGUAGAAGUUGUCAACUAGCUAAGAGUACUGCUCUACCUUUCCCAUUGUCGAAUUCUACAACUACUAAACCCCUAGAACGAAUUCAUUGUGAUAUCUGGGGACCUUCUCCAAUUAACUCUUUUCAGAAUUUCAAGUACUAUGUCAUUUUUGUUGACAACUUCUCUCGGUUCAGUUGGAUCUAUCCAUUGAAGCUAAAAUCAGACUUUUAUGAUAUUUUUCUCAUGUUUCAGGGACUAGUAGAAAACCAACUCAACUGUAAGAUCAAGAUUUUCCAAUGUGAUGGUGGAGGAGAGUUUAUCAGUCACAAGUUCAGAACUCACUUACAAAACUGUGGCAUUCAACAGCAUGUCUCCUGUCCAUAUACACCUUAACAGAAUGGAAUAUCUAAAAGAAAACAUUGUCAUAUAGUUGAACUUGGUCUGGCUAUACUGUAUCAUGCAAAACUCCCAUUAAAAUUCCGGGUUGAUGCAUUUGUGACAUCUAAUUAUAUUGUCAAUAUUCUUCCCACUCCAAAGUUAAAGAUGCAGUCUUCCUUUAGCAAGUUAUAUCAGCAUAAGCCAAGAUAUGAUCAUCUCAGAGUUUUUGGGUGUGCUUGCUAUCCCUGCCUUCGACCCUAUGCACAACACAAGCUUGAUCCACGAUCCCUUACCUGUGUUUUUCUAGGAUACAAUACUCACCAUAAGGGAUAUCGAUGCCUUGUUCCUACCACUGGUCAUGUGUACAUCAGUCGACAUGUGGUAUUUGAUGAGACCUUCUUUCCUUUCUCUCAGAAAUUAGCAACAACUUAUUCAACUUACACACAUUUGUAUAAGCUAUGGACAGAAGAAGAGAAAUUUUUACAACCUUCCAGUACAAAUUACAUAAACACUUCAUUAUCUCAUCAUACAGGUUAUGUACAAGACCCUACAGUUGAGCAAACAGUUGAACAAAUAAUCUCUACUAGUUCUACAGAACCAGCAGUUCCUGUUUCUACAAAUAAAUUACCUAUGGAUCAAGCUUCUUCUACUUCUCAAAAUAUUUCACAACAAGUAGAAAUACAUGGUUCCACAACAGAGACAACAGCUGAACCAGAUAUGGAACAAGCUGUUCAAACAGCCUUACAAGGUACACUAUCUACUCAACCUAUGUAAACUAGAUCUAAAUCUAGCAUCAUCAAGAUCAAUCCUCGAUAUGCAUGCCUUACUGAAUAUCGAGUUCCCCCAGACCAAAGUCAAUAAAAUUUGCUCUAGCAAAUCCAAGAUGGCAUCAGGCAAUGCAAGAGGAAAUGGAUGCUUUACAUCAAAAUCAAACUUGGUUAUUAGUUCCCCGUACCAAUGACAUGAAUGUUGUAGGCUGUAAAUGGGUGUUCAAGACUAAAUUUACAUCAGAUGGCAGCCUCAAUCGAUUGAAGGCUCGACUAGUAGCUAAGGGGUUUCAUCAGGAAGAAGGAAUAGAUUUCACAGAAACCUUUAAUCCUGUUAUUAAGCAUGCCACUGUUCGAAUUAUACUCUCGGUGGCAAUAAUAAAACACUGGUCUAUACAUCAACUUGAUGUCAAGAAUGCCUUUUUGCAUGGCACCUUAAAUGAAACAGUUUACAUGGAGCAACCCCCUGGCUUUGUACAUCCACAGUACUCUCAGUAUGUUUGUCUUCUUCAAAAAUCACUUUAUGGACUACAGCAAGCACCGCGUGCUUGGUAUGACAAGUUCAGUAAUUUUUUACUUGAAGCUGGUUUUUUCUGCAGCUCAAUUGAUCCUUCUUUGUUCAUACUUCAUAAAGGUCAAGAGACAUUACUUCUAUUGCUAUAUGUUGACGAUAUAAUCCUGACUGGUAGCUCAGAUAAGUUGCUGCAGACAGACACUUAUUCACUCCCUCAGUAUUCAAUUCCAUAUGAAAGACCUUGGCCACCUCCAUUAUUUUCUUGGAAUUGAAGCUACACGAACAUCCACUAAGUUAUUUUUGUGUCAAACCAAAUAUGCUCUUGACUUACUCUCUCGUGCACAUAUGUCUGACUGCAAACCUAUUGCCACACCUCUUUCUCUUAAACCAGUCACACUAAAAACAAAUGCUGAUCUUCUUCCAAAUCCCAUAGACUACAGAAGCUUAGUAGGUGGUGUGACAUCCUGAAAUUCGACCCCGUUUCGAUAAAAUGAAAUGUGCAUAUCGUCGGCGCGCCUAUGGUCCUUUUUCUCUGAGCUGAUCACUCACGAGUUAGCCAACCUAUUGGGUGAAGCCGUUAAGGGAUAUAACCGUGGUAAAAUCCCUAAAAGCUACCUAAUUGGUUGGAUUGGACUAAAAUCGCGUCCGGUCGAUUUUAAUCAUGAAAUUUAAUUCGGUCUCGGGAAAUCGAAUAUUCGAGCGUGUCACAAUUCAUUUUUAGGACCGUCUCAUCGUCUGUCAAUUUAUUGACGAGUCCGAAAUUUCAAUAAAGAAAUUAUCGGGGGAUCAAUCGAAGAUCAAAAGAAAAUAGAAAGGAAAAGGAAAAGAGAAAAGGAAAAUUGAAAUAAAGAAUUAUGCAUUUCCUUUUUUCUUUUUCCUCUCUCUCCCUCUCUUUUCUUUUCUUUCUUUUUCUCUCUUUUCUUUCUCUCUCCUCUCCCCUCUCCCCUCCCCCUCGUGCAAAUUGCCCCCCACCGCUCACUUUCUCUCCCUCUUUUAUUGACCGGUCAACCCUUAUCUCUAUCUUCUCUCUCUCUUCUCUCUCCUCUCUCUCUUUCGCACUCUCUUCUCCCCCUUCUGUUCGAGCGAACCAUGAGCCGAAGGAAGACGAGAAACCAGAAGCUGCAGCCCCGUCGCCGCCCGUCCCGCCGCCGCACCGCCGCCCGCGCCGCACCCGUGCGCCCGCCGCUCACCGCCGUCCCGCCGUCCGCGCACGCCCAGGCCGCGCGAUCCAGCCGCGACCCAACUCUGUUCGCUCCUGUUCCAACCAUCUCCGGCCACCUCCGGCCACCGCCUAGCCCCGCCGGAGCUCCCCUGCGACCCCCUCACCCUCCGCCGGCUUCCCCUCGCCGCCCUAGCCGCCGAAGCAGCCUCGAUCGGCUCCGUUCAGCAGACCCACGAAGUGGGUUUCCAGCACUUCGGGCCCGCUUUUGGGCCGUUUCCUGGCCCCGAACCCGAGCCGUGCUUUGGAGUUUGUUGUUCCUCGUGCCGCCGCCGUCGGAUUGAUCCGAUUUGCGCGCGAUUUGGUGAGUAAUCUCACUAAUCCCUGAUUAGUUGGCUAAUUAUGCUUAGGGUUGGUUUAAAUUUAAUUAAUUAUGUUUAGGUUGUUAGAUUAGAAUUAAUUAGUAAUUAUUAGUCAAUUGUGAUGCGAUUUAGAUAAAUUGAUUGUGUAAUUAACAAGUAGACAUGGUCUACUAAUUAUUGGAAGUGCCUCGGGAUUUUUCCCGACCCUUAGUGGGCUCCAAUUAGGCUUUUCGGGCCUAAGUGGAAUUUUUAGUAUUUAAAUAUUAAUUUUCGGAAUUAAAUUAAAUAAUUAUUUAUUUUCCGAAAAUUCAACGGAGAUGGUCUGGAACCGGAAAAUUAUGCUAAUGACCGUGGUGAAGUCCGUUUAUUUGAUCGGGCUUUAUUUUGAGCUAAAUUGAAUUUUUAAUAUUAAUUAUUUAAUUUUCGAAAUUAAUAAAUUAAUUAAUUAUUUUUCGGAAAUUAAGAUUUUGAUGGCCGACGACCGAAAUCUCGUGCUGAUGGUCGUGGCGUAGUCCGUUUAUUUAUUUGAGCUCUACGUUGUAUGGAAUUGAAUAAAUUGUGAUAUUUUAGGGAUUUACCCUAAAUUGAUUGGAAUUGAUUGAGAUUGAAUUGUUGAUUGGUAAAUGGCCAAGUAUGUUAUUCAGCAUUUAUAUUGCUUUGUUGAGUUGAUUUAAUUAUUUGAUUGAGAAAUCGUUGGGCAUUGGUUGUCAGUAUUGAAAGUAGAUUGGUAAUCGCUUAAAAGAGGACACGUGGGCUCGGUGAAUUGGAAUGUCACCUGGAGAAUGCACGUGAGUUCAGUGGUUGAAUAUUUCACCUUGGCGAAAAGGUCGCCUGAGAGAAUGCACGUGGCUUGGAGACUUGAUAUGUCCUCCUUGAGAAUGCACGUGGCUUGGUGACAGAGUUUGGCAUCUAAAAGGGCACGUGGCUCGGUGAUCUGAUGCGUCACUUUGGUAAGCGAGUACCUUAGAGAAUGCACGUGGGCCCAACAUUCCGGAAUGGCAUCUAAAAGGGCACGUGGCUCGGUGACUUGAUGCAUCACUUUGGUGAGAUGCACCUAAGAGAAUGCACGUGGACCCAGGCAUCUAAAACGGCACGUGGGCUCGGUGACUUGAUGCAUCACUUUGGUGAAAUGCACCUAAGAGAAUGCACGUGAGCCCAGGCAUCUAAAAGGACACGUGGCUCGGUGGCUUGAUGUACCACCUUGGCGAAGAGGUCGCCUUAGAGAAUGCACGUGGGUCCGAGGUUCGAGGCACGUGAACUCGGAGACCUGGAAUGUCUUCCUAGAGAAUGCACGUGGCCUAGCUUGUAAAUAUCCCACAGUGGGGAUUGAUUAGUAUGACAUGUAAUCGACUAGUUCGAUUUAUUUGAAGUGAAUGGGUGUUUAUUGUGAAUUGUACUGACUUGCAGGUGGAAUCUGAGGCCAAGGUAAGUCAUCUGCCCUGUGCGUGUUUAGGCAGCCUUUAGUAUAAUGGUUUACUAAUCGGGCUUAGUGGGGUAGAACUCGCUGAGACAUAGUCUCAUCCCAGUUUGGGGAAAAACAUUUCAGGACCCCAUUGAGGAGCUGAGGAGGAAUCUAAGAAGGAGAACUCGGAGGUGAAACCUGAGUAGAAGGAUUUUUGGAAGAAGAAGAUAAUACCGAGAGAGAUUUUGAGUAUGACCUGAAGGGAUUGAGAUUUUAUCUUCUUUGAUAUCUCCAUUUUGAUGUGAAUAGAGUUUGGAAUAAAAAUUUGUGAAGUGUUUGGGUUUGUGUUUUGUAUAAAAGUUUGGUUAUAAGUUUCAAUAUGAAAAAUAUGGCCCUGCUUUUCUAUCCCAUUGUUUUAUUGUCUGGGGAUUUUAACUGCUUCCGCAUGUGCUUAAUAAAUGAAAGGGUCGGUGAUACAUUGUCCUGGGAUAUCACAUUAUAAAAUCGACCAAGAGUUGAAGGAUGUGCGCGUGCCCGAGGAUCGGGACGUGACAGGUGGCUUACAAUAUCUCACUAUCACUCGUCCUGAUCUUGCAUUUGCAACAAAUAUCUUGUGUCAGAAAAUGCAACAACCCACUGUUGGUGACUUCCUUAAACUGAAGAGAGUACUUCGUUAUGUAAAAGUAACAAUUCACCUUGGCAUCUAUCUUCACUCUCGAAGUUCUCUCAAUUUAUAUGGUUUUUCUGAUGUAGAUUGGGCUGGUUGUGUUCAAACUAGAUGAUCUACCACAGGUUUCUGUACUUAUCUCGGCUCUAAUCUCAUCUCAUGGGCAGCCAAGGAACAAACAACUAUUUUCGUUCUUCCACUGAAGUAGAAUAUAGAGCACUUGCUUCGGCAACAACUGAUCUUACUUCGAUCACUUUUGUUCUAAGAGAUAUUAGCCUUCCUCUACACUCUCCAACCUUACUAUUUUGUGAUAAUCAAUCUGCAAUAUCCCUCACAGCUAAUCCUAUACUUCAUGCUCGAACAAAACAUAUUGAGGUUGAUUUUCACUUUGUUCGAGAAAAAGUUGCCUCUAGAUCCUUGUGUGUUAGAUAUAUUCCCAGCAACAAUCAAAUUGUUGAUAUUUUACAAAGUCUUUAUCCAGACUAACACAUUCUUCUCUUUGUCUCAAAUUAGGAAUUGGCUGUUCACCCUUGCCCAAUUUGCGGGGGGAUGUUAAGACUACAGUAAAUAGCAGCAGCUCAGCCACUAAUAAUGCCAUCAAGAACAGGAGGAGGAAAGCAUAUGAGGAAGAAGCAUAAUUUAUAAAUGCUGCCGAGAAGUGUAUAGGAAGAAGAACCACUAUUAAAAACAGAGAAAGAUAAGAAGAUAAAGAUAAGGGUGAUGCUACGGAUUGUAUUGUUGCAUAUGAAUACUCUGCGAAGCUUGUAAAGCCAAGAGCUCUCUCUUUCUCUCUCUCUCUCUCUCUCUCUCUCUCUGAGCUGGAGCUCUCUGUUUAGCACUCUGUUCUUGUACUCUAUUUCUUCUUUGUUUUUUCGGUAAUCAGUUAGUUUUUCUCUUCAGUUAGGUAGUUGUAUCUUCUUCAACUGUUCAAUACCUGUAGAACAGAUUCUUGAGAGAGAGCUAAUGUAGAUAUAAAAGGAAAACUCUCAUGAUGUAGAUUUCGUGAAGUUGAAAUAACAGAAGAAGCAUUUUCAUCUCUAUUUUCUCUCAUUUUCUCUCCAUCACUUCCUGCUCAUAAACUUCUUCACCAACACCAUAUUUUUCUUCUCAAGUCCAACCUUUCUUUACUCUUCCGGUUUUCUUGCUUUGAUCUCUUGACUCAUGGCUUCUGUCCUAUGAUAUGCUUCAUGUGCUUCCAUGUUCUGUUAGAUCUGGGUUUUGGGUUUGGCGACGGUUUUCCUGUCUUAUGGGAUCGGACUCUUUUAAGGAUACUCGAACAUCAUAGUUUUGUUGCUUUCUGAACUAUGCAUGUACAUUCAAACAUCACAUGGCUUUUUGCAAUUGCAUUUAGCUUGAUAUAAGAAUGUUUAAUUCUUUGGAUUAGCUAACUUUGAUCUGCAUUUGGUUUCUGCUAAUUCUGCCUCACCCCCAGCUUCUAGAUUGCCCUGAGAAAUCUGGUCAUCUUUAGUUUGUUGUGAGCAUAAUUUGAAUUUGCAGCCCACCCAAAAGAGAAAACCUUACGUGUUCAGAGUGAAAAUUCUAAGUCAAUUAAAGUGAGAAUUUGCAGACUAUCAAGAAAAGUGCUAUUAAGUUAUAAAUAAGUCAUAUGGAAAUCAGGUAAUACUUUUUUUUUUUUUAUCAAUAACUUUUUAACACUUACCAAUUCUUUCAGGAAUUUAUCCGCAUGAAAAAUAUCCGUUUGUUUUAAAAUGGAGUAAGUAAAGUCGUCCCUGUGACGUAUGAGAGUUAAUGCAUUUUUAACAAUUUGCGUCUGGAUGGCCUCUUCACUAAACAAGAGGUCUUCUUGUAAAUGGCGUAAUUAUGACUUUUUGGGUGUUGAAUUGUCGUGAUCAUAAUUAUUAUUACUUUUUUGACCAAGAUCAUGUGUUCUCCGUUAGUCCAAUUCUAAGGAAAUUUGUUACCCUCGUAACAGUGGGGUGAAUUUUAUUUUAUUUUUUUGGAUAUCCAGGAUCUGCCAGAGCCUGUGGGGUGAAUUGAUUUUUCAAGAUAUUAAAAAUCAAUUUUGUAAAACCUACCCCUAUAAAAAUUGUGCUUCUACUACCAAGUAUACUAGCAAUUUAAACAGGACAAAACUAAAAAGUUUAGAAAAAGAAAAAUUGCAAAAUGAGAAUUAUGAAAGUUCAAUUCGGGUAUACAUACUCCUCUUUCUAGCUCUAAUAGCCCAAAUAGACUGAACUCUACUAGCUAUGCCAAGAGUACAAAUACCAUCUUGUUUAGAAAAGUACUCAAUCGGUCUUAAACUUUUCAAUUUUGCCAAUUUAAUCUUAAAUAUUUGUAUAAAAUUCCAAUAUAUUCCUUUCAGUUAUUUUUCGCUGGAAAUUUCUAACGUGACAUCAUCGUUGGCCGUCCUCUGUAGCAUACCACUAUGCCCACGAUUUUCAGCUAAAAUUGGCGAAAAUAUUAGAUUGAAAUUUCACACGAAAGUCUAGUUGAUAACCAAAUUAGUAUCCAUGCAAUAAGUCUAGGAUUGAUUAGACAAUUACUUGUUACAAGUGUAGAAUUUGCUGCCACGGAGAACUUGACUUCCUUCUACAGCAAUCCCGCUAUACACUGAGUAACUUUUGGACCCUCCAAUAGCCAUUCUCACAUCUUGUUCACACGAUAUAAAGGUCCUUUUCUAAAUUAUAAACCACACCUCCGACUGUUUACAAAGAGUCCAUUAUACAUUUUAUCUCUUGCCUAGAUACAUAGUGUUCACUCUAAGUAUGUAAAACCACCCUUUUCAUAUGUUUACGAAUGGGUUUGUCCCUCUUGCUAAUAAUUAGACACAACACUAAAAUGGGUAUUACAAGUUUACGAAAGACACGAACUCAAAAGUCCCCCAAUAAUACUUAAAUUCUCUUGUAGUAGUUAUAUCUAUCUAAUCUUCAAUUAAAAAAGAAAAAUCUCAGCAAAAUUCCUUAAAAACACAUGUAUAAAACCUUGUUACAAUCUAGGCCAUCAAUCUGAUCUUCUAUUAAUGCAGGUUUUAAUCAUAUUGUUUCGCCAACCUUCUGAGCGAAUUAGUUCCUUUUUUUUUUUUUGCAUAACUACUCUUGGGAUGUCACAUUUUAUUGCUAUGACUUGGGGCUUUGAUUUAGGAACUCCAAUAGUCAUUAAAUUUAUCCAUGGAGAGCGCCUGCUAAAAAAAUCUGACUGCUUUGCAUAACCUAGUUUGGUUCUACACCUUUCCUCCAGCAGCUUUCCUAACAUAGUAAAACCUUACUUAUGUACUUGUAAAAUCCGAACCAAGCUUCUGUAUGGUUUAAACAUGAACAUUUGCACACUUAAAUGAAUUCUUUAAAUCCUUGGGUUAAAUUUUGAUAUUAUCAUAAUCUUUUUAGUAUAUUUUCCAAGCAGUUUCACCAUUUUCAACAAUGACAAACCUAUACCAUUCCUUCAAUAAGAGUGAGUUAUGCACAUAAGCAUGCAUAUUCUGCAAAACUAUCUGACUGUAAAACCAGAGAUGAUUCAUGCAUGCUUCCACAUGCGACAUUUUAAUAGACCAUAUAAAUAUGUCUGCAAAACAUAAUAAACUCCCCUUAAUAUGUACACAUAGUGCGAUUCUCCCCCUGAGUAUGUGCUUCUCCCCCUUCUUGUUUCUUAAAAAAGCAUUAACAUCAGAUGCCCAGGGAUGAAAACCAUAUAAGCAAAAGCAUUCAUUUAUUUAUAUAUAAGAGUGUUCUACAAAGCAUAUUCCGGAAAAAUUAAUAUAAAGGAAAGUGAACACUAACCAAAAGGAUCACAAACACCGAUUUCAUCCAUCAAGCUAGAAACGUAUUGUUAUCAAGAGGUCUAUUCAGAAUAUGAGAGAAUUGCAAAUCGAUGCUAACAAAUCCUUUUCAUUGAUUCAUGUUGUGCUGUGGCUGCCAUAAUUAAAUAAAUAAAUAAAUAAAAGAAUCAUAUGAAAGAGUCUCUCUUCUUGAAGUUUGACCUAGUUCAGAGUUCCUCGAAAUGGAAGCCACCCCCGUUAAUUAGCACAAUUAAAUAUUUUAUUAGAAAUCCAAAAUUUAGGCAGUUGAAUACUUGGCCAAUUUUUAAGACAGUGUGACUCUAAAAAUUGUGCUCGUAUUCAACUGAAACACAAUUACUAAAGAAAGACUUACCGAUUGCUUAACAAUGUUGCAAUUACACUUUUUUUCAAAUCCUUACAUUAAGGAUGACACGUCCUUAUAUCUCAAUAAGGGCCAUUGACUUAACUAAGACAUUUUAUCUGUUCCCUUUUUGCUGAUCAAUAUGUCAUGAGGUUUGGUACACAACUAACUAUACUAUUAUAAAUAAUUUGAUUCUGUUGAAUACUCAAAACACAUAAAUCUGACUAAUUGGAGUUUGAAUUACUGAAACUGCGACAACAAUUGAGUAGAAAUGUAAAAGAGACUUAGGGUUGAUGCCUGAUUAUAUAUCGAAAUACCAUGGGUUUGACAUAUAGACCUCCUUUUCAAAGCCCCGUAUGCUAUUGGAAAUAUGUAUACGUAUUAGGAGCAUUUUGUGGGCUACUACAUGGUGCACUUGUUUUAUAUUUAAAGUUUCAAUGGGUCAGUUUUGUCUACUAGUAACAUUCUCCUCCAAUCAUACUUUCAGUUAACAGGUCAAAGAUUAUGGACAUUAUCAAUAUGAAAAUUUAAUCAAAAUCAAAUACGAGUGAUGUUAAUAUUUGUGUGAUCCAUCAAUGAAAGUUAUGGCUAAAAAGAGUUCAUCCAGCUAGAGCGUUACAUGUGCAAAUAGAGAUAAAAUAAAUUUAGAAUUCUAUCUGUGAGCUUUUACAUCAUUGACUAUGGUUGCUAACAAGCAUUUUCAUUGCAAAAUUUGACAACAUUUUUGGAUGGCUUUUGGAUUAUUGAUGUUGAUUACAUAAUUCUGUCGUAAUUCAGUUUUAUCACGUUCAGAUUUAGUUUUCUUACAUUUAUUUGAAUCUAAGUUACUAUUAUUGCACAUGAUUGUUGACAUCUGAAUUUCGCUAUUUUACUUAAGACUUAAUAGCAUUAAAAUUUAGGAAUAAGUCGCUAAAAAAAAUUGAUUUUUUUUAAAAAAAAAAAAAAAGAAGAGAGAAGAAGAAAAAACCUUAGGGGUCGGGCCGGAUCCGACCUUUGCCCAGCCCGCCGCCUUCCUCUUCUUUUCCCCCCGCGCGGCCCAAUCUCUUUUCCUUUCGGCACGCCCGCACCCCAGCUGUCUUCCUUGUCCUGUCUUCGCGCGCAAACCUGCAGAGGAGGACAGACAGCACGCGACCAGGCGGGACCGGCAGAAAGAAAAGACAGGGUAAAGCAGAGAGUAGGAGGAGGGGCAGAAAGAAAGUGGAGCAACCAGAGAAAGAAAAACAGAGGGAGAGAGCUCGAGAGGGAGGAAGAGAACCGGAGAGGAGGAGGGGAGUCUCCGGCACUGUCGCCACCGCUGCCGAUGCGUCUCCUAGCCGCCGACAUUUAUGAACAUUGAUCAAAUCCAACAAUUUUCUAAAAUUUAUUUGAAAGGCAAUUGCAUAAAAAUCGACAAGAAGUAAAAUGUCAAAAGGGUACUGACCUUCUUAUGACUCGUGCUCCUUUCUCAAGUUAUAAUUUUAUGCUCUUUUGCCUGGUGAUCUCGUCCUAUCCAUUCUAAAAAGGAAAAGAAACAACAAAUUUAUUGAGAUGUGUGAAAAUAUAAUAACAAAAAUGAAACAAAUUAUGCAGAUUCAUAAUAUUCAUGCCGAGAUAGCAAAAAAUUCACAAUCACAUCUAGAAAAAAGCAAGUUCGUUCAAUAAUUCAUAUGCUUCAUAAUUGUGAUCGAGGAAAGCGAACAUUAAAAUUAAGCCAAAUUUAUUCAAGACCACAUCCCGGAGGAAACAACCAACAACUACAUGCCACAUUUGACAUUUUCCUUUAAAAAUAAUGACAGCAAACUCCCAAAAAAUGAUGAGAAAUGAAUAGAAUAUCUAUGAACUAUUUUAGCAACCAAUAUGCCCUCAAACAAUGUCAUGACCCAACUAAAUCACAUCUAACCCAGAAUAUCCAGCAACUACCAUUGCAAAUGACCUAUGGUAAGGUGUUAGUCUUUAUUUACUUUUAUCUGUUUCUAUUUGCUAAAAAACGUUUGGUUUUGCUAAACGUUGGAGCACCACUACUGUUGACAUCUCCUUCUAUAAUUGCAGUUGGUACCUUUGGAUAUUUGUGGUCAUCUUCUUAUUGCUCAAUGUCCAAGGUGAGAAACCACAUUAAUCACAUAUUGCAAUUUCCAAAUUUACGCGUCAUGAAUACAACAAGGUUUACUUUUCAUUAUUGUAGUUUUUACCCCAGCAAAACAUGGCUGAACACAAUUUAGGCAUGGUUUGGCAUGGCGAUUCUAGUCCUCAUAUUGAGAAGGAAUUUGCACGGAGUUCAAUGGUCCUUUCCGGAGAAACACCUAGGCUGUUGAUGCUUCUGAGCAUACGAGAGUCAAGAGCAGUUAAUAUCAAGUUACCCACAACAUAAUUCCCAUCAAAACCCCUAAAGUAACGCUUAAAGGCCAAUCCUAUAAACGGGGGAUUUAACUAUAACUGAUGAGGGGCUGCAAUCAAUUAUGCAGGCUGGCAUGCAUACUUUUGGAUAUCUUUCAUGCAUACUUUUGGAUAUCUUUUGUUCUCUUUUUGGUGAGUAGAACCGUGUCCCGGCAUUGGGCUGCUUAAGCCACAUUGUACAUCUCUUGAGAAAUGAGUCAUAGUGGGAUUCAGUUUAUUAGUUAUUCUAUUUCCUUUUCUAGCUCUUGCUGUCGGAACAAAGCUGGAGCACGUGAUAAAUCAAUUAGCGCAAGAUGUGAGAGUGCUAGUAUGAACAAAAUAAAGGAGUUAAGGAAGAGAAUAAGAACACAGAAAUUAUAGUGGUUCGGCUUAAUCCAAGCCUACGUCCACUCUCCCACGAUAACAGCCUUCUUGGCUGGAUUCCACUAUGCAAUCAACAAGAGAUUACAACUCCGAGUGCAAACACUUAGUAGUAGAUCACACUAUCUCACUAAGUCACUCUCUUGGUAUUUCUCUCACGAUUACAAACGUUUAAGCUCUCAAGAGACAAGUAUAUGAUCUAAAGUCGCUUAGACUUUGGAAUUAUAAAUUCUACGCUCCGUCUCUUACUUGCUCAUCGGUCCAUGAUCUUCUUAAAUACUCCUCCACUUCCAAACUACCGUUGGACAGCAUCCCGGAGAAUCGUCUUCCAAUAUACCCAUUGGACAGCUCUGUAUCUUAGAAGAUUUGGUAGCCGUUGAGUGACAAAGGUAAAAUCCCAAAUUGAUUCCGAUCGCCCAUACAAACGAAAUCUUGGUUUCCAUAAGUAAAGCUUCUUCGUAUAGAAAGAUCUUGUCUUCAAUCAAAUCAAUCUUGAUGUGGAAUCCAAACCAGAUCACUAGCCGUUGUAUGAUUGGGCUUGAGUUACGAUUCAUCGAAUCUGGAUGUAAAGUCUGAGUCUUGAGACUUUACGAUAUGAGUCUUGAGACUUUACAACCUGGGUCUUUAGACUUUACAAUCUGAGUCUGUACCCAGUUCAGCUUCAGCAUAGAGUCUGUCUUCAGACUUUGAGUCUUGAGUCUGACAGUCUUCAGACUUUGAGUCUCGAGUCUGGCAGUCUUCAGACUUUGAUAAUAUCCUCUACAUGUUCUAUUAUCUGCAUGGUCUAUUACUCAACCAUCAAACAUGUUAGUAGCCUUUGAUUUAUUUUGUCAUCUUCAAAACAUCAUAAGGGAUUUCCCUAACAAGAUGUCGCGGAGAAGCAUGCAGCCGUGGAAGGGGACUUGGUGGUUCAACCUUCUGUUGAUCAUUUCUGGUUCCAUAGACCUCGCAUUGUCCUGCUGCUCAUUCAUAUCCUCCUCUUCCAAAAAGCUUUUGAGCUCGCUUUCUUCUUCUUCAUUUGUGCAAGGGAUAAAAAUAGCUGAAUUGCCAAAAGAAAAUAAGUGCUUACGAUUACUUACUGGAGCUUCCAUGGGGAAAAAACCUGGCAGGUUCAAUAUAGUUUUGACUCGUGCAUAAUGGGACAAGUCGGUUUCAUAAUCCCAAGACUCGUGAUAGGGUAAAAGCCUUCUUCCUUCUCCUCAUAUGUGGAUUUAUCCUUACCAAUAUCACAUGUAUCUGAAUGGCUAGCUACAGGCAAUGUUGUCAGGGUGUUGGUUCACUUCAUGUGCAGCUACAGCACCUUGCCACUCUAUGCGAUAGUUACCCAGGUGACCAAUCUAGGCACAUCGUUUUCACGGUUCAUGACUAUUUACUGCAACAUGAUAUUGAAACUGAUGGCAUACGUACUUGCGUGUUUGCGCUUGGUUGUUAAAGAUGGGAAGCUCAUUCAAGAAGGCUAUAUUUGAGGAACACAUACAUGAGGGGCUCAGCGUCUGGACCCAGCAUGCAAAAAUGAAGAAGAAUGCAAGAAUGACGGCGACUGGCACACGAUUGACCACCCUCCCCGUGGACCCCAAAGUGACUUAACAAUCCCUUGGCGAGCCAACGAAAGAAGCUGAGAUCCAAUAUGAUCCUUCCUUCCAGGGACCAAAAGAGAUGUAGCAACCAUUCGAAACAUUCCCUUCCAAUUUCCAUGUUUCAUCAUCUUUAGACCUCUUAAAUGGGAAAGUCGGCCUGCUUUCUCUACCCCGAUGUUGAUUAUAUUUCAUAACCAGACACCAAACAACAGUCAACAAAAAUGAACCUUCCAUCAAGCUCUAUUUUCUCCGAGACGGUCAUUUCUCAUUCUACAAGGUUACAUGUGAUCAUUUAGAUUUCUAGUUAGGAGAAGAUUAGAGGAUAUAAAAAUUUUGCUAAAUUCUAUCAAUUGUUCGUCGCAGAGAUAAAAUCGAAUAUAUCCACAUCAUAUUAUAUAUAUUGUAUGGUAUAAACAACAUGUCAAUACAAAAUGAAUCUAAAAUUUGCGCAAUAGAUAUGAUAAAAAUCUCUCAUAACUCUCUAACUUCAUUUUUUAUUUGCUAAUUUUUUUUAUAAAAAAAAAAUUCCUAUAUUUUUUUUAAAUUUUUUUCCCCCUUCCAUCAUUCUCUAAUAAAAUUUUAUUAUAUAGUAAACUAUAGUAAUAUAUCUAAAAUACUAAAGUCCUAAAAUAUGUAAUAUUCAUAAUGAAUAUAUGUUUAUAUAUUGAUUAAUAUUAUAAGAUAGAAAUAAAUAAAAAGAGGAUUAAAUAAAAAUGAAAUUUUUGCUUUUUUGUUAUUUUGAAUUUUUUUAUCAGAAUUAAACUAUUAUUUAUCUUCCAAUAUUAUUUUAAUUUUAUAAUAAGAAUUUUUUUUUUUGAGAAAAAAUCUUUUAUAUUAUAGAUAUUAGAAAUCUUAUUUACCUUUAUCUCACCUCUCCAUAAAAUAAUUAUAUCCAUGCUAUAGCCCUCUUAAAUAUUGAACGAACACCAAACAUAAAAUAAAUAUUAUAUCCUAAAUUUUAUUCCGAUUGUCAAAUUAUUCCACACAUUUGGACUUUUAAUACUUAAAAUCUGAUUCUAGGAAAUGAGUCAAUAGUAAAAAGUGAAAUUUUCUUGGUGCGCAAUGUUGCAAUCUUGCAGAUCAUGGAGUAGGAUAUUUUAUGUACCAAGACAGUAAACUCAAGAGAGCAAUUGCCUUAUAUGUAUCUUCUUCGGCAUAAUUUAUUACAAAUACAAAAGGAGAUACAAGAUCAAUAAAUCGUGAUUCAAUGCUUCAAAUUAUUCCCGCCCAAGCUAUUUUUGCUGUCAUAGUGGAGCUGCAAAACCAAGUUAUUUUGCAGACAUUAACUAUAAAAAUGGUUUCAAUAACAAAAAGUAGUGCAUAAUUCAACAAUCAUUACCCAUUAAUUUAAACCUUUCAUGAUUAAUCAAGAAAGUGGUUUGAGACAACAGCUCAAACAUAAACAUCAUGACGGUAACUGACUAUUACACAUAUUCUGCAGCAAAAUAGCCGCCUAUCUAUACUUCCAAUACGCAAAAUUCUCCUUUAUCAAACCGGACCCGGCCGUACCGACCGGUCUAAACCCGGGUCGGGUCAGACCGGACCCGACUCAUUUCGCCCUUUUUUAAAAUUAAAAUUAUUUUUAAAAAAUUUUAAUUAAAAAAUUAAAAAUUAAAAAUUUCGAAAAUUAAAAAAUAUAGAGUUUGGUUAGGAAUUGUCAUAUCUUGCAUUUUUACAGUAAUAUUAGGCUUUUAUUUUCUUACACCUUGAUUAUAUUGCAUGUUUGAUUCGCAUAUUUGAUUAUGUUUGUAGAUGUUCAAUUGCACGUACUCAAUUUUACUAUAAUUAAGAUCUUCAUAACUACGAUUGUUAUUUUAAUGAUUGUGUAUUCAUAUGAUCAACUCAUAUGUUAGUGGAUAUGUAUAAAAUUAAUCUAAACUGUCGAACAAAAAUCAUUAAAUUUUUAAAUGAAUAAAGAUUAUGUACAAAAAUGGCACUAAUUGGUUGCGUAGUAAGUGUGGCAUACUUCCAUGCCUCACUUGAUUUUUUUUUUUCUUUUUGCAAAAUUCUUAAGAAUAUCUAAUGUCAUGCGAGAUAUAGACUUGGAAGAGCUUGUGCUUAAUCAUGGGCCUUUUGUCCGUCAUUUAAUCUAUCCCCUCCCCUUGAGGGAAGUUUGCGACAAUGAUCUAAGCUCCAACAAUAUUCUUACAUGACAUUUUUUGCUUGUUAAUCAUGUGACUUUAACGAUGUUGUAAGUUAAAUCGAUUACACGUAAAAAGUUCCUAUCAAUAAUUGACACAAAUAGUAGUAGUGGACCGACCACAUAACAUUAGAUUGGCAGUAAAAAAUCUAAUUUCAAGAGAUCAAUAGCCUAACUGUAGCAAAUAUCGAACUUUGGCACCGUGAAUGAAAUUUCUCAGUGUUAAAAAAUAAUUUUCCUUCUCUUGUCGCGGCCACAGAGAAAAUCUUUUGACACCGCCACUACAAAAAAGGAUCGUGUUUUCUUCCAUCACAAAUUUGAUUGGCAAGUUAUCAAAAUCUGAAGAAUCAUCCUAGAGACCGAUUCAAGGACAGCAAUUGAUCUACUAGUUGGCAAGAUUACAGAGUUGUCGAGGCCAGAUUGGGUGGUGAAAACCAACACAGCCCGUGAAGGCAAAACGUGCGACGAUUGAUAAGCCAAUGCAGCGUUCUUUUAGAGACCAUAUUUAGUUAUUCACUUAGGUUUAUCUACGGGGCUUCAAUUUGUACUUUUUAGGAGAUAAAAGUGGGUGUUAGGAGGCCGGGACUUGCAUAUGAGAUGUGUUAGAAAUUAAACCAAAUUAAUAAAUGUCCUCAAUUGACUACGAGUUGCUGAUGUUAUGGAGAAGUUACCGAUAUUAAUGGUUGUCAAUGCCGAUAUUCCAGAAUUUGGUACCGAUGAUUUUGUUUGGUAAAUUUUUUUUUUUUUUGUCAGUCUUACUCUAUGCCUACUUUACACUCACUCUCAGACUUCUGCCCUGCCUCUUGUAGGGCUUGGGAGUCGAAACCCACUCCUGAAACUUACGCGUCCCCACCCCAUCCCCCUAAGAAGGUGGGGAUUUGAACCCCACAUCUCCCCCUUCCAUGUUGGAAGGAUGGCUACUGGGAUGAAUCCCACUGGGGUGAAUUGAUACGGAUGACUAUCCGAUGCUCGAGUUAAUUAGAUUCUUUAUUGUAGCGUUGUUUUUUAGAAGUCUAUUCGUAUUUUUAUUUCAUGAUUGUUCAUGUUUCUAAGUGUAAUCAAUGUUUUGCAAGUUCUUAAGAUUUUAUCACCUCAGAACAUUAGCUAUAUUUAUGAGUCAUUUAGUUUAAGAGUUAUGUGUGAAGCGUAUAAAAUUCGAGUCUUGUAAUUGUUUUCGAUAAGGUGAAAAAAAGGUGAAAUAAACAAAAAGGAUAGCUGUCUCCUUCUCUUUUUUGUGUUGUGUUAGUGAGUGUUUCAGCUUUAAAUUAUCUCAUCAAGAUCUAGCUUGUAUUUGUCUUUUACAAAAACUCAAAAUUUUCUAGUUUUGAUGCCAUAUGAAAUUAUGAAGGAGCAUUAUUAGCUAUUAUAGAAGUUUAGAUAAUUAGAUGGAUGCAUUAUUCAAUACUUAAUUGAUAUGACGCCUCUUUCACGACCUGUGUUACCUUUCAACAACUAGAUUACUUGCACAGCUUGGGCUCAAUGGACGGAGAGCUGUCUAUAAAAGUGGAGGAUGGUGGGAUGAACAACUCGAUCGCGGAGGAGGUAAAGAAGGAUGAAAGAGGACAUUUAACGGAAGUGUCAAAGGAUGAAAGGGAUUCUGAAGAAGAAAUCUGGGGAGGUCGACGGGAGAUAAUGAAUAAUGCAUUGGCGGCUUCCGCGGGGGGACAAGAUCCGGCAAAAGCUUACGAAUAUGCUCGAAAACUGGCGGGUGUCAUCAAAGGCGGCAAGGUUGACGAGUUCCUUUCCACGAUCAAUGUAAAUGAUCCAUCGUUGCGGGACAUCGAUUGGUCUGCCGUUUUAAAUUCCCGAUUGGAUUGGAACGAAUCACUGCUCCACGUGGCAGCAGAAACCGAGAAGGACGACAUCCUAAGGCUUCUGGUUGAUUAUGUUGGUGACCACCUCAUAACCGCCCAAGAUGAUUGGGGAAAUACCCCACUCCACCGGGUCACCCAGUUUGGGGGAUCUACUGGAGCUGCAGAGAUGUUGAUUCACCGGGCAAGAGACCUCCCCAACGUCGAGGACAAGAACCUCCUCUUGAGGAUGAAGAACAAACGUGAAAACACCGCUGUGCACUUCGCCGUGCGCUCUCAACAUGCCAACUUGGUGCGCUAUUUGGUGUACUGGAAGAACGCGAGUGAGAAAUCUCCCCUGUACCGAGUCCUCUACAUUAACGACUCCACAAUACAUGAGGUUUUAUUUUCACUCUCGUUGGAACCAUCAAGGAUAGAAGGCUUGCCGCCCAUUCAUGGUGCCAUUGUACUUCUACGACACGGUACGUACCUAAAUCUGCUUAUGUGGAAAUAUAUUUAUCUUUUACUGGACCGACUCGUCCCAAAUCUGUGCAAUAACUUUUUGCUGUUACAAGAACCCCUUACCAGUUUUUACUUAAAAUUCCCUACCCUGCUUGUUAAAGUAGUUGGAUACCCAUCGGUUUAGUCGCAUAAUAAACAAAAUAUUCACAUUAGAGCAUAAUAGAUGGCUUAAAUAUUACAAAUACAACCAUUUCACUAGAAACUCAUGUGUUGUCGAUCUUUGAUUAGAAAAGCUAUAAAGUGCAAAUAUUUAAGAUUGAUGACCAUGACAAUCUGGAAUCUAACAAUGACGCCAUUUUGUUGGUUGCGCAGGCGUGAUUUUUUCAUUGGAAAAAGAGGAGGUGAAGGUUCCGUCACUCUCAGCAAAUUGAUGGAAUAUCGUAAACCGUUAAUUUUUUUGUGACCAACAUUCAAUAGGUUUUUAAGAAAUUAACAAAAGUGGAUCUAAAUAAAGAAAGAAAUUUUUGACUUUUUUUUUUAAAUGAAUACAAGUUAUCAUAAUCUUUGCAGAAAAAGCCGAUACCGUAGUCUAGCCUAAAUUACCUUGACCAUUAAAAAUAUUGAGAUAAAAUUCAUCAGACACGCAAUAAUCAAUUAUGUUGAAUUUUUUGGCUGCUAAUGCCAUGUAUCCCAAGUUUACUACUUGAAAAGCGCAACUAAUGUUCAUUGAUCAUCAGAUUGGUAGAUGGCAUUCAUCUGUUACAGUCAUAUCAAAUAGAGAGAAUUGUCCAAAAAGUUCUAAAUUUAUUGUACGAUUAUCAAUUCAGUUAUAAACAUGUCAAUUGUGUCAAUUUAACCUCCAUUUUAGUCCUAAACUUUUUAAAGAUUUAAUAAUUUAGUCCUUCUAAUUAAUUUCUACUGGAAAUCAAUUUCUUCUGGAAAUCGCUGACAUGGCGGUCUAGUCAAAGCUAGCCAUCCUACGCGAUGUUGAUUGCCUUUGUGGUUUUUUUACAAUAUAUUUUUUAAUUUUUUGCAUUUUUUUCCUUUUCUUUUUUUAUCCUUUUUUCCCUCUACCAGCCUUAGACGAGGGCCGCCCUUCGACCCUUGCGUAGAGCAACCCUUGCCCUUGCUUGACUUCCACUAGGCGUCAACCGUUGAUGGUUAGAGAAGGGAAAAAGGAAAAAAAAAUUAUAAAACUAAAAAAAUUGCAAAAAUUAUCCGCAUUAGCGUUGGCUGUGCCAUGUAGAACAAUCAGUACUACUAGACCACCAUGCUUAUGAUUUCCAACAAAAUUGGCUAGAAUGAUUAAAAUGACAAAUUGUUAAAAGAUUUAUCACUAAAUUGGCAAGUUAUUAAAAUUGUUAUGACUAAAUUGGCACAAUUGAAAGAUUUAGACUGAAUUAAUCAUCAUACAAUAAAUUCAAAACUUUUUGGACAAUUUUCCCUAUCAAGUAUAAUUCCAACCCUAGAUGCAGUAACUUUAUUUUUAUCAUGUCCCAAUUUAUUAAUCCAACCACAUGUUAUUAUUUACAUUGCACGACAUAACAUGUUUGAGGCUUUCUAUUUGAAUUGAACAUGCAAAACAAUUUCAAAUGGACAUAAAGUGAAAAUGCGUAACAAUGUAUUGUGUGAUGCAAAUAAUAAAUUAGCAUACCCAAUAAAUGUAUGUGUCUAAACUUAGGUUGCACUCGUUGAAUAGAUUAUAGAAGUCGACCUGCACACAUAACGUUCAUAAUCCAUUAUAAAUGGCUUAACUUAUUUGCGAUAAUACAAUUAAACCUAAUUCUACCAUAUUUAACCACGUUUCAUGUAGUGAACAUGUAUGUAGAAGGGCUGUUUUAUAGUUUGUCAGCUCAUAAUUCUAACAAGCACUUUAGAAACUAUACAAAAGAUCCCAUUGAAAUUGGAUUUACUGUAUAUUUCUUAUUCUUACUGUCCAAUAUAUAAAAAUCCUUUUAUGAAGUACUACUGAUUGAAAUCUCGUAAUAAUAGUUCAAUUUAUUCUUCAUUGAAUGCAAAAGUAGAUGACAUUGUGGAAUGAAUCGAGCGUUGCCAUGGGCUUUUGUAGAUAGGCACUUUAAUUAGGUUAUCAUGAUAGGCACUUUUUUUAAGGUUCAUAUCAAUUAAAUAAGGUAAGGUUAUUUCUUUAAAUCUAGUAAUGUUCUUUCACUUGGGAAAAUUAUCAAAAAAGUCCUAAGUAUAUUGCACUUUUGCCAAUUCAAUUUUAAAUUAUUCAAUUUUGUCAAUUCAGUGCUAAACCUUUUUCACUUCUUACCAAUUGAGUGUAUUCGACUAAUUUUGAUCAGAAUUCAUUGAUGUUGAUAAUUUUUAUUAAUAUUUUAAUCCUUUUUAAAAAAAAUUAUAUUUUUUUCGAUUUUCUUUCUUUCUUCCCCCCAUUCUUCUUCCUUUUAUCAGUGGCCGGCUACCAAUCACCAGUGAUGGCCAGCUACUAGCCAUGGCUGGGUGAGUUGACCUUGCCGUAAGUGAUGCCUAGCCAGGCAAGGCCAAGCCUCAACAAGGGUCGACCUCACCUAGGUUAGGCAAGACCAACCCUUGCCCAAACUAGGCGAGAUCGCCUGGACGAGGGUGAGCCCCCUUGUUCGGCCACAUCUUACUGAGGCAUGCGAGGCUAGCUAGCUUGGCCAUAGUCGGUGGCUAGCACAAAGGAAGAAGAAAGGGAAAAAAAAUUAGAAAAAAAAUCAAAAAAUAUUUUUAAAAAUUGUUUACAUUAGUGCCGACUAUCCUACAUGACACCGCUAAUGUCCACGUCAGCAAAUUCCUAUCAAAAUUGGCCAGAUAGACUCAAUUAGCAAGAAGUAAAAAGGUUUAUAACUGAAUUGACAAAAUUAAAAAGUUUAUGACAGAAUUGGUAUAAGUGCAAUAGAUUUAGAACUUUUUGGACAAUUUUCACUAUUUCACUAAUGUAUCUAGAAUGUAACCGGUUACCCAUAUUGAAAUUUGUGGCCUGAAUUGCUCCGUCAAUUUCAAGGAUGAUGGCAUCCGUCAUGCGAGCACCUUUUUUUGUAUUUGUGUAAAAUUGAAGUAUGUUUUUUAUUAUAAAUUAUUGGUGAAAUAUUAUUCUAUUUCAUAAAAAAAUUCUUCUUUUGAAUAGACUAAAUGCAAAAUUCUUAAUUCGUGUUAUAUAUUAAUGUAAAUAUAGGGGGGUCAACGACAAUUAGAAAAUUCCUAAUUAUCGCUGUUAUAUGACUGAUGAAAUUUGUAUAUGUACGUAACAAUAUUAUUAGAGUAUAUUUUAUAGGAAGUAUUAUAGAAAUGUAAGAAUUUUCAAUAAUUGCUCAUUUGCGGUUUUUGAAACUCAUUAGAACUAAUUUCAAUAAAACUAAUGCCUCUUUUGUUGAACAAAAUUCAUGGUAUAAGAGGCAAACAUAGAUCCUAAUUUGAAGCAAAAUAAAUGGAAAGUGGAAGAAAAACACUCUUUGUGAGGAAAAUAAUUAAUCCCUUACAAAUUAGAGCCCUAUAAAUCACUUUUAGAGACAAUUCUUAAAGAAAAAAAUCAUUAUAUAUCUAUGUAGAUGUUACAACAGUCUAGAUUAAUUUGCAAAGUUCAUUGAACUUUUAGUAUUAUGGAUGUAAUUUUUUUGGCGAUGAAAUGAGGCUUGUUUUAUUUUGUGUUGUGUCAUCACAGCUUAAAUAUGUGGUCGUUAUAGCUAGGAUAUAUAUGACUCCAUGCAAUGCACAUACCAUAUAAUGUGAUUUAUUGAGUAAAAAUAUCUUUCCCAGAAUCACUAAAAUUUCACAAAAUAUAUUUGGUCCAUUCACAAGAUAUAAUGGGAUUGAGUAGCACAAUCCCCAAGGAUGAGGUUAUCUCUAAAUCACUCUCGCCUGUCUUUGAAGUCCAAUGGCCACCCACAAUCCUCAAACACCGUUGGAAUAUUCUCAAACAAUCGAAACACCUCUUUCACAUUAUUGAACCUCUUUACUAGCACCUCCAAAUUUUCAUAGUUGGGGCCAAAAAAAAAUUUCUUUUGGUGGAGCCUUUUCCCUUCUGUAAUUUGUGAUUUAUAAGCUCUACUAUCUUCGAAAUAGAUUCUAGUCACAAAUUUUACUUAGAUUUUACUCAAAAUUUUUGGUAAAUAUAUAAUCUCUUAAUUGAGCUGAAUAAGUGCCGUAUACCUUUACGAAGAAGAUGACGUUUAAUCUAGAGAGGGUGGAACAAUUUUAAGGGGGAUUUCGGUAUGGUGCUGUGGAGGCUAUUGCAAUGUUCUCAACAAUUAAAUAAGGCCCCGUUUGGUUGGACUUUCCCAAGGGGCUUUUGGGCCCGAAAGCCCCUUGGGGAAAAAUUUUUGUGUUUGGCAAUCAUUUUCAAAUGCUACUUGGCCAAAUGUCAGCAUCCCCAAUCCUGAAAGCCCAAUGCUGGGAGGACCAGCUUUGAGCAUUGGGCAUUUCAGAAAUGCCAGUCCACUGUUCAUCUUCUUCCCCCUUUCUUCUUCGUUCGUCUUCUUCGUCUUCGUCUUCCUCGCUGACUGAGAGUGCGGCUUCUCCGGCAGCCGCCACCGCCGCGUGGGGGUCCCGCGUCCCUGGUGACCACCGCCUGGGGUGGCGAGACCCGCGACCCAGGCGGCGUCGCCUGGCGGGCGCGAGCUAGGCGACGCCACCUGAGGUCGCGCGGACCUCAAGUCGCUAGAUCUAGCCGUCCGGCGGCCAGAUCUAGCGGUCUUGAGGCCAAAUCUUACUGCCGGACGGCCAGAUCUGGCCUCCGCGACCUCAGGCCGCCAGAUCUGGUGGUCCGGCGGCCAGAUCUGGUUGGCCGGCGGUUGGCCGGCCGCCGGAAUUCGAUUUUCUGACUUAAAUAAAAAAUAAAAAAUACCAAAAGUCAAUUACAAAGCUGAAUUUUACCAAACGGUGUUUAUACUAAGUUGCCUUUCAAUGCUACAAUUUACCAAACGGUAUAACAUUCCCAUAAACCCCUUUACCUCAAAGAUAUUUGUAUUCUCCAAAUGGCAUUUCCCCAAAGUUGAACCAAACGGGCCCUAAGUCUGCUUGAUACUUGCUAAAAUUCGAUGGACAUAAUAUGAAAAGAUCAUUUUCCUUUUCUUGAUCUUGCCCUAGCUUGCAUUACGUCUGCCGACUCUAUAGAUACUUCAUGUCGUGGACAUGCCAUAUAAAUUGCUAUGUCAUUUAGUAAGAUUUUUAUAGUGAAAUCUUAAGUACCUGUCGAUGUCAUUAACUAGUUUUGGUAUUGCAAUCUAAUCUGUUAUUGUCGACUAUCAAUACUAGUAGUGAUUAAGGCACGUCAAAGAUGUCCUUACUCCAAAAAGGGUUUAGAUAUAUAGAGACCAAUCAAGCUCUAACCAUCCUAAUUUGGAGCUCUUGAUCCCAGGUUUAUUCGACCUGAUGCUCAAGAAAAACAUGAAGCUAUUUGCAAUGACCGACUCAACGGGGGCAAUGUGUUCCAUUUAGCAGCUCACUUGAAUAUCGCCUGGGUAUUCGAAUUCUUACGACCAGAAACUGAAUAUUUGACCCGAGUAAGGGACAAGAAUGGAGAUCUCCCCAUUCAUAUUGCGAGCAAGAUGGGUUAUGUUGAACAUAUCGAGAAGCUGAGGGAAGUAUCACUUUUGCCAAAUGGGCAAGGGCAAACCGUUCUUCAUAUUGCCGCAAAAUAUGGGAGAGUCUCUGUAGUGAGAUAUAUACUCAGCAAUCCAGAUCUAAGGAGGAUGCUGUUGAAUAAACAAGAUAAUGAUGGAAAUGCUUGUUGGCUGUUGACAUUGCUCGACGACACAAGCCAGAGGGGUAUAAGAUUCGGCAUGUAGGUAACAUGAACAGUCACUAUUUUAUUUAUUAACUUACUGGAGAUUUCAUAGACUAAUGCAUUGGUUAAGGCAGAUCUGGUAUUCAAAUCAUUAUGUCUCCCAGCCAACUAGAUAGUAGAAGUAUUGAUCAAAUUUCUAGAACAGCCGAGACUCCUCUCGGAUAAAUGUUUCGCAAGUCCCUAAUUUAGUCUUGAUAGGAGGUAAUUAAAAUUUGUGAUCAUGAAUUUCUCUGCAGUUAGAAACAAGUAACGUGUCUUUCAUAACACGGAGAUUAAAAUUUAUAUAUUUCGUUUAAUUGAGCCUCUGAAUACGGUCAUGAAUAAAAAGGCAGGGUUUGUCAAGGUUGCAUUCUGUUUUUCAUAAAAAGCCAGGGGUCAAUGUGGCAAAUUUGACCUCUCCAAAUGUAGCACAAUCUCAUGACAUUAUCAUUUUGUCGACCUAUGAAAUGAUUGCCCACAUAGAUUCCAUUCAUGCCUCUUUUUUCGUCUAAAACGAACUUGGUAAUUUUGUGCUAAUUCUUCAAAAAGAUCAGAAACUGCGUCUUUAGAAGCGAACGUUUCCAGAGUUCAUUCCCGUUAUAAAUAUGGUAUAAGUUUGUUCUUAUUUUCCUUUUUACAUGCUUCCGAUCUCAGCACUUGGCAUUCCUGGUGUUGCUUUGCUCGCUCGCGGGAAAAGGUCCACUUAAAAACCCGGAGUUAUUCCUAGUUAGAGCGGAAGCUCGAGAUGAAGAGUUAUCAGUAGUCCGCUCGCGCAAAAGCGUGCCGAGCAGGAAAAUCGUCAAGGAUUACAUCAAUUCCCGUAUGGUGGUGGCAACGCUUGUGGCCACAGUGACUUUCGCAGCUGGUUUUGCAGUUCCUGGAGGAUUUAACGGCUCGGACACAGCCUCCAAAGAUGACCGGGGCAUGGCUACGAUGUUGGACAAUAGAAUGUUCCAGGCUUUCGCGAUUUGCAACACCAUCGCGAUGUUCUGCUCAAUGACUGUGGUCGUCAACCUCAUCUGGGCGCAGAUAGUUGAUGUCGACGUUGCAGUCGCUGCAUUCCAGCGCACAACGCUACCACUACAAAUUGCACUCCCGGCGAUGUCCACCGCUUUCUUAACUGGUGUCACCUUGACCAUUGGCAAACUCCCGUGGCUUGCUAACACCAUAUUUUAUAUGGGACUCGUUUUCCUCCUCAUUAUCUCAUUUGCUAAAUUGUUAGAGAAGCCUCUCCUCUUUAAAAUCCUCGGUCGUCCUCUCCUUCGACUAACAUUCUGGCUUAUUCUCGCUUACGUUUAUGUGUGGAGAGUUGAGACGUACAUUUAUGUUGACAAUGACGCGAAAGAUAACAGAAGGAAGAGCAAGACCUUCGCUAGUCCGCCUGUGGAUGGUGCUGGUGAAUCGGGGACCGAUGACUCGGCGAAAGCAAAAUGUGAGACAUCCUCCAAGUCACUGAUUUGAAUUUGAUCAUUCCAUAUUAUCUGUAAUAUGUAGUAAUAAUAUAUGUUUUCCUUGGUGAGUGCGACUCACGAUACGGUUGAUUUCCUUUAUGUCAGACCAAAGGUGAUUGUUAAUAUAUGUAAGCUAAACCAUGUGUUUCUCUAAUAACUUAACUUAUUAGAAUUGUUGGAUAUAAUUCCAUCAAAUUUCAUAUGUUAUUAAAGCAGAGGUUCUAAGUUCAAACAUUUUCAGGUCAUAUUUGCUUCAUCUAUUAUAUGUUCUCAUGUUUCAAUCUUAGAUCAAUUCAAGUUUAUGAGUAAAGAUGAGUAUAAAAGUAUUUGUAUUAAAGUAUUUGAAUUAAACAUUGCAUCCAUCUAAUAAUUUAAAUUUUUAGAAUAAUUAAUUGUAGUUCCCGAAAUUUCAAAGUGAUACACACUUCAUGUAAAUUAAAUGGAUGAAUGGCUCAUUUCAUCCGUUUCAUUGCCCUGGAAUCUAAUUGUUAACUUUGAACAUGUGGAAGCUCGUGGGUUUAUGAAAUCGCUCGUCUGGAGUGGCCACGUUCGAUUCACUUUGAACCAGUCCAAUUUGCGGCACUCUCGAGUCAUGAAAUCCUAAGCACUCACUUAGUCACUUACCUGUCUAGUGUGCAAAGAAAAUAAUUCUCAUCGCCUACUCUCUGAGUCAAGACUUGGGUGAAGAAAACCGGAACAAAAUAAUUCUCUUCAUUGCUCACAAAAAAAUAGAACCAAACACCGAACUCAUUUCCAUUUACACCCGUUUCAUUUCCCCACUUCUCCCUCCUAGGCGCCCAAUUUCUGUGCACGCAAAUGAGUUUUGGUGUUUGAUUCAUGGCGGGGUAUAAUCUAGUGAGCAGCGGGCGCAGAAGUCUAGUCAAGGGACGAGAUAAAAAGGAAUUGCAACACGCAACUCAAGGAGAAUUGUGGAAAAGUCUGGAUAUGCGAUUUUCCUCCUCCGAUCUCGGAUUUUUAUUUCAAAGCUGGUUGGUAUUGACACGUAGAAUAUAACUCUAAAGUGAUUCUGGACCUAUUUAUUCGACAGUGAACGUAGAUAAUUACAAAAAAUAAAAAGGAUCUCAUUGUACAAAUGUCUAUUGAGUUAUAAACUUUCUAAAUUAGUCGAUUUAAUUUUAAACAUCUUGACGAUUUGCCAAUAUAAUUAUGCUAACCAAUUUUGACCAAAAAUCGUUGACGUUGACGCUAGCCAUCCUAUGGCACAUGACCAGUAUUGAGGUGAAUAACUUUUGUAAUUUAAAAAAAAUUCUCAAUUUUUUUCUUUUUUUCAUGUUUUCAUUUUCUUCAUUUUCCUUUCUUAUAUUUUCCUUUUUUUCUUUUACUUAUUCCCCUUCGCCAUCCAUUGGCCAGUCCAUGGCUUCGGUGAUUGAUAGUAAGGCCCCAAUGCCCUCGCCAGCGAUUGCAAGGGCUGAUGGAUUUGCUGGGGCCACAGACUAAUGGAGGGACAAAGGAAGAAAAAAAAUGAAUGAAAACUUAAAAAAGGACAAAAAAAAAAAGAGUUUUGAAAUAAUUGUAAAAAUUAUCCACAUUAACAUCCGCACCCAGAUCUGGGCGAGUCCAAUCUUGUCAUGGCCUGGCCUAAAUCUGGGUGAAGCCGCCUUGUGCACAGCCCCGAGGCCUCAUUUGUGCCCAACAAGGCUCGUCAAAGAAGCAAAAGAAUGAAGAAGAGAAAAAAAUAAAAGGAAAAGUAAAAAAAAAAUUAUUAAAAAUUGCCACGUCAGCGUUGAGCGAAUGGCCAGCGUCGACAUCAGCGCUAGCCGACCAAAAUUAGUCGAAUAGAUUGAAUUGACACAAUCACAAAAAAAUUAGAACUGAAUUGGCACAUUUAUAAUGGAUUUAGGACUUUUUUGAUAAUUCUCCCGAUCUAUCUAUUAUCUCCAUUUUUAGAUUGCGACAUGUGUCCAUCCAAUUUUAGUCCUCACUGCAUCUUAUCUAAAUACCAUCAAACCUUGGAUGGUACUUGGAGAUCUAUGCAAAUAUUUAUAUAUAAAAAUUAUAUUGAGAUAGUAAAGUGUGCUCACCAUCAUCAUAUAAAAAUUAUCCUGGGGGAUUAAAUGUUUCAAUUAAUUACGGUAGGAUGAGAAGUAUUUUUCAUAAAGAACGGACAUUCAAGAAGUCUUGCUAGAUUGAUAGAUUGAUGUUGCAAAUGGUUCUCUUCUCAAGUAGCAUGAAAAAUUACGCUACUCAAAUGUAGAGCCUCCUUUUUUUCUAUUUUUUCGGCAGAUCUUUCAAAUCAAAUUACAGGGUUACGACUAUGAAACCUCACAGUACAAGUACAAAAAAUACCAAAUCAAUCAUCUAUUAACUUCUCGAUGCUCAUUAAAUCUGAUUCACAAAAUAGGUUGGGACCCAUUUUGCUAGCCCUACUAAAAUCUAAACAUUUUAAUAAAUUAAGGAUUUAUAUGGCGUCCUAGUUCACAAAGAUGUGCCGUUGUUGUUGACAAAUCAACAGUGAUUGAUUUUCAUGAACUCGUCGUCAUAUUGUCGACAUUCCCAUUAUAUAUGAGCAUAAUAGCGAACUUUGAUUUUCGAGCAUCAAGAUAUAAGAUUGGCUUAAAUAGAAUGCCAAAUAGCCCAAGUGUCACAAUUAGAUAAGUCCAAACCCCAAACACGUUCAACUACGGUUUUUUUUUUCUUUUAACUUUAUUCACAUAUUAUUAGACCAUACUUUAUGGUUAAUGAUCAUAUAUAUCGCGGUUUAUGAAAGACUGUGCCACAUCGAUAGUUUUAGAUGUUAGUCCAAAUUCGAAAUACUGGGCCAACGUUUGAGAUUUUAUUGGCCAUUCGACAUUUCAUUUAUUACUCAUGAAGUCUAUCAGUGCAUGAAAUUUACUGAAAAUUAGAGAAUCUCACAAUACCAACAAAAUAUCAAGUUUUUUUUCAACUUUUUUACCCUUGAUACACUCCACAUACAGCCCAAUUUACAAAAUUCUACAAAAACCACUGCUCAGCAAAGACGAACAACAGCACCCAUCGGCCCAACAUGCUUAACUCCAAGCAUAGAGUGACUCGAACUCUUCUUGUCUCCUUUUCAGUUUACCACAACCAGACAUAUUUAAUACAGUACCGUGAACAAGACAAGAUAGCGAUGAGAUCGGCUCAAUAGGCAUCAGGGUUUGCCAAGCGAUAAGCCUCGAUGGCCUUGAACAUCCCGGACGCCUUCUCUUUCCCAGCCUUGAUCUUCUCCUCAGUUAUGUCCGCCUCGCCAAUGGUGAAGUACUUGCUCGUGCUCUUGCACACCGAGCCUCCCUCGGGCGAAGUGGUGAUCUUCAUCUCGUAGCUGAUCUUCUCAAGGGUGGUGCCCAGCGAGUCGCCCUCAAUGAUGGAGUAGCUGUAGGUGAAGUUCUCCUUGUCCAGGGCCUCGACCUUAUGCUUCAUUGUCUUGUACUGACUGCCU
rnacentral:lncRNA from 1 species